UUUUUUUUUUUUAAGUCUACUUUUAAUUUUGAUCAUUGAAUUCUAUCAAACACUAAUUAAUCUAAAAUUAUCAUCAAAAUAAGGCUUUGGGAUAUUAGAACCACUCUUUAUUAUUAAAUUCACUACAAAAAGAACACCUUCUCUAUUUUCUGCCAAUUAAUCCCACUUGUUAAUUUCACAUCUUAAUUAAUUAGGUAUUUCAAAUUCCAUUAGCUUAAAAUUUUCACCCAUUAUUUAUUAUCAAAUAAGAUUUUGUAUUAGAAAAAAAAAAAACCAUGUUGAUUAGUUUAAUUUUGUGGUUUAGUUUGGUAUUAGUUCAAUUCAUUGCAACUGUUUUGACUUUUUUUAGAAACCAAACCCCAUAAUUGUUUUGUUUGUUUAUUUAUUCAUUUAUUACACAUAUAUCAUCACAAGAGCUAAGGAAUUUGACUACUAACCCAAUUUAAUAAGCUUGAAGUUUCAAAAGUUUAAGAAAAGUUUAGGAUUGAAUCCUACAAAAUAAUAUAUAAAUCAUAUGUACAUAUAGCAAUUUUUGUUUUAUUUAUGUGCUUACUUAUGAUUAUGAUUGAGAAAUGUUAGUAUAUCGUCGGACAAAGUCGUACAAGUUAGCUACAUCAUGAAUAUAUAACUUACAAGCGAAGACGACAACUAUCUUUAUUCUUUUAAGUAUAAGACUUUUAAGAGCGAUAACACAAACUAAAAGUAAAGUCACGAGAGUUUAUACCUAAAGUGAAUAAUGUCAUCAAUAUAAUUCUAAAAAAUUUAGUGGGUUGUUUUGUGCCUUAUAACCAACAUCAAAGUCAUGCCUUUAAAGUCUAACAUGGCAUUACCAAUAGAAUCCUUAUAUAUUAAAUAAAGAUGCAGUGAAAUUUCGAAGGUAGGUCAUAAACAGGGUGAUAAUUGUUAGAUGAGAUAGAUGUCUAUUCAAAGGAGAGUCGAUAGUCCAUUGUUUUGAUAGAAUCAAGAUUAGUUGGUUACGUCACCACCAUUAGGUUUAUACCUAAAGUUAACAUUGAAAAUAUUUCAUCCCUAACCUUAAUUAAGAGUCCCUAUAUUAUUAUUUAGAUAGAAUCAAUAAAGAUACUCUCGGAUUGCUUAAUUGAAGUACAUAAAUCUAACCAAGGGAGAAAAAUCUCAUUAGAACUUUAUUAAUACAAAGUAACAAAAGCCUUAAAGCUAUUGGUUGAGUUGGGUGAGCUUUGAUUCUAACCCACUCAAAGUAACCCUCAUUUGGCUGUUAGGCUUUGUGAGUUUUCUAAUCAUAUAUACAUACAUAUAUAUAUAUAUAAUUUUCCCAUUUUCCUAUUUUCCUAUUUUCCCACAACCACCAAUUUAUUUGGUUUACCCUCCCCCAUUUUUCAGGCACAUCUUCUCCAACAAAUUAAAAAUAUACAUAAGAUUUAUUCAUGAUACAAGAACACUCUCUUGAAAUAUAUAUGUAUAAAUUGUUGCCUAACUUUGUAUAUUAUUAUACAAAUUUGAGUAAGUAGUGGUAGUAAGGUGGAGCAGCUUAAAGUCAAGUAUGAAUUGAAUUUGUAUUUAUGUACAACGCAUCCAUACCAUUGGUGGGAAGACUUAAUUAAAUUAAUUGGUGCCGUCUAAUCAUAGGGUUAUGCUAUCAAAUAAUGAAUCAAACCACAUAUUUCCUUUUAUUUUAUUAAUUACAUCGAUUUGAUAAAUAAAAUAAGUGUAGAGUCGACCAACUUUUUUUUAGACGUAACAGAAAGUAUAAGAUGAGAAGUCAAAUCUAAAAGUAAAAUUAAGAAAGUUGCACCACUAUUUCUAAAAUGAAUAUGAAAUAUAUAUACAAGAAGCCAAUUAGUAAAGAUAUGCCAGUGAAGGAUGGGUAAAGAAAUUGGACCCUUGUGGUUCAAUUGACCCGUCAUUAAGUGAGGUUGAGGUCAACUUGUCUCAUUCUUUGAAACUCUAAAUUAUAUAUGUAACAUCAUCUGUGAUCUAGUCUCAAUUCCAAAAAUAUUUUAACCAUUCUUCUAAAACGCUGAACAAAAUAAUUUAGGUUCAAUCUUCUAUAGUAUUAGAAGUAUUAGUGUAUCAAUGUAUAAUGUUUUAUUAUUUCAAUUGUUUUGUAACUGAAUACAUACUUUUCUAAAAUACAAAUUUAUCGUCGUAAUAAGAUUUAGUAAAUUUCUUUAACUAGAUUUUGUCUAUAAAUAAUCAUUAUGAAUAUUAAAAUAGUUUGACAAUAAUGCAAUUAUCGAAUCUUAAGGUAUGGACUUAAAUAAACGGAACCAACUAAUAAUACCUUAUUAUAUACGACUCUACUCGUAACUAAAAAAUAUUUGGCUUUGUAUAUUAUUUAUAUUACACUAAUUAAUCUAUGUGUCAGAAAAUUAUUGGUUAAUAAUUUAUUUUUAAAUUUUGGUUAAGAUAAUUAGUUAGUUGUGGUUUGAAAAGUAUUUUGUUGCGUCCAAAUUGGGAGUUGGGUCGACCCGGCCCAGCAAUAAUCGGGUUCACAUUAAGCUUCAAGCAAAGGUAGAAAAAAAGUAAUUGAAAUAUAUUAUAUAUAUAUAUAUAUAUAUAUAUAUUAUAUUGCUUGAAAAUUAGUUUAUGACAUCAUACCUCUAAUCUAUAAAUCAUAAUAUAAAACUUUAAAUCGUGGGGGUUUCCUUGAGUGAAAUAGGCAAUGGUUUAAAUAUGUCACUUUCUUUUUCUCUCUCAAGCAUUUAUUAAUGACCAUAUAUCUUAUUUUGUAACUUGUUUUUGUGCAUUCUGUGAGCUUAAUUUAAAAAUGAAAAAAAGAAAAACUCUUUUUUGGAAGAAAAAAUAAAACUAAUUAAAUCAUAUCUACACUGCUAUAAAAUACUCAAAUUUGAAGAGUGGACAUGAAAUUAAUUUCUUUUUUAUAUAAGGAUUUCAUAAAGUAUUUACAAACAUAGAACAAUUUGUCAAAAUUUAGAAUCACCUUUUUAGAGUCUAAAUCAAUAAUAAAUCAUUUUGUUAAUAAAGAUAUAUUAACGAUAGAAUAUAUCAUUUCGAUGUAGAUUUUGUUAUAUAUUUGCUCUAACUCUUUUAAGAAAAAUACUAAAUCAUUUAAUUAUUAGUUAUGAAAGUGUUACUUGAUAGGAUUGCCUUACUUUCUAGUCGCGAGGUUCAUGAAGUACUUCUUAAGGUAAACAGAGGAACGAAGUUAACAACUCCAACUCGUCCAACCUUUAACCAACCCUCUUAAAAAUCAUUAAUUAAGAUAUGAAAUUUGCUUAGUUAAUUAAUUUCCCUUUCUACUAAAUUAAUGAAUAUAACAAAUACUUUACUGGAGUAGAGAUUGAAAAAGAAGAGGGAGAGUACUCUGGGGAAGUAUUAAUAUAUAUAGAAAAAAUUGAUAGCAAAAUAUUUGAGAAGGAAGCAAUGAAAAUGAAAAGAAGAAGAAAAGUUUAUGAAUAAUAAUGUGUGAAUUAGGGUUAUAGAAAGUAGAGGGCAGACCAAAAGAAGAAGAAAGAGCAUUGUAAUAUUAUUAUCACAAAGUCACAAACGUAUGGGACUCAUUCAAACACACACACACACACACACACACAAUAGAGAGUUCACAACCAAAGUCUCAAGCAAUAAUAUAAAAAUAAAAAGAAUGAGGUGGCGCAUAUAAAGGGCGUGAGAAAGCAGAAAUUAAAAGCCAUAAACACAAACCCCUUUCAACUCAUCCCAACUAGCUUUUCUUGUUUUUUCGCCAAUUUAGGUUGCCACUUGAAGCAACAAAUUAAAUUAAAUUGAUUAUCAAGUUUUUUAGGUACCAAAAUAAAAUUACUUCCCUACAUCUACUUAUAUAAACUUGUUCCAUUAGUGUUAUAAGUUGUCUUUCUCUUUUUGCUUUUUCUAUAUAGUUGGAUUGAAUUGGAAAGAAUAUUUAAGUAAAUUACAAGUGUAAUUCGAAUAAUAGGAAGAUGAUACGAAAAAUUCUUUUUCUCUAACCAAUACUUGAUAAAAGAGCAGUCUAAACUAUUAUUUAUAAUUGGAAAAGAAAAAGUCACUCAUACUGUUAACAUUACAUGGAACUCUUUUUUCUCUCUCACGAGUGGGCGGCUUUCAACCCUUCAUUACUAAUAUUAUAAAUAUUAUAUAUACACACACCCACCAUUUCCUACUCUCUCACUCCUCACUUCUUUCUUUCUUUCUCUCUCUCUCUUUCUUACUUUUCUCACUUCAAUCCUUACAAAAGUUUUGAUUUUGAUUGCUUUCAUGGAAACCCCAGAUGAGUUUAUGCCUUCAAAUCAUCAAAUCCAUUCUAUUCUUUCCCUUAAACGCCGCCGCCGUAACAAGCGUUUACGCCUCCUUUCUUCCCCUCCCGAUACUACUUCUUCCUCCUCUUGCGGCGGCACCGACGAAUUCCCUGCCCCUUCCUCUUCCAUCUCUGGCGGUGACACCAAUAAUAAUAAUAAUAACAAUAAUCUCCUUCUUCAUCAUCAUCAUCAUCAUCAUGACGAUCAUCAUGAAAUCAGUACUGAAGAGGAAGAAGAUAUGGCUAAUUGUUUGAUUCUUUUAGCUCAAGGAGAUUCCGCCGUCCACCGCCGACCAACGGCCCAAAAUUUUCAACACCCUCUCAAAAUUAAUCCCAAAACAUCAUUCAAUUUUGAGAUGGCUAAAACCACCUCUGGAUUUUAUGUUUACGAGUGUAAGACUUGUAAUCGGACUUUCCCUUCUUUUCAAGCCCUCGGCGGCCACCGCGCUAGCCAUAAGAAGCCGAAGACGACGACGAUGGCCACCGCCCUGGAGGAUCAACCAGAAGAGCCACAAUUGAUCAAAAUUGCGGCAUCUCCAGUACAGAUUCCAACCAAAACGGUGACUGCAGGAGCGAAUUUUCAAACCCACAAGGGCGGAAAAGUACACGAGUGCUCUAUAUGUGGAUUGGAAUUCACUUCAGGUCAAGCAUUGGGAGGACAUAUGAGGAGACAUAGAGCUACAACCGCCGUGUCAAGCGCACAACAAGUAGUCGUGGCUACGAACACGGAGGAGGAUAAUAAUACUAAUCAUCACCAUCACCAUCGUCAUCGUAAUUCCGUUGAGAGGAAGGAAAGAAACAUUCUAGAAUUGGAUCUGAAUUUACCAGCGCCGGAGGAAGAUCUCCGGGAGACAAAGUUUCAAUUUACGGCAACUCCACAAACAAUCGUCUUCUCAGCACCAACACUUGUGGAUUGUCAUUAUUGAAGAAGAAGAAAAAAAAAAAAGAAGCAACAACAACGAUCCGGCCGGCCAAAUAUUGGGGGGGGGGGUUAAAUUGUGAAUUGUGUUUUUUUAUUUUUUAUUUUAAAAUUUCUUUUAAUUACAGUUACUUAUUAUUAUUAUAUAUAGUGAUUAAAUAUAUUCUUUGAAGCUAUAUAUAUAUAAAAGAGAAAAGAAAUAUUUGGUUAUCUACCCAUUGAAAUUGAGUAAGAGUAUGGUUAGUUGGGUGUGUCUUCUUAUUAUGGUUACCUGUUUUCAUUCAUGAAAAGUGGGUGAUUUUUUAUGUCACUUUUUUUUACCUAUAUUUGUUUUAAAAUAACAAAAAAGAUAUAAUUUUUAUCUUAAAAAUAGUAAACAGUGAAAGAAAAAAAAGAAGAGAAAAUGUGAUGAGAUGAGAUGGGGGUUAGGGUUUGGCAGCUCCACCACCAGAUUUAAAAGCUGUUGUUUUGCAUAUGCUUUGCUUGGCUUCUACAUAUGACUCUCUCACUCAGUCUCUCUCUCAUAUUAAAUGACAAAAAAAAUACAUGGAUGGCAGGCUGAGUUGGUAACUAAGCUAUGCCAAAUGGAUCCACCUGUCUGUCUCUGUUGGUGGGUUAUUGUAUUUUAAAAAGAAAAGAAAAGAAAGAGAAGAGAAUAGUACAGCUCAAAUUGAGUUCUAAGCCUAAGUGAAGUGACCAACUGUAUUAUCCUAAACCCUUAUUAUCUUAUAAUAGAAGCUAACUUUUUAAAACAAACAUUGGGAAAAGGGUUGUGUUGGGUCCCACUCAUCCUUCGGUAGGUCCUACUCCUUCCGUCCCCUUCGUUAUUCCCGAUAAUGACUCUCUCUCAACCUCUUUACCUCUAACCCAUUGGGCUUUGGAUAAGUGGGCCUCCUCUCAGGUCCAUUCCUUCCUGGGCCCACCUUUCCUUUUGUUGGUUGGGUUCUGGGUUGCCACGUGUUUACCUCUUCCUCUACUUACACUACUUCCACUCACACUCGGUAACUCAUUUUAGUACCUUCAUCUACUUACAUGGCCAUGCCAUCAAAAGUACGAAACUUUGUUAACACGAAUCUAGUUCAAUUUGUUUAGAUAUGUACUAUACAUUUCUAAAGAUGAUGUUUGAAUUUUUCCUGUUGUUAAUAUGAGAAUUAGACCCAAAGUGUUAGUAGGUAUAACACAAUGUAAAAGAAGUUUAAUUUGUAGUAAAAUUUAGAUCUACCUCUUUGGAGUCUAUCAAUGAUAAUAAACCUCAAUCCUUAUUAAGCAACAGAUUCUUCGUUGGAUUCGACGUUUGUUCUAGCCAUUGCGAAUAAACAAUUGGUAGAACUUUGCAACUUGUUAGAAGGUGGGGAUUUAUUAUAUGCUUCCCCCACAAUAGCUGAAGUGAACCCUUUAGAACAGUUGCUAAGCUUUGGGUCUCAUGUAUGAGUAGAAAUUCAUCCUACAAUCUCCCCCCCAUCUUGUCUUAUGUACUUCCCUUUGCAUUUCUGCUAACUGAACUUGAUUCCACCGACCAUACCAUUGAUAGGAGCUUUUGUUGCUAAUAAAAUUUGUUAUAUUUGUAAGUUAUUUAAAAUUUUUCUGUACGUCAAAUUAUUCAUAGAAGCUUGUUUACAAGGCUAAAAUACAAUUAGAAUUUAAGUGAUAUGUUAAAUUUAUCUGGGAAUGAGAUCACGAAGAUGAUGUGAAAGAGAAGUGAGUUGAAAACGGUGGAAAAAGAACGUAAUAUGGGUUAGAUUACAAAUGGAAACCGAAGUUCUCAAUCUAAAAACAUGAGUUUGAGAGUACAACCCGUUACAAUCUGUCAGAAAACACCAUAUUACUGUUAAAAGUGUCACCCGAAGCAAUUAUCCAAACAGAAAAUAAAACUUAGUGACAUUAUUGUGUUUGUAUCCAUCACAUUCGUUUCACAUACAAAAAAAAUCAAAUAAUAUAUCAUGUCAAAGGAAUGGAAGAGAGGAAAGAGAGGUUAGCAUUGAUUCUCUUUGCAUUUAAACACAUAAAGUUGAUAUCCAUUUGUUCAUUAUAACUGUAUGCUCAAUUAUUUUGCAAAACCUAUAGUGAGGAUGAUUGGGCGAACAUCUAAUAAUAUACUUUUAUAGGUCAAGCUUUUGAAUUAAUUUCAUUCACAGACUUAGGUGAAAGUUAGGAAAGCCUAACACAUAUAUGUGUAUGAAUUGCAUUUGUUUAGGGAUUCUUUUAUGGGUCCAAAUAAAAGAAGAAGGUUCAUGAUUAGCACAUGCAUGUUGUAUCAACCCUAAUCCCCCAUCUUAUCAAAUAUCAAAACUUUAGUACUAUGUAGAUUUUACAGAACAUAAAGGAAAAGGGCCACUAUUUUAGAACAUGAUUUGAUAUUGACAUUAUUCAUAUAUACACACACAUAUAUAUAGGUGAAAACAUAUGGCAGACUUACUGACAAAUGAGAAGAUGACAAGUGGACACUUUGCAGUUGUAACAUCUGACAAGAAAAUUAAAAUGUUUGGUCUGGUUGGGCUGGCAAAAUGCAAUGUAAGCAAAUCUUAAUAAUCUAAAAUGGGAGCAAUAUUUGGUGUAUACUAUACUAUCUAUCUUAAUUUAAUUAGAAGUGCUACAUAUUUAUAUUUAUUGAGCAAUACCAACUUUCUAACUUCUCCUCCAUCCAUCACAUUUAUCAAAUAACUCUCAAUCUUUUUCUUAAGAAAAUAUAUUCAUACUCCUUUCGUCAUUAAUUGCUUGUAGUAACGUAUUAUAAAAGUUAAUAAUGAACAAAAGAAAUUGAUACUACAGUAGUACUAAUUUUUAUCACAAUCUUUCCUUUACUUUAUAUCCGCUUUGUAAUUAGCUCCAUUUACAAGAAACUCAAUCUUAUAACUAACCAAAUUUAAGAUAUAUUAAUCUCAUACUUAUGUAAAGAAUUUAGAGAAUAAAAUUAAUGUUUAGAAAAUGAAAAGAGGAAAAUAUAAUAAAAGUAAACUAAAAAGUAGAACCGACAAAAGAGAGCGGUUAAAAUAAAGAAAUUAGAAGAGGAGAUAAAGCGGUUGAAAAGUAAAUGGGUACAACCCGACCCACUACUGCUCUGUUUUGCCGUCUAAUUGUUUCAAGGGAUAGUUGCAAAUUUAGCCAUUAAAUGCAAAAUAAUUAAGUAUAUAGCAACAUGUUAAAAAAAUUACAAAUAUAGCAAAAUUUAUCAAAUUCUAUCAAUAAUAGAAGUCUAUCACCGAUAGAUCAUGUUGUAAAUAUUGAUCUAUCAUUGAUAGGUCAUACAAAUCUAUCAGUGAUAUAAGUCUAUCAGCGAUAGUUUGACUAUAUUUGCAAUUUUUUUAAAAUGUUGUUAUAUCUUUAAUUAUUAUUUCUAAAAUGUCAUCAAUUAUAAUUACCCUUGUUUCAAUACCUGACCAUCAUCUCUCAAAACCCAACCCAAAUAACUCCACCUUUUUCUAAACAAAUAUUAUUGGUUUUAAAGUAAAAAGUGCAUUUUUGUUUUAACAGUGGUAUAUAUUUUUCUAAUUCGUCUGUGUUUUUGUUCUUUUUGGAACAAAUACUAGUUUAUAUCGAUUUAAAUCUUAAACGGGUGAUUGUAUCAAUUUAACUUGUCUAAACAAAAUAUAAUGCACGCGUUUAAAUUGAUAUAAACUCUAAAUUUUCAGGUAUAAUUCGAAAAUUUUCUUAUUUAUUUUUGUAAUAUCCAUUCUAUUGAGUUUAAGCAGCCAUCAUUGGUUUAAGAGUAAAUAUCAUUUGGAUGUUUUAUGUUUUCAACUUUAUUUGAUCUCUUCUUUUCUUCAACUUUUAGUUUGGUUUUGUAUAUAUAGUUCACGUACCUUUUUUUUUUUUUUAGAAAUAAUCAAUUUUUUUGUUUAGUGCAUCCUCUUAAAAGUAUGGACAAAAAUAAAGGUAAAAUUUGAGAAUAUGUAGUCUAAGAAUAACAUUUAAACUUUAGUUUAAAAAUAAAGUGUGAAAUGCUAAAUCUUGACGUUUUAUAUCUUUACAAUUGAAUUACAUUCAAUGAGUUGCUGUGGUGUAGUGGUUAUCACGUCAGUCUUACACACUGAAGGUCCCCAGUUCGAUCCUGGGCAGCAACACUUUUUUUAACUAACAAAUUGUUUCUUCAAAGUUUACAAGAAACAAGGUAAGGUAAGAAUUAAUUUUUAUUGGAGGAUGGUAGAAGCUUGAAUCUUUGUCAACUUCUAGUAAAAAUGAAUACUUAUUUGGUGAAGUAGAAAGAUCAAUUUAUAAAAUUGUGCUAUAAAUUUAUUUAAGUACAAGACCAACUCAUAGGGAUGGAUACAAUUGAAUGAAUGUCUAAUACUUUUAACCCUAUAUAAAUUACAAUUGGAAUAAAAUUUUAAUUUUGGAGAUAACAAUAUAAACAAUGAAUAUAAGUUCAUAGAUUCUCAAAACACUCUAUUUUGAUAUGAUUCACCAAACUUUUAGUUUCUAUUGCCCAAUUGACAAAUCUCUAACUUUGAUAAAAAGUAAAAGUAUAUGUAUAUUGUUAAUCUAACUAUAUUUUAAAUUUACAUAAAUAUCCAUAAGUUUGUUGAUAUAUAUCCAUGAAAUUAAAACCCCAAUGCCUUUAUAAGACAUCAAUAUUUUAAUCUACAAAGAUUUGAUUUGUAAAUCAAGUGAACUACUCAACUGUUUCUCCAUAAGAGAGAAGAAGAAAAAUUCACGUAGUCUUCUUCUACAUUGAAAUAAACCAACAGAUAGAUUUGCAAAACCAAGCACGAUUCAAAAGAAAUCACUUCUUGGUGUAAGUUUGAUGGUCGGGUCCAACGUCUCGGGAGCCAGUGUUAAUAUAAGGACCUCGAAAAGUGGCCUGCGGCGAAAGCGGCUUUGUCGGAUCUAUAACUGGUUUUUUCGAAGACCUGAAUCGUAAUCCUUUUCAAUGUUAACUUCUCCAAAUUCAUCCAUUCAUUAAAGGAAUGAAAUUGUCAUUUACUUACGCCAUGUAAAAGGGAAAUGCUAAUCCAGCAGAUGCAAAGGCUAUCAGCCCAACGGCAACAAUCAAAUUCCGACGCCGUGUCAUCAAGUUUUCUAUGAGUGAACUGAAAAGAAAUCUAUAGAAUGAGUGACAAUUUCCAUGUAAUUCAAUCUAAUCUCACCUACUAAUUCUAAUUUAUUGGCCAAAGAGGCAAAGAAAUGAAUUUAUCAUUCGAUUUGGAUAACUUCAAGAAAGAGAAAAAGAGCUACUACCCCUACACAUAAAUGGUACUAAUCAUUGGAAUAGUUUUCUUGCUUGAUUCGAUGAUCCUCAAUACAGAAGAAAUAGUUCAAGAAUUACUAAAUAUUCUCCUAUAGGAGUGCAUCCAAAAAAAAUGAUUUGAUCGAGUACCGAGGAGUCAAAAACUAAUAGUAAUAUAAAGGUGAAGUAUUUUUAAGCAAUUAAAAAGUUGAUUCAAACAAAAUCUAACUCUACCAUCGCCAGGUUAAGAAGACAAAUAAAUUGGCAAAUACUAGAUUGCUUCCUCCUUUUUUGUUUUAAUAAAGAACAGGUAUUCUGGUUUUGAAAAGUUCAACAAAAAGGCCUCAAGUGCUUAUCAUCGGCUAAAAAGAAAAGAGGAAAGAACAAAACACAGGAGCCAAGACAGUAAGGAAAAGACUAGAAACAUUUAGAUGUAUAACUGUAAAGGCAGACAGCAAUUGAUAUUCUGUAAACUUAACCUGCUACAAAGAACUUUAUCAUACAAGAAACUACCAACCACCUUGAGUUGACAAGAAGAAGAGAAAAUGCUUUACAGAAAUCAAAUCAAAAUUUAUCGCCCACACCCCACAAUAUGAAUUGUUUGAAACAAGUGUGUCAGAUACUCUAACUUCGAGAAUAUCAUAAUGAACAAAUUCCAUAAUUAAUCUACCCAAUAUGAGAUGAGAUUAUGUGAAAUGACAACUUCUGAAAUCCUGCAGCAUUCUCAAUUAAUGACCAAGAGAGCUAAAUAAGGAUCCACAAGUACUAGAAAAUCAUAGCACUUCCGCAGCUAAUCUUAAACUGAGAAACUUAAGCCUCAAUCUCCAUGGACACAUACGCAAAUCCAGAUACAAAAGAACAGAUGUUUGAGCACAAAGCAGCAAUUUCUUCCGCUAACUAACGCAAAUUACAAAUAUCUGCCUAGUUUGUCCAUAAUUGAUAAUGAAACUCAUACAUUUAGCAGGUACAAAAUCUAUCCAUGCGGCGAGAAAAACAUUAGAAUCAAAAGAAACAAAUGGAAAUUAAAGCAACACCAAAGGAAUCGAGAAUGAAUAAAAAAAAAAAAAAGUAAAGUAGAAAAAAACCCUAGAUGAAAAGUAGAAGAAGACGGGGAGCUUACCGAAGGAAUUUGGGGAUGAGAGGAAUAAGCGAAUGAAGUGAAGAGGAGGUUCUUCAAAGAGAGAACAAUGGGACCUGAUACGGAAAUUGUUGAUCCAAGGGGUUCAGCCCUAAACCAUUCCAAGCCCCGGCUGGAAAUUAAAUUGUAAAUACUGGUGUAAAAAAGCGAACCGGAUUGGUUUGAUUUGGUUCGGUUCGAUUGGAUCAAUUUUCAUUAAAGUUCGUAUUGAAGAAGAAGAAGAAGAAGAAGAAGAACAUGAUAGAGUGCACAAUCCAAAAAAAAUAAAUUCCACCAAUAUCCAAUUUAUUUUUUUCUCAAUAAAUUUCAUUAGACCAAAAAAACAAUGGGAAAGAGGUUCUUUUAGGAGGAAAGACAAAUUAUUUUAAUCAAUUUUCUCUCUACUGUGUUAUUUUAAACUAUACAAAAAAAAGACCCAAAAAGUAAAAAUAUAUUACUUCUUUUAAACCGUUACUUUCUCGUUCAUUGAAAUUUGUUGAAACCAAUAUUUACACUUUUAUCUAUGAAUUUUCUUAAAAUACUCACUUUAGUACAUCCUAAUUGUUCACUCUUUGUUUGAAAGAAUGGUAAAUGAAUAAGUUUCUAUAAAUUUUGAAACAUACUUUAGUUUUAGAAAGAAUUUUGAAAGAUGCAACAAAAUUACUAUUAUUAUUAUUUAAUUAAUUUGAAUUGAAAAAAAAGAUUUAAAUAGAAAAGAAUGUUUAAAAGUAUAUAAACUAAAAGAAAAUAUAGAAAUAAAAAUAGGCUGGGUAAGGAAUUUGUGAAUCUGAUUACUGAAAGAAAACAUAAAUGAUAUAAUUUAUCUACUUACCAUGAACCAGAAAUUUGAAAUUUUAAACUUGCAAGAUUUAAAAACUCUUUUGCUUCUUAUCAUUCAAGUUAUAAAAUUGUUUGGGUAUAAUAACUUUUGAUUCUCUCCCCUCGUAUUUAUUAAAAUGAUAAACAAAAAUAAAAAGGGGAUUGGAGCGGGAAAUUUUGUUGGCCAUAACAUUGACCGGCUCACCAAAUUUAUGACUAAAGAAACCUUUACCAGUCAUUGACACUCUCGCCAAAACCAAACCCCCACCGAAACUCCGAUCUAUAUCGUCCAAAUUCCCAUCAUGUCAACGCUCCACCGGUCACCGCCGUCCAGCGCCUCUCCCGAAACCCUAACCCAAUCCAACAACCAAAUCGAUCAACUUCAUUUCAACGACGAAGAUGAAAUCAAUCUCCUGAAUUCCUACCUCCAAAUCUCCAGAUCCGAAAACCCCACCAAGAAUUCUCUCCCCACUCUCGAUUCUCAGGCCUUCGACCGCCUUCAGACCGCCGUCGGCCCCAAAUUCUCCCACUCCGUCAUCGCCGAUAAGCUCCACCGACUCAAACUCCUGUACCACAAAUUCGCAAGAACAAAGUCCUUCAUCAAAACUCCUCACCAACGUCAGAUCCUCGACCUAGGCCGCAGCAUCUGGGGAAAAUCCCCCACACCUGUAACAAGAAAACCACAGGUAAUUUCACCUUCAAGGUUACUUUCACGAAGAAUCAAACAAAGAUCAAUCACUAGAAAAGAAGGGGUUGGGGUUGAUGUUGAUCUGAAGAACUUUCCUGUUCUUGUGGCUGAAUUUUCUCGGCAGUUUCCGGGGAAUGGGGUGUGGAGAGAUGGGCUGAGGAGAAUGAAUGAGAAGAAUUUGAAGGAUAUGAAUGAGAAAUGGGUUUUGUUGCAUAUUGAAGGGGCUGAGCUUAAGGCAAGAAGGGCUGCUUUAUUGAAGGAGCAACUUAGAACUACAGAAACUAAUGAAGAUGUGAAUUAGAAUUAAUUUCUGAUUUGUACAAUAGAUAGUUACAGACAGAGAGCAUUUUGUUAUUGUCAAUGUUGUUGAGUUCUUCCUUGUAUUUUCGAUUAUGAAGUAAUGGCAGAACUUAGAUUAGGAGCACUUGUAUUGUAUGAUUGUAUUGUUAUUAAAUCAGCAUGGUCAAGAUUUGCUGAUCAUUUAAGUUUGAGAUUAUUUUUGUUCUUUUUUUCAAGGCUCUAAACAAAACAGAAAACAGGUUCCUAUUUAGAAUUUCGACUCAAAGUAAUGAUGCACUUAAUAAAAAAGUUUAGAUUGGUGCUACUAAUUUUUACUAAUUCAACCAAUAAUUUUAUUGGAUAAUUUUCAUGAAAACCAAAUCUAAUAUCUUUGAAAUCCUACCAUUUUCGUCACAAAAAAAAUUGGCUCAUGCGGAAUAUUCUUAUUUACCAUUCAUUAGUUGAACCGAUAGCAUUCAUCUAAAAUUUGAAAGAGAUAUAACCUUUUCAAUACCCAGGCCGCUGAGAUUCAUUUAUACUGUUCCAAUCUCUUUGGCCUAAAUCAUAAACCAAAGAAUUUAAAACAAAUUUCACACCAUCCAAAUGAGAGAUGUAUGUGGCAGCAAGCAGUUCACUAAAGUGGUACAAAUUCUCAAGACGGAUGUUGCAAAAAUGAGAAACUAGCAUACACUCAUUAAAAGAAAAAGAGCACGAUCAUGAUUCACAAUCAACAAAAUCCAUCUUUUGUUAUAAAAAUAAUAGAAGUCACACACCAUAAAAAUAAUUCACCUCUGUACAGAAAGUUAAAGAUCAAGAUCCAUAAAACCCAUUUUUACUUCUAAAUUCAAGGAACCACAGUGUCCGGCAAAGAUACGGAGCAUAUGCAUAUAUAUAUAAGCCUCCUCUACAAACAUACAGAGUUCAAGGUAAACAUAGAAACUCAUGCAUAUUUACUAAGCAAGAGAACCGUAAAAUGAAGCAAUCAUUUAGCAGCAAGUGCAUUUUGUUGAGUGCGAUUCUCCUGUUGCUGUUGGUAGUUCAGGGGCCUCCUGAAUAGCAUGAUAUGAGGUUCGGGACAAUGAAAAGCAUAGUGCACCCACCCACGACUCUGCUGGACUCCAAUUGCACGCCAUUCAUUCUGCACAUAAGAUUAAAGGUCUAAGAGUAUAACAAAAUGCUUCCAUGAAACGAGUAGUAAAACAGAUUUGGAAAGCACCCUUUUGUUUAGAACAACUAACUUGAGUUCAAUAAGAAAGCCAAGAAAAUCAAAGAUGAUAAUGUUCCUAUGCUUAUGCCCAACAGAAGCGUCCAUUGCUCACUAAUUGCAUAGAGGGAAUUGCACAAUUGGCAAAUCAGAAGGGAUUUAGUCUAAUGAAUAAGUCAUAAGCCCUCAAUUCUCAAUCCUUUUUCAUAUAACUUCUAUCCGAAAUACUCAAAAACAUCGUUUCAACUUCAUGCAACCAUCAGUCAAAUCAAAGAGAGAAUAUCAAGAUCAUAUGAAAAUAUAAAAGAUUAGAAAUAAGGGGAAAAAUUGUCCACAUAAUAAUAUCUAUUUCAUAGGGUCUCUCAAGAGUGAUACCUAAACAGGAAAUAAGAAUUCAACUAUUGAACUAAGUUUCUUCUCAAUCAAUAAGAUAAUUCUUCCUUUCGUAACAAAAUCAAGACACAUAAAUUUGAAACUAAGAAAACAAAAUUGCUUACUUCCGAGAGCAGACGAUUCUUAGGAAACAACUUUGCCACUUCGGGUGGGAGAACCACGUGUCUGCACCAAUCAAUCCAAUUAGACAUUGAAGACAAAAAAAAUGACCACUUCCAAAUCCAAACAAUCCUUCAAGACAGCGAGUAACAAUGGAGUUGGAAACUGAGAGUAAGAACACAAUACCUGUACUCAUAAAUGUCGUCGAAGUACUUCUCAGAGUACUAAAUCUGACCCAUCUAUCACUGAGUGGUAUUCGUCUUGCAGAAUACAACGAAGCGGAUUCAAUGGUUUUGAUCGCGAAAAUGAAGCAACGUACGAAUAGUGAACUUAAGCCUCAACGAGGGCUCCAGAACCCGAUGAAAGGGCAUAUUAUUUAUAUAAAUACGCUCAAUUUGAAGUAAACGAAAUUCAAAGUCGGCCGAUCAUUUUUUGCCACAUGUAUCGCAGUAAGGAAUUUUUUUUCUUUUCAAUUUUGUACUUUAAAGUAUUUUAGCGGAUGAAAAAGUAAACGAAACUCAUAUUUUUUACUCUUCCCUAAUGGCUUCUAAAUAUGUUUGUAUAUAACUUUCAAAAGUUUAACUUUUCAAUGUUGUAUUAACACUUCACAUUAAUUUUUUUCGAUUCUCCAACGAACUUUAAAAAGGCAUAAUGAGCAAACUAGUUUCACAAUUAUUGCAGCUUACUUAAAUCUAAAAGAAGAGUAUAACUUGAUGGUAAAUGACAGUCUCUCCAAAGGUUGCAGAGUUUCAACCCCCUCCUACGAAAUGAAUUACCGUUUAAAUAUUAAAUUUGAACCUACAAGAGUUAUCAAUUCAUCUUACUAACAGAACAUUCUUUUAGAACAAUAACUUCAAAUAAUGGCAAGCAGAAUGUUUUAUACAUAUUUAAUAUUGAUAUUAAACUAACAACCCAACAUUUAUAACUGCUAUAUUCAAUUUCUCUCUUCAAACCCACAAUCAUGUUCAAAUUUAAAACAUUCAUGAUCACAGAUUCAAAGAAUUACAUCCUCUGGAUGCAAAAAAGAAAAAAAACACCCAUAAAGUCAUAGCAAAAUACACUAGAAAAAAAACACCCAUAAAGUCAUAGCAAAAUACACUAUGGAAUUUAAAGCCGAGAACAAAAUUUUGGAAAGCUUUCUUUACCCAAACACUUUCUUUCUCCACAAGCCUUCACCAAACUAACUACCAUCCUUUUUUGUUUUCCCUUUUUUCCUCCUGUACACUAGCAAAAAAAUUUGGUUAACCCUAUCAUUCAUCAGGGUUGUAUGACCAUUUUUCUGUACACCCAACAAAAAAAAAAGAGAAAAAAAGCAACACCCCUCCCCUUCCCUCCCUAUGUAUAGAUUUCAUCAGGGCAAGUGGGGUUGCUUCAUUUGCUUUCCACUGCAAAAGAAUUUCAUCCACUGUCAGUUACCUAAGUUCUACUAUGUUUCAUCUUCAGCUCCCUGGGUUUGCUGCACUAUUAAUUACACGAUAUUUCGGUACUUCUUUUUGCAACAUCGACGUCCCUUGGAAGAUCAUCAUUUGGUAAUGUCUCUUGAACUCCAUUACCUGCAACAAGAAUACAAAAGUAGUUCGUCACACCACUCUAUGCUUUUUUCCUUCAUCACAUGCAAUUUUCUAUUGUGAAGAUUAAUGUAUACCUCUUCAGGAGGUAACUUGCUAAAACCAAAUUUGUUGAUCCACAAUGACUCUGCUUCGUCUGCAGCUGGAAGAACUAGAUUCUUUACGUUCAAAAAUCCUAAGAACCUCUCGAUGCAUGCAUACAAAGAUUGGAAGUAGCCCUGGAAAUAGUCUUCUUAAUGAGCUACGCAAGUUCAUUUCUCAAUGAAAGAGGAAAAUCUUUUUCAAUGUGAAGAACAGAUGAUAGCUACCUGUCCUUGAAAGUUGGUAUCUGUUGCUACUAAAGGAAGCUCCGCUACUUCAGCCCCAAAUAUUCGAAAUAUUCCCACUGACACAACAGAUUCACUACAAGAAAAGACAAAGAUUAACUAAGUGAUAAGAUUCCAAAAAUAAAACGCAAACUUCAAAAAUUCUUACUUCACUGUUAGAACUGCACAGUAUAUCCCACCAAAUUCUUGACCCCGGAUGUUCCUCCUGCACGGCAUAGAAGUGCAGAAGAUUACUCUCAACAAUCACUAUAUCAACUUCAUAGCAAGAUGCAGAAACUAAUCAUUGAGAGAAUUAAAAAGGGAAAACAAUGAGUACAAUUCUUUACCCAUAAAGCAUCGACGGAAUGAAGUCUCUCCCGGAGGCUGAGUCAACAAUCGGAUCAAAACAAUCCUGGAUUUAUGGGAAAAAAACAAAACAGUUGGUAAGCAGAAGUAAAAAGAAUAAAGAGGCCCACAAAACAAUUCAUAUUUAUCAGUGCGGCUAAGAGUUGAUAAACUAUAGCUUUCCUUUCUAAAGGACGAUUGCUAAUGAUAGUCACUCACAUGGAAAAUAGAAACCGCCUUCGAAAGUAAUGAUCUAGUUUCAUCAGAAGACAGCAUUUUCCAAUUGAGGACCCGCCAUCUAAUUUCAACAUCGUUUAUGCUUGCUGAACCCUGGUCUUCAAUCUUUUUCUGAACAGAGACCAAAAUAGACUCAGGCAGCUUCUCUCCUCCUAAAACCACCAACUUCUCUAGGGCAGAAUGUAUUCUGUUACACUCCGGACAACAAAACCAUUUUCCUUGAGGAAGUUCCUGCAAGAACAGUUGUAUCGAGAUUUUAAAACUCAGAUCACAACAUUUACCACUCAAAAAGAAAUCUGCAGAGAAAGAUGGAACAGGGGAACACCUUCAGAUCUUCCAUGUUGUUUUCCUUUAAGCAACCAACAUGAAACUCCUUCUCACACUGGAGAAAACAUUGUCAUUUGGUACUUCACAGUUAGCGAACAAUGAUAAAAGGAAUCCUAUUCAUUAUUAACAAAAAAUUGUUAAACAAAGUUGAAAAAUAAUACCUGAUCACAGAGAAUAACAGUUCGAGGACCAAACCCUGACUUGCUAAAGUCGUGGCAUCUACAACAAAUGAAACUACCAUUUAGAACAUUUGAAGAAACAUUAAGAAAUAAAAACUAAAAAUGUACAAAUAUUGAGGUGCAAAAUGUGAAAAACAAGGCUCUUCCGAAGAAAAAAAAUAUACCUGCAUAAUGCACAUCCACCAACUUCCACUUCCAUAGUUUUGACAAUUCGAAUGCAUCUCGUUGUUAUCUGUUCAAUAGGAUCAACACCAGCAACCCUUCCAGCGGCAACAGCAUUGGCAUUGUGCUCCACAAAUUUUUCCUUUUGGAACAAAUUCUGGCAAUAUUUGCAGUACCAGAUACCAGUAGGGAUACAUUGUAAAGGAACACAAUCUGAAUUGGCCAAGCACAAAAAGUCAAAUGUAAAUGUAUAUGGUUAGAAUAAUGGGCUUAGGUCAUGUUGAAAGCCCAAGGGUAGUUACAUAAUUUACUUUGCACUAUUUUUAUUAUGUUAUUUAAGCAAGUGUUGCCUAUAAAUACUUCCACUUUGUAGCUUUAUGAGUAUUAGAAAAUAAUAAAAUUAUUAGAACUUGGUUUUUCUCCCUAUACUAAGGUUUCCAUGUAAAAUUGUGUUUGUUCUUCGUCUCUAUUUACGUUAUCUUGUGAUGUUUCUUCUUUAUCUUGUGAUGCAUGCAUACUAUAGGAGGAAUCUCAAAAAGGAAGUUGAGCCUUCUACUGUUCAGACGGCUCUAGUCCAAGAUUCGAAACCAAUAAAAGAUCAAGGUAUAACUAAUUCCAUUGACUCACAUAGUAAUAGUAGAAUGAGUAAGAAUGACAAGUCCAAGACAAAUUCAACUGACUCACAUACCAACAAUAAGGCAAGUGAGAAUGACGAUUACGAGACAGCUAUUCCAGAUGAUAUGGAUGGGCAGGGCAGUAUUGAUGGGGUCAUUGUAGAUAGAGAGAACAAGAUUAGUGAGAAUGAGGUUGUUGUUGAACAUACUGAAAACGAAAUUAAGUCAAACUAUUCAGAAAAUAUCAGUAGGUAUGAUCCAUCUCUUGAUCUUCCUACUGCACUAAGGAAAAGUACUACAUCCUGUACAAAGCAUUCCAUCUCUAAUUAUCUGUCAUAUGAGAAUCUCUCACCACAGUUUAGAGCUUUUACUGUCAGUCUUGACUCUACCACAAUACAAGGUGUUUACAUUCAAGUACAAAGCAUUCACUCAAACUUGGGGAUUGAUUAUGCAGAGACUUUUUCUCCUGUUGCAAAUGAAACACUAUUAGAUUUUUGUUGUCUGUUGCAAUGAAUAAGGAUUGACCCCUAUAUACAUGAAGCUCAAUUUAAUAAUCAGGUUUGCAAGCUUCAAAAGUCUUUAUACGGGUUAAAACAAUCACCAAGAGCGUGUUUUACCACUUUCAUUUAGUCUUAGAGGUACAACCCGGGGCACUCCUAUCACACCUUGUUCAUCAAAGUCUCCAAGACAGGGAAAAUUGUAGUAUUGAUUCUCUAUGUCGAUGACAUUGUGCUAUCUGGGAAUGACACUAAUGAAAUUAUUAAACUAAAGAAGAAGAUGGUGUUUGAGUUUAAAACCAAAGACUUGGAGAGUCUGAAGUACUUUCCCAAGAUGGAGAUUGCUAGAUGCAAAGAAGGCAUCUCAAUGUCCCAAAAAAUGUACACCUUUGGUUUAUUAGGUGAGACAAGUGUGCUAGGAUGUCGUCCUAUUUAUACACCAAUUGAGCUCAAUGCCAAACUCAAAAAUUCAGGUGACAGAGUUCCUCAUGAAAAAAGAAAUAUCAGCACCCGGUAGGAAAGUUGAUUUACUUAUCUCACACUAAGCCUGGCAUCUCCUAUGUUGUAAGCGCUGUCGAUCAGUUCAUGUGGCACCUUAUAAGGACCACAUGGAGACGGUUAAUAGGGUUCUAAGCUAUUUAAAAGCAACUGCUAGUAGAUGUCUAAGAUACAAGAAGACUGACAGAAGAUGUGUUGAAGUUUAUGCUGAGUCUGACUGGAUAGGAUCUAUUGUUGAUAGAAAGUUUACCUAAGGAUAAUGUAUUUUGUGUCGGACAAACUUGUUGCCUAGAGAAGUAAGAAGUAAGGUGUUGUGACUAGAAGUAGCGCGAAAGCCAAAUACAAGGCUAUGAGUUUGGGGAUCUACUAGGAGACCUGGCUCCAAAAGGUGUUGUCUGACCUUUGUCAAGACCAAGAGGUGCCUACGAAGCUUUUCUCUUAUAACAAGACAGCCAUUACCAUUGACAAUAACCUGGUCCAACAUGAUAGAACUAAACAUGUGGAGAUUGACAAACAUUUUAUCAAAGAGAAGCUUGACGAUGGUAGCAGUUGCCUUCCUUACAUAUUCUCAAGCCAACAAAUUGUUGAUAUCCUCACAAAGGGAGGGUUCCUCAUACAAAGCUUUGAUUGGUGUAUUAGCAAGUUGGGUCUUUAUGACAUUUAUGUUCCAACUUGAGUGGGAGUGUUAGAAAUAAUGGACUUAGGUCAUAUUGAAAGCUCAAUGCUAGCUACGUCAUUUACUUUGCCCUAUUUUUAAUCUGUUAAUUAGGUUGCCUAUAAAUACUUCCCCUUUGUACCUUUAUGAGUAUUAUAAAAUCAUUAGCACCUAGUUUUUCUCCUUGUACCAAGGUUUCCACGUAAAUUUGUGUUUGUUCUUUGUCUCUACUUUCAAUAUAUAUACUUACCAUAUGGAAAUAAUUGUAUUCUGCAUUACCGAGUGCUGUGAUGCAUAAAUGCAACAGCAGUACAUCUUAAUAUUUUGAUCAUGAGACUUAUAUUUAUGAAAGAGUAAUCAGUCAACAAAUAUACCGAAAGAGGAGAGAGGAAAGAGGAGAGAGGAAAGAGAGAGACAGCAGAGAUCUCAAAAUUUUGUGAAGAAACUACCAUUAAGAUACGACAUUUUUAACAGGAAGAGUAAUCACCUCUAUGAAAAGACCUGGGGCAGCCAUCACAACACAGCAGAUCCCCUCCAUCUGCACAAAUGCUACACAAGUCAUCGUUAUCAGUCAACGAGAACUUCCGUCCUUUCGAUAGAGAUAUGGACAACUCAUGCAGAGACACCCCAUUUGAUGUGUAAAUGUGCAAAUAUCUGCAAAGGAGGGUACACUAUGCCAAGUCAAUGCAAAACCAAUUAUAUCCACUAAACGAUAAUAUACUGUAAACAAAACUUUUAUUUCAUAUUUCAUGCAAAAUAUUUCUAUUAUUCAUAUACAAUGAUGUGUGAAAAUUACUAAGAGCACAAGCUGGGUAAGAUACAUUAAUUACUUAAAAGUAGGCUUGGAGACAUUAUUAUUUCUCUUAAUCUUCUUUAUUUCUUUUCAAUUUUUAGACCAUAACAUUUGUUAGCUAUUUUUUAUGAGAACAUAGCCGUUUGUGAACUAUUACUUCAUGCUCGUUUCUCAAUCCUAAAAAACACCCCAAAUACUAUAUACAACUGUUAGAAACAACAAAAUCUAAUUUCUUCUUCUCAUUCCAAUUGUCAAUAUAGAGAAAACCUUAUCUCAUCAUUUUUCACCUGUAAAUUGCAUAAAUAAUGUUUUUAUAAUAAAACUACAACACUAAAGGUUAGAAUAUUAUAUUUAAAAUUUAAUUAUCAUGAAAACUCAGUUUUUUCUUAGUUUUCUAUUAAAAAAACAAGUAACAAUUAACAAUGCAUGUUUGUUUCCCUUUUUAAAAGAGAGACAAAAAAGAGUAAUCUGAAACAAGAAAAGAGAUCGUGAACACAGUGGCCCUCUAAUAAGAACGUGAUGUUGUCCUUUCACUAUUUUAAUUAUAUAAAAAUUGCAGGAUAAAUUAUAUCAAAAUAAACUAGACAAAUACUCACGGUUUGCGCCUUGAUGCCCAACCAGCAUGAGCUUCAAAUUGUGAGGGACUAACCUACUCAUUAAGCAGAAGCCAAAUCAAAACUCUAGUAAACCUUCAGAAUCAGAAAUGUUUCAGCAGAAGAAAAGUACCUCAGAAUUGCAGCAGCUACAAAAAAUACCAGAUCCCUUUUUAUACCCAACCAACAAUUUCUGCAAAAUAAGAAUUAGAUGAACUAUACAUAACAUGAAAAUUAUUAGUAAGAACUAAUUGGUUACUAGUCUAUGGUUAAAAAUAAAUAAAUGAUGAAAAGAAAUAUGAAAUACCUGCCCACGGGCAUAGUAUGCAACUUCAGUUCCAUCAGGUAAUAUAUCUUCCUCAAACACUAACUUAUGCAAUCUUAGAUCCCUGUUUGAAAGAUACCAGAAAAUGUCAACGAGAUAAACUAUAACGAAAAGGAAAUAAAUAGAGUACAUCCAAGUGGCACAAGAAUUUAAUAAGGAACAAAUCACUAACUUUCUAGUUAUUCUUCCAUGAAUUUUACCACGAGUCGAAACACUCUUCGUUAUAGUGUCAGAUGACUUGGAAAGUACAUUAGGUUUUGGAGUUCUGCCAAAAACAGACAUAAGAAAUAGAAUUUUAGAAUACAUCAGCGCAAGAAGUACAAUAGCGGUCCAAGAUAAAAUAUGCAACAUUUUGAAUUUUGAUUCCAGAAACCAAUAAACCAUAAAACAUAAUGAGAUGAUCCGCCCAAAACUCUUUCAUGUAAUAGUGUGAUAAGGAUAGUAAAUCUAUUGCCUAGAAAUACAUGCAACAGAGUAUGAUUUCAAGGAACUUAUAUAUCGUGAGACAACCAAAAUUCUACAAAUUAAUACUGAUGUUUCAUAUCAUUGUUAAAAGAAAAUCCGUGAUUCCAGAGAGAGGAAAAUCCAUCCAUUUACAUGUGCAUUAGCAAACCAUAAGAACUUGAUGAGUCGAGUUUGAAAGGGCAAACAGAGGUGUAAUAGACAAUAGUAAUACUGGAAGUAGCAACAAACAGUUCUUUCACCGCCAUGAAAUUCACUCAAUGAAAUAACACAUUGAAUAAAAUUAUAAAACAUAGACAUGUACCAUUGAGAAUCUAUUUAAUUUAAAUACUUAUAGAAAAUUGAUGAUGGAGACUAAAAUAGAUCUUAUUCUUUGACUGAGAUAAUAUCGGACCUACUUCCUUUUAUUCACCUUUGGUGCAAUUUAUUCAACAAAAAAGAAAACCCAAAACCCUUCCCAUCGUGUCAUAUUCCAAAUUCUAAAUGUUCGUUGAUAAAAAUUUCUAAAAGCAUCAAAUGAAGCUAAGAAUUGCUAAUUACCAAAAAAGUAGCAACAUUUGUUUAUAUUGUUGUCACAAAACACUAAAUGGAAAAAGCAUCAGAAUCAGUAAAAACACCUGUCUUUACUAAAGACUAUAGGAGUGGGGCUGGGGCUGGGGCUCGGGCUCGGGCUUGAGCUAACCUGAGGCUUCUUUGAAUCCAUGCAUGAACAGCAAAGUAGCAUGGCAAUACCAGUGUCUGAUUCAGGAAUUCGACCUACAAUGUAAUGAGUUAAAUAUGUAAAUAUUUGACUGUUGGGUGUAGCAACCAAGUAGAUAAACUGCAUGACAAGCUAACCAAAAAUAAAAAGCAACCUUUGCAAUUCAAGCAGAUAGCAGUUCUCUUUACCAAGGAACGACCAAUUGCACUUUGGAUGAAUUCUUCUGUCUGGUCAAAAGAAAAAUUUUGGCAUGCAUUCAUGAUAUCCCGGAGGGUAUUCCCAGUCUCCAAGUAAAUGUACUCUGGUGGACGUUUAUUUGAGCUACCGGCAUGUAGUUCAAAUAAAGUAGGAGAAACAACCUGCAUUAUUCAGAUAUGAAUUAAAAAAAUCCUCGAACAUUUUCAUGUAUCUAACCAUAAACAAAACUUACUUCUUUUCCUUUGCAGUUGUUACAGAAACAAAUUAUCCCAGAGCCACUGAUUACUCCUCCAAGCCCAGUUUCUCCUAGUGCUUUGAUCUACAACGAGUCAGCAGAAGAAGGUAAGACAAAAGAGACAUUUUAGUUGACAAAAAUUGGAAGCUAAUACAAUUUGAACCAAUACCUUAGAACCUCUGAUGUAUCUUACUCGAAGUCCCUCCAAAAUACCUGUAUCCAGAAGGUCUUUUAACUUGGCGGGAAACUUCUUAGCAGACACUUUCUUCAGCUUUGUCUUUCCAAUCUUCACCGGAGGUGUAGCUAAGGGGCCAGGAAUAUCCUCAGGUUUGGUUUCAGUAUCAUUCGUGAUUACUUGCAUUGCCACACCCGUAUUACAUUUUGAAAGAUGUUCUAAGGACGUGGGCUCCACAUUCUGUUUUAAGGCCGAACGAGUAAACCUCUUGCGAGGCUGCUGAAACAUCUUCUUUCCCAACUGACCAUUAACAUCAAUGAUCGACUUCGACCCAUUAGCUGCUUCCUCUGAGGAAACAUUUUUACCCGCCUUCCCUAAAUCCGCACAUGUCGAAAGCUCUUCAGAUUCAUUCCUCAAGGUUUCCUUAGAUUCUUCCUCAUACGAGGGAUCCACUUUUACAUCGACCAAUUCGCUGUGUAUUGCUAAAUCCACAGUACGAUGGCUGCUUGGAUCCUCACUAUCCAAUAGUUCCUCCUUCGAUUCUUCUAUACGAAUUGCAUCCAAUUUCUCGUCCUUAGUUCCAGUAUCACCCGUAGAUUCAUCAACCUGACUCUUGGGUUCUUCAUCGCUUAUAAGGUCUACAAUAUCACUCUUGGCUUCCUCUUCACUCAUUGAAUCCGCCAUGUCCUCCAUUAUCUUCACCUUCUCAACCUCCCCCACCUCGCAACUCCUUAACUGGGCAGCCUCAUCCGAUUCCUCAUCUUCCUCCUCACCUUCUUUGGCCUCCAUCGUCCCUAACCCCUUUAACCUCUUCGGGGUGGGACUCUCCGGAAUCGCAUUAUGUAACUUCGUGGAACGAGUCCGACCUAAUGAUCCACAAAUCGUCGAUUGAACUUUCAAAGCAAAUGCAAACUCACGCUUCAGACCAGUCCGGACUCGUGAUAACACCACGAACUCAUCCGGAGCCGUACCGUUCGCCAUAUACCAUAUAGAUCAAUUAACCCCCCUCAAAUUAUUCCAGUUAUACAGAUUUCAAAAAUGAAUUAUCAAACUAAAACAAGAACACAAUAACGGUAACGUAAUACAUCCCUGACGCCUGUGAUUGAUUAGAUUUCAAUGACGUUACCAAUCGGAUAACCCCAGAUAAACAAACCAAUUAUGAUUUCAUUCUUUUGAUGAAACAACGCAGCAGAUAGGAGAACAUGAAAGGAAAAAAAACACACACGCACGCAAACUCAAAAAAAACGAAACAAAAACUAGGGUUUGCUGAACGUCGUGAUUUGAUAUUUUGGGUUAGGAAAGAAGGAGAAAAGAAUGGAGGGCACUGAGUCGGUUUCUUGGAAGAAGGUAAAACGAAAAAGGGAGAAGACAGAACCAGUUUUUGAUAAUACCGAAGAUGGCCUUAGAUAGACGACGGCGUAAAAUGAUUAGGGUAAUUAAACGACGUAGUAUAGGUGAAUGUUGUUGAGGGUAAUUUGGUAAGUGAAAAUAAACAGAAACGCAAUUGCUUCGACCACGCAGCUCCACGUUGUAAAAUAAAUAUUUGUUUAUUUUUGUGUGAAAAGAAGUUUUUUGAAAAACGAGAAUUUUCGCGGCUUAGACCUGAAGAGGAUCUUUACAUACACAUAGAAAGAAUCGCGUGCCACCCAAUCACAGCUUGCCAAAUAUAUAUUUUCUUUUUUAAUUUUCUAAUAUCCGCCGUGGAAUUCGCGGGAGAUUUACCGGAACUGGGCCGGAUUCACAGUUGGGAUGUAUAAGGCCCAUUUCACGAAUAUAUGAACCUCAACCGUCUUGGUUCGGGUCGGUUUACCUUCAGCUACCGUCCACUCGAAUCAGACCGCUCCGGUUCGGUAUUGGGCUUACAUGUAAAUUAUCUCAUUUCUUUUAGUCAUAUUAAACCUAAAAUAGUUCAAAUGUUGAAUUUAUUACUCUAUGUGGUUCUUGUAAAUAUGUUGACUUUUUAUUAUAGGUUUAGGUUUAAUAUUCUUUCCUUCUUGGCUAAAUAAAAACGAAUAGCUAUUCUCAUCUCGUUUUAUUAAUGUGUUAUGUUAUAGUAAACUUCUAAAUUAACAAUUAAAAUUUUAAAUUUUCUUUAAAUUAAAUAAAGGUAACGACACAUAAGUAAACAUGAAAUGAUAUAGAAUUCUUUAUUUUCACAUUUGGGCAGAAAACGUACUAUUUAAGUGGUUUUAAAAAAUAAACAAAAUCCACUCUACAUAAAUUUCAAGAUGUUUUUCCAAAGCAAAAACUUAUUUCCACUCUAAUUCUAGUAACUCGUACUAACGUGUUUUUCAACAAAAAUGGAUGGAAUGGUAUAUUAAUAUCAAGAUUUUGAGGUUGGUAAUGUACUAUUGAUGUCAAUUAAACUUUCUUAAAUUUAAAAAUUAUUGUCGAUAUUCAUUGAAUUUAAUGAUGCUGAAUCGACUCCGUAGUUAUCUAUAUAGAAAGUUGAGGAAAGUAAUUUGGACUAAGGAUAGAAUUUUAUUAUUGUCAUUCAAAAUCCAUGGAUUACUUUGAUGGUUUUGGCUUUCUAUAAUAAAUUAAAUUAAUUUGAUAAUUGAGGUAGGGUUGAAUCUUUAAUCAAUAAUUUAUUGCUCUAUAAACUCUACAAUUAGUGUAUGAUGCAAUAUUUCUAUUUCCUUUAAAUCAAAUAUAGCAUGUCAAUUAUUUACAUAUAAUACUUAUCUUCUGUCGUGUUUCAAUUAAUGUUUACGUGGAUUCGUGGAUUCGUUAAUGUAUACUUUGAACAAAUCUUUAAUAGAAACAUGAAUAUAACAAUGAUAUAAAAUAAACACAAAAUAACAAUAAAUACAUGUUUAAUUGAGAUUAGAUGUUCAAUCAUUCAUACAUGUUUCCUCUUAUACUAAAAGAACAAGUAACUUGUUUUUCAAAUUUAUUUUUUCAAACUCAAACCAUUUUAUCAACGGAUUUCAAUUAAAUAAAAAUCAGGUCAUAUCAAAAUGCUUAUAAGACACGUCAAAAUUUUAGAUUAUAUGAAUGUUUACCGGUUGCUAAAAAUGGUUGAAAAGCAUUUUCCAAAAAAAAAAAAUUCACAAAUUUAUUUAUUUUCAGUCCAAAUCAAAAGGCGUUUGUAUUACUCUUUUACUUAUAUAGUAUUUUUAUCCUCCAACAUGAUUCUACAUGCAAAAUCUACUUUAAUAAACUUAUACCACUUUAUUUUCUUUUUAUUUUUUGUCUUAAGCUAAACCCAUGCAAGAUAAACUUCAGAUCUAGUACAUAAUUUAAUAACUAUUUUUAUCUUAAUAUUCAAUAACCAUGAUUAUAUAUUUCAAUAUUGACAAUUAAAAAGUAAAAUUUAAACUAAAAUCUUCAUUUACUCGAAGAAAAAAGAUCACACAAGUUCACAAAAAAAAGAUUCAAAUUCGAGUAUCAAAAGGAUCCUCCAUAGUUUGAUGUACACCCCCAAGUAGUUGAGGGAAAAUAUGAAUAGUUUUGAACAAAUAGAACGGAAUCACAUCUGAAAAGAUGAAAUAGAGAGAAAAAAAAGUCGAUCUUAUUUUUCUCUGAAUUUAUUUUAUAAAUUAUUUCCCAUUUAUUAACCAACCAAAUCAAACUUCCCAAAAACAAAAAAAAAAAAACUAAAAUAUUGCACUCAGAUUUCCAUCACAGCUGAGAGACGUCACAAAUUCACAUCCAAUAAAUUAAAAGCCACAACACAAAAAUGCAUAUUUAUUUUUGAAACAUUAAAGUCAACAAGUAGUGAUAAUUAGCAGAAAGAAAAGACGAAGAAAAAAAAGGAUAAUCAACCUGGGAAUUGAGAGGAAAUUCCAAAGGUAUAAAAAUGCCAAAAGGAUUAGAAUUGCCCUGCAAACAAUAGCUAGCUAGACUUCAGCUGCUGCUUUAGCCCCCACUUCAACUACUUUUCCUCCGCCACCUCCGACCGCCGUUACCUGAGAUAUGUAUCGAUUAAAACACUACGGCUAGUCAUAAAGAGGCGGGCGAGGCGAUGGGCGCCGGCGCCACCGGUGGUUGUGUUGGAAGGAGAGAUUAUUAAAAAGGUGAGAGAGGGGUAGUGGGUUUGUUGUAGAGAAGAGUUAUUGGUUUGAAGCAUCUUGGAGGGUAUAUGCGUCAGUUCCUCGCAUGGAAACAGGGGACUUGUCGCAUCGGUCACUUCUGUUCCCUGUAUAGUUUAGAAUGUAACUGAGAAAAAUAAAUGGGUUUCAAAGGCUGGAUCCGGUCACCCGGUUGUGACCCAUUAUUCGGGUUUUGUAUUUUGAAACACAAGAUUGUCUACUCACGUCACGUGCGCUAUCUCCUAACUCAACUCACCCAACGUGCGCAUUUCUCCUUCUUCUUAUUAUUAUUCCUUUUAAAUGGAAAUUUAAAACUAAUUUAUUCUCCUUUCUUUUCUAUCAUUUAUUCCCAACUAAAUAUCAAUUUCUUUUUAAUAAAUGUAUUUUGUAAAAUUGAACUUUUCAAUACAAUCUCUAUUUACUCUUUGGAUGUUUUUUCUCAAAUAAGUUUCAUAAAUUUAAUGUAAUUGAAAUGAAUAUUUAAAAAACUUGUAGUUUUCUUUUCCUUUUUGACAUACUUUUCUUGGAUAAUUUUGUAGUAAAAUCUUGAUGGUUAUGAUUUUGAUUUUUUAUUUUUGUAUAAAAAUAAUAGAAUUUAAAAAUCUUAUAUAUAUAUAUAUAUAUAUUUAUCUUUUUUAAAUAGUUUCAAUUUCAAAUUAUAAUUCUAAAACUUUUUUCCUAUUUUCCAAAUUGAAACAUUUUUAUUUUUCCAUUUCUCUGGUGGGCCGAAUUUUCUUCUUACUCAAAAUUACGAAUUUUGUGUAGAUAGGCUGUAGUAAAACGACAAAUAAUUCGUUACCGGCCCAUUAUUAGAGAAAAUAUGGGCCAAUGAAGGUCCCUAUGUGCGCACAAGUUAUACAAGGUUAGUUUCGGACGACAAGUCGCGGCACCCACCAUACGAGCUCAGACGACACGUAGUUUCAGUAAAAUUACUGGAUUGAAAAUUCAAUCUUCUCUCUUUUUUUAGUACUAAAAUGUCCUUUUUAAUUCCACAAAAAGGAAAACUGUAAUCCACAUUUAUUGAAAGAUUUUUUUAAUUUUUUUUCUAAAAUUUGAGUUUAAUUUUCAUUACAUAUGGUUAAAUUUUAGUUUUUAUUUAGUUAUUAGAUUAUAUAUUUUACAAAUUUACCUUUAGGAUGUUGUCAAUGCUCACCUUACUACGUGACAUUGACAUUAAUUUAACUAAUUUAAAAUAUUUAUGGCGUGACAUUUUCUUAAUUAAUAAUAACAGUUACGAAAAAUGAGUGGAUUCUAUCUAUCAGUAACACAUUUAUUUAUUUUUAAAUAGCUAGCAUACAACAACAAUAACUUAUUAAAAAGCGAAUAUUUAAUAAAAAAAAUCAACGUUAAAGAUGUAAGUGUUAAAGUGUUCGGUUGAAAGAAAUCUCAAAACUCGAAAGAAAAAAUUUAAUAUCUACGAACAAAAAUAACAAUUUUAACUUAAAAUCACAAAUUCAAAUAUAAAAUUUUGAAACAUAGGAACAAAAUUAAUAGAAAUUCAUACUCAAAACUUAGAGGUUAAAAAAUGUAUUUCAUGUCAUAAAUAUAUUGCUAACUGCUACAAAAUUUAACAAAUAACGAGUAAUGGUAAAAAUCCAAAAGAAAAAUGUGAGAUAAAAAUGACAAUAAACAUGCGAAAAUGAUUACUCAUAUAGAACUCAAAGAUCAAACUACAACUUGCAAGCUAAGUAAUAAGUAGUACUCUCGAAUUUCAAACUAAUAACCAUGGUAAACGCUAAUAGAAGUUUACACAUUAUUUUACAUAUAUUAUGAAACAACAUCUCACAGUUUACUAUUGGCAACACAUUAAUUAUACUCGAUGAGGCAAAACGUUCCAUACUAUUUAGGUACAUACAAGUAAGGUGCAAAUUAUUGGACCAUAAAUUGACAGAAGAUAAAUUAUUUUCCUAAUUCUUUUUAUUCUCGAUGUAAAUGAUAAAAGAGAGACAUAAAGAUAGAUAUAGGUGGCAUGAGAAAUGAACAACUAUAUGCUAUUUAGAAGUGAUGUUAAAUAAAUGAAAUAGAGAUUGGAGAAGUGUGCGUUUAUUAGGGGAGAGUGUGUCGCGAGUCACGCCCGCGUCGUCGCUAUGGCAAGUGACCGGUCGGCCACUUCUCACAAUCAAAUCCGGAGGGUUUUGUGGCCAAACGCGUGGCCGUAUAUAUUGGAAAAUUUUGUUUUCUUUUUAUUAUUUUGAUUUGACUAAUCAAAUCCCCAUUUUCUUUUUCUUUUUUAUUCUUUUUUUCCCCUUAAAGGCUUAAACCCCAUGAAAAUAAUUAAUUAAAUAACUCAUUUACUUUUCCUUUUUUUAACCUUUUCAUUUCCACCACUCAACUUUCCUGUUCAUCCGUACCAAAAUAAUUUUCUUCUGGUUUCAAACAAAUAAAUUCUGCUCAAAUCACACGUUGUAUAUAUGGUAAUGCAAUGAUGUAAAAUAUUAAAUGUUAGGAUGUCAUAAUCUUUAAACUUUAUCAGUAAAUUUAUUGUUUUCUUACAAUACAUUGUUACCAUUUAUACUUUUGAUAUAAAAAUAUAAUAAUUGGUAAUCACAUUUACUAUAGUUAAAAUUUUCACUUUUAAUUUAAACACACAACUUAGUCAGCAUACACGUUUAUUUAACAAACUAAAAUGUCUACUCUGAUUCAUAAUUGUAGCAAAUUUUAUGAAAGUGUAUGCAAAGUCUACCAUUUUUUUCCUUUUUUUUUUUAUUUUAUUGAUUUAAAAAGUACAAAAAUUUAGGUUGAUUGUGAGGCGAAACAUAGUCAUGACCUUGUUGUACUAUCUCUUCCUUUCCCUUUUAUAAUCCAUGCAUUGCUAAACCUUUGAUUGAUAUCUAUUAUUAUACACUUCCUUUUACCUUAUUGUACAUAGUCAUGACCUUAUCGUACUCUUCCUUUCCCUUUUAUAAACCAUGCAUUGUCAAAUCUUGAUUGAUAUCUAUUAUAUGUUUGUAUGAUGCUCACUUUUUUUAUUAACAAAUGAAAUUAAAACACACACACACACACACAAGAUUAAUAAAGGAGAGAAGAAAAUGAUAGGAAGAGUGCUAGAAUAAUAGGGUGGCCAAACUAUGGCAUGCAUGAAUAAUACCGAUUCUCAUUUCUUUUUUCUUUUUCAAUAGUACAUAUGAAAUCUAUUAAAUCAAAUGUAAAAAUAAAUAAUUGUUAAAAAUUGAACGUUGACAAAAUAUUUACACUUCAAACAAAAAUCAUAUUUAACAAACUUUGUCUUUUAGUAGGUUUGUUUUAUAGAGAGUGUAAAUAAUUUGUCAAUUUUUUUCUAUUUUGGAAAAAAUCUAGAUUUGUCACAUCAACAACUACAACAUUCAUAUUUCAUAUAACUAUAUUUAUAAGUUUGCUACUCAAAGUCUAUCGUUAUUAUAUAUAUGUAUGUUGAACUUUUACUUAUUAUAAAAAGUUGGCAAAACAUCUUAAGAUAUCAAAAUAUCACAUAAAAAGAAUUGGUCUAUACUGCAAAUCUCUAGUUAAGGUUAUAGAUUCGUAAAUAGCGCAUUAUUGUAUUUGAUCUAUUAAAUAUAUAUAUUGAAAUUUUACUUAAUAUAAAAAAGUAGGCAAAUUAAACACAUCUUGCAAAAUUUUCGAUAGAAUUUCUCAAAUUCCAUUAGAUGAAGAGUAUAAGUUAAUAAUUGGAAAAAUAUAUACGAGAAAAAAACCGAUCUAUACUUCAAAUCUCUAGUUAAGGUUAUAGACAAUUCAUAUGUAGUGUAUUAUUGUAUUCAAUCUAUUAAAUAUUAUUUAAAAACUAGUUUAAUUGACAUUCGCUCUUUUUCAAUUAUUCCACAUAAACUAAUUAUAGAGAGAUUCAUUUGAACUUGAUAAUCCAUCCUAUGACGUAAUAUAUGCCAAAAAAACAUAUUAAAAUAAUAUGGAUGAUAACGAUCAUUUCUUAAAAAGAAAACCAAUAAUUAGAGUUUAUAAUAAUAUAAAACUAUACAUAUACAAUAUAAUUUUGUGCAAAAACAACACAUUUUUCUUAUUUAAAUUUCCUUGAGAUUAGCAUAGGAAAGCAAUAGCACCACUUUGCUGCAAGAAAAUGAGAGGUUGGUUCCUUAACUUAUAAUGCAUCAACCAAAAGAAAACUAUCAACAACACAAAAAUCAGAAAACUAAUUAAGGCAACAAUAUAGAAUGAUAUAUAUAUAUUGGAAAAUGAAUGAUAGUUCUUACUAUACAAUCUAAAAUUUAUAAAAAGAAAAAAAAGGAAAAGGGGUUGUUGGUUGAAGGAUAUAGUUUAGUUUGCUUGCUUUUUUCCCUUUCACUUUAGCUUCUUUCCACUCAUUUCCUUAGACAUCAAAUUUUAGGUGAGAGAGAUGAGAACAAAAAUAAUAAAUUAAUGGUUGAGAGAAAAUUGAAAUCCCACUUUUAAUUAAUAACAUUUAGCUUCAAAUUUGAUUUUAUUAGGGGGAAAAAAUAGGUCAUGAGAGUCUAUCUAUGUGGUGUGUGUGUGUGACAGAUUUGUGAGAUGAUAAUUUUAGUGAUUAAGCAUAAAUUAAUGCAAAUUAGGUAUGAAUACUAAGAAUGUUUUGGAGGGAUUAAUAAGGUCUUAAUUAUUUUUAUUAAUGACUUUAAGACUUGGGUUAGUCUCCUAAUUUGGGAAAUAUAAUUAAUCCAUUUCCCACACACUUUAACUAAAUUAGUUUGCCAAAUCAAAGUUAUAUACUUUAUUAACAAUUCCAAAGCCAUUUUUUUUGCAAACUCUUUAUACCUUACCAAUGAUCAUUUUCUUUUUCUCACUUUAAUAAUUGAAAACCCAUCUUAAUUAUAUGCAUUUUAAUCCUUUUUGGAUCAAAUCCACUUUGGCUUUCCACAUUUUCUUAGCAAACUAUGACAACCCAUUUAUUUUCUUUGAUAAUUUGAACUAUUGGUUUCUUUAGAAUAUUGUACCAAGCUCACAUUUUUAUUUAGAUCGGUGAGGGUUGAUCUAAAGGCUUCAUUUCAUAUGUCUUUGUUCAUCAAACUUCGAGGCUCAACCUUAGUUAAGGAUGGAUCGAGAAGAUUGGUUUGGACUUUUAACCAAAAUCCAUCUUUUCAAGUCUAAAUUGGCUACAAUAAACUUAAGCCCAUCGGACAGAGAAGGUCGGUUGUGACCUUAUCCUUGGCUGAAGUUGAGGCUAAUCAUACUAUUUUGGCUCAAAGUCUAGUCAGCCAUUUCCCUUAAAGCCUAUGUUAUCCUCUUGGCUCAAUUGCUUCUCUUUGUUAUAGCUUUUUAAUUAUAUUGGUGUGAUGAUCAAAUUUUCCCUUGUUAUGUCGUUUUUACCUUUGAUUAUAGAGUCCACCUCUAAGAUGUUGUUAUCUAAAUUUGGUAGGAAUGAUAAAUUUGUAAUAAUCGAAUAAUAUCAAACCAAAAAACUAUUUAGCAUUAAUGUGAUAUAUACUUUCCAUCAACGUUGUUUUGACGAUCAACAUAAUAAACGGUUGGGAUGACUUGAGCUUUUCACUCAUAGCAAAAGCCAAAAAAAAAAGAGAAGACAUUUUGAAGGAAAAGUAAUAGAUUGUUGAUUUUAAUUUGUGAAAGAAGUUUACAUGAAAAGACUCGUAAAUGAGUCUCCAAAUUACGGUCGAGUAGAAGUGGUUGCACCUAAAAAGAAAUAACUUUUUAAUACUCUUUUCUCUUCCAUAUUGUAACCAAAAGUUUGUUAUAUUAUUUACGUUACAAAAUUAGGAAGCAACUAACUUAUCGCGAUAUAACAUUAAUAUCACACCAUUUUUACUUGUAAGACAAUGAAUUAUUUAUCCUCCACUAUGCAACACAACACAACACAACGACCAGUAUUAAGUCAUAACAAAAACAUAAUUAUUCUCGUUUAAUUAAAUAUAUUCCACUAAGUAGAUCUUGUAUAUAUAAGAUUGGAUAAAAUUUAAACAAACACGUCGUUUAUUAACUAGUUAAAAGAUAUGAAGAUAAAUAUAAGGUAAGUUGCCGUUAGAGUUGUCUAGAAUUGAUAUAUACACAAAAGUGAAUGAUUUUUGAUUAGAUAUGUCACCGAUGUACCUACUUAGCAAUGUUCUCUCUUUUAACUUUUGAUGAGUUAGCCUCCUGAAAGAGAAGCAAUAUGUCUGAUAAGCAAGAAAAUAAUUUGACGUUUAAUAAUGGGCCUAAUUUGGGGGGCACAUACCCUACAAAGUUUGUCAUACAUAUCAACACUAUACUAUAGUUUCUUAAUUAAGUUCCUUUCUAAUUAACCAAUUAAGUUGCAAAAAUAUAUAUUAUUUCUAGAUCGUUAACAUGUUUAUCAUAUUCUUAAUUCUUAAUUAAGGAUCUGAAGCUAGAUUGAAGAAUGUUACGUAUGUUCACAAAAAAGGAUAGAAAACUAUUCAAUUAGGCUACCUACGAUCUUACUAGAUGUAUGAGAGAAACAUAUUUUAGAUUUAUAUCUACUUUUAUAUUCAAGACACGAAUAUUUACUAUUAUAUAUAUGUGUGAGUCACAUUGAAUAUUUUCUUUUAAAAAAUAGUCACGAUAAUCAUAAACAUGAAUUAAUUAUUGUGUCCUGAUACAUAUGUAGGAUCGAUAUAUUCACCAUUGAUCUUUUUCCUAAUUAUUAGAUAUGCGACAUAACUUGUAAGGAAUGAUAAUUAAAUAUCUAACAAUAUUUUCAUUGCUAAAAAAAUAUUUGUUAUGAGAUCGAUAGACUAAGAAAACAAAAAAACGUAAAGCAAUAUAAAAACAACGCAUAUGUUUACACUGUUUAUUAACAAUAUAUCAGCUACAUACACACUGACAAAUUAAAAACCAAUUUAUUAAUAAAAAUAAUUCAAAGAUAAUGAGUUUAUAUAUAUAUAAUCAAUUUUUCUAAAUUCGUGAAUAAUAUAAACAUGCAAGAUUAUUGAAUACUGAUCAAGGCAUUCCAACAAUAUUGAAAAUAUAGAUACCAAGAUUCGAAGAAACUUCAAAAUAAGAAAUAUUUUCGUACGAUGUGUGUAAAUUUUAUUUUUUUAAUUUGAACUUUUCAUCUUUUAAUCGAUAUCAAAGUAACUAAUCUAACACUGUUCAAUCCACGUGUAUAUGAUGCUCAUAAACACGAGUUGAAAUUUAUUAGUGUUCUUUUUAGAAAAAAAUAGGAAGACGGGGAGAUUUAGUUUAAUUUGUAGACCCAUAAGAAUUUAACCAUUUCCUCAUGGGGGUAUUUGAAUUGUGUUAAGGAUGAUCAUAUAUAUAUAUAUACAUAUAAAUAAAAAAUGGCAAAGGCAUAUGGGCACAAUGUGAAGAGAAGGACAAAGCAAGGUCCAUAUGCAUAAUUAUAUAAAGAGUGAAAGACAGGCAACCUAACACCCAAAUAAGUGUUAUUUGCUACCAAUUAACCCUUUCUAUCUUUAUCUUAUUGUCUCAUUGUUCUUUGUAUAGACACUCCCUUUUCCCCCCACAACAUAUUUGUUCUUUUGUAAAUUGUCAUUUCCACUUUACAAUAAUUCACUAUUAUUGUUAUCAUUAUUUCAUUAUAUUGUUGGAGUAAAUUUUGACCAUAGAAAAUGUUAGUGGUUAAUUCAACGAAAGUAAAGAGAAAAAUGAGUUUAGACAAAUCUUAGAAUUAAUUAACCGUAUAUAUAAAUUGAAACGUAAAAUAUUAACGUUGGUUUGACUAGCUAUCUACAUUUUGUUACAUAGUUUUUUGUUUUUGAAAUUUGGAUUAAGCUUAAAACUUCUUUACUUUACAAACCAAAAAAGAAAAUCAUUCUAAGCAAAUGAGAAGAAAAAAAUGGAAUGCUUAUCAAGUGAGGUCUAAACAAAAUUGGUAAGUAAUCUAUAACUAAUCUUUAAACUUUAAGCAAGUUAUAGGAUCAUGCAAUGUGAAAAUAUUGCUUUCAUUUAUCAUCUAUCUUGUCGACACGUAGUUUUUGAAAGAUAACGUGGACUAGAAUAUCGUAGAAGUGCACGGACACCGACAAGAUUACGUUUUCACACGUAAAUAGAUGUCGAAAUUAUUUUGGAGAAUGCAAUUACAAAUUGAUUUCAUAUACCACACAUGAUGAUGGAUAGAUUCUCGAAAUCUCAUGAAAAAAUAAAUUAAAGUUUAAGGCUAGCUAAAGUUUAUUGACUUUAUAUGAUACCUCUAGAACUAAAAACUGUAGUAGAUAAGAAAUUAUUUGUUGGAAUCAGAAUGUGAUCACUACAUAACAAUCCAUAAAGGAAGAAGUCAAUUUGGGUAAAUUUAGGGUUUGUGUUUAGAUUCUUGUGUUUGUCUUUAUUUCUCAUCAACAUGGAUCAUAGUCUCAUAAUCAUUCAAUCAAUUACUAGGUACUUGCAUUUAUAUCAUACAUCUGUGCCAAAUUAUAGCCUCCAUAUAUAAAUUUGGUGGUUUUAAUAUUUUGGAUGAAUUUUUAUUUAAAUUCUAAUUCUAUUUUUUUAGUUUCUAAACCUCAAUUAUGUACGAUUAAGGCCAUGUCUAUUUUGAGGAAAAUGUAAUCCAAUAUUCAAUAGUAAUUUGAAAAGUUAGCCCUAAUGUUGUUAUGAUAUUUAUCUUAACAAAAUAUGGAUCGAAGUCCCGUUAUAAAAUAAGUAAACAAUAAAUGUAAUCUAAUUGUAGGUAAGGCGAGGACGACCAAUAUAAUUCCCUUUAAAAAUCACGUAGAAACUACUAGUGGUUUUUAAGUACUUUGGAAAGAUUUUUUUUUAGUUUGUAUCUACUAAAGUUAACGUUUUUUUGUUAGUAUAACAACUAUGAAAAUAUUUGGCGAUAAUCGAACUCCGACCUUAAGACUAAAGGUCAUAUCAUGUGAUUUAACCAUUAUAAUACAACCGCAAUAUACAAUGACGAUAUUUUGCUACAAACCCUCAUGUAUAUUUAAUUAUACACUACACAAACUCUAAACCUAACACUAGUGAUUAAGACACCAACAACAAUCAACUUUCCUGGCUAGCUAAAGAAUAAAAGUUUGAAUUCCACCAUAUGAUUAUAUUGUUAUAAUUAGAAUUUUUAAAUUAAAUGACGAAUUCCAACCUCAAUAUAGAUUUGGUAGUUUAAGAUAAUUACAAGGUUACUCAAUGAAUCAUUUUAAUUUCUUUUCUACAUAUAUUUUUCUAAACUUCCAAUUUUAUAUCGGUUAGUUUUACCUUUAAAUUUAAAAUAUAAUAAAAUAUCUAAAUUUAUCAAUUGAUAUUAACCAUCACACUAUUCAUCAAUAUCACUUAUAGACAUUAAUAAAAAUCUCUAUUAAUGUUUAUUACUAGAUGGAUUAUAAUUUUUUUUUUUGCUAUAUUUAUAAACAUUUAAAUUCAUAUUUUGAUAGAUUUAAAAACAAGCGAGAAUAAACACAAACUUGAAAAUUACAUUAUCUACCCCUCCAAUUUAAUUGAUAUCUAUAUAUAUAUAUAUAAUAAAUUGAAAGAUUUAAAUAAAAAAAUUGGUGAGGCAUUAAGUAAGGCCACGGCGCAGUUGUAAAAAGCAAUAAAAUGAGAAAUAAGAAGACAAAUAAAGGUGUGUGUUAAUUAGAUGGGGUCGACAUUGUAUUAAUAGGGGAAACACAAAGGAGAAUGGAAUGGAAAGUUGCAAACAAUUAAUAUUGAAGCGAACUUAGAAUAAUUAAUUUAGUUGGAAAACAAAAUUUUAAAAAAAUAAUAAUUAUAAGAAGAAGAGAAGUAAUUAAAAUAAUAUUAUAAAAAGAGUGAAAAAAAGUUAGGUUUGAAAGAAAAAAGAGAAAAAAGAAAGUAAUUCCAUGGGGUUAAAGAAUUAUGAUUGGGUGGCCAACUUUAUAUUUUCUUUAAUGAUUAAAAUAAGUAAGGCAAGCCCUGUUAUGAACUUUUGGUCGCACCCCAAUUAUUUAAAUAGAUAGCUUUUGGCUAAACUUAGGAUAAGAUAUUAAUUGUAUUCAUAGAUUUCAUGCACUCUAUCAUAUGCUUCCUCUUUCUUGGAAAUAAAGUUGGUUUUUUAAUUAUAUGUAUUACAUAUUGUGUGUUUAGGGUUUUUUGUGGGACUUUGUUAUGAGUUAAAUAUCUUAUAGUGUUUUCUUUUUUAUAUGUAUACUUUUAAAAAGAUAAUCAUUUCUGUAUUUUCAAUAAAUAGUUUAGUUCCCAUCAAAAUAUUAAUUUUAAAAAAUUAUUUACGCUUCAUAACAAAAAGCAUAAAAGUUUAUUAUAAUUUUUUUUUACUGUUUUCCUUUGGUUUUUAUUUCAUUUUGCAUGAGAAUUAUUAUUAUUAUUAUUAAUAUCAAUAAAAGUGAAAAUUUGAAGGAAUAAGAAGCUAUUUGUAUUGAUUAGAGAAAAAGGUUUAUCAAAGAGUUAUUUUUCACAAUUUUUUUUUAUAGAAAGAGUUUUAUAAAUAAACUUAAAAAAUUUCACUUAAAACUACUUUUGAUUUAAACUAAACACACCCUAAAUUAUGAUUUAUUGAAAGAAUUACAAAUAGAAUUAGAUACUGAAUUUGAUAGCAGAGAUUAAAAUGUAUUUUAAUUAUUAAAUUUUAUGGGUGGAGUGUUGAGUGAGUAAAGUGGAGAUUGUAGGGUUUUUGAUGGAAAAAUAAGUUUGCAAUAAAUUAGAAAAAGAAAUAAUAAUAAUUUUAAUUGGUGGAAAUUUGGAGGAUAAUUUUUUAAAAUUUUUUAUUUUAUUUUAGUGGUGUGUGUGUGUUGAGAAAUUAGUGCAAAGAGUUUGAAAAACAACAGACAAUAAAAGGGAAAUUGAUUUUGACCUAAGUUUAGGGGAGUGAAUGUGAUCAUAUUCUACAAAAGUCAUCAUUUAGUGGUUUAAGUGAUAAAAUCCUUGUUACUAUUCUAACCAUUAUUUAUUUUUGUGUUAAUUAUUGGGAAUUAUUACUAUUGUUUUUAAUAUAGCUACCUUCUAAAUAAAUAACAACUUAAAAGAAAACAAUACUUUCCCACCAAUUAACUUGUUCGAGUUAGUAAAAUUUAACUUUACUAUAUAUGGUUAACAACUCGUAGCUCUAUACUUGAAAUUAUCGUUGUUUAUUAUUUUAAGUAACAUCGGUAUAAAAGAGUGACUUUUAUUAAUUAAAUAAAUAAUUAUUAAAUAAAAUAAAUUCUAUUUAAUCAUUGAAUUAUGUUCAUGUUUACGAAUUUAUUGAAUGCUCAACUCCAUUUGGACGAGGUAGAAAGUGAGUUACGAUUUUUUAUGGAUGAAAUGAUAAAAAAUAAUAAAGACUUUGAAAAUUUCAAAUGAGAAGAAAAAAAUAGAAUAAAAAUUGUAAACAAAAGAGAAUGAUCCCUUGAGUUUGCACCGAAUCUAAAAUGAGUCGAAACUAUUCCUACAAAUCUUUCGAGAGAAAGUUAAUAUAACAAUUAAUAUGUGAAAAUUGGAAGCCAUGGCUAACAUCAUAUCACAAAUGCUUAUUAAUGAUUAAAAGUUUUUGUUAUCAAACAUAAAUAUGUGUUAGUAUAGUUAAGCUUUAGUUUGUUGUUAAUUGCACGUUUUGAAUUUAAUGAUAUUAGAAAUUUUACCCUCCAAAAUAUUUGAGAUCGAGUCAUAAAUGACGUAAUAUAUACUUAACAAUCUUUACCAUUAAUUCGUCAUAUCAAUUUAAAUAUUUUAUUCCAAGAGAAAAAUCCAACAGUGAACUUAAAAAAAAAUGUACUCCUUCAACUCUUGUCUCUUUGACCUCUAAUAAACUUGAAAAAAAAGUGUAUAAUAGAUAAACGACCUCGUAACAUAUUCAAAAUGGUUUUAAAAUUCAUUUCGUUGACGAAUUUUAAACAAAAAAAAUUAUUAUAAAUGAUAAAAAUUUGUGAAAAGAUUUACGAACUAUAACAAAAAAUUUAGAUUCUAUAAAUAAUCGAUAGACACUAAUAACUAGUACUAAUAGAAGUUUUUUUGUUGGUGAUAAAAUAUAAAAUUUUACCAUAUUAUAUAUAUAUAUAUAUAUUUAUUUAUUAUAUUAUAUUUGAAAAUGUCACCAUUUAAAUCCAACCUAUUUUUUUCAGGUGAUUAUAGAAAGAUAGAAAAGAAAUCUUAUAAAUCAUAUAAAUAUAUUCAUCCUCCUUUGUGUGGUAGGUUUUUUGAGACCUUCCCCCCUUUGACUAGAGAGAACUAUAUCAAAUUAAUUUGAGAGCCUUUUAAUAAUUAGCCCAACCUUUAUAAUACUUUUCCCCCUCCUAAAUUUAUGUCAUUCUUUUUUAUAUAAUAUUGUUUAAAAUAUGUCUCUUUUAAAAGAAAAAUAUGAAAACCAUAAUCAUAGAGCUAAUAAAAUUAUAGAGAGGAAACAAUAAUAAUAAAAAUUAAAGAAAAAUGAUAGCCCUAAUUGUUUGUACCACUAAAAAGGUGAAUUCAAUGACCCUCACAAACAAAUAAUAAAAGGACAAAAAAUGGCUAUAGCUAGCUUCAAUGUGCCACUUGCUCAAUUAUAGUGCUAACAUUUCAUUUUUCAACUCAAUUCUCUUGACUAAUUCAUAACUACAUCCAAAAUAAUAAUCAACAAGUCAAGUGAUUUUUACAUAUAGAUAAAAUCUAUUUUCUUUAAAAAAAAAUUGAUAUAAAAUGAAUAUGGUAAUAGAUAUGGUAUGCCACUACUAAUGAUGUUUUAUAUAUUAAUAUUAUUAUAUCAUAUGGUUAUUAAUGCAUUAAAAUGUCUCAACGGGACUGAAUCCCCAUGUGGUGUAAGGCUUCAUGAUUUAAUUUCGAAAUUAUUUUAUUCUUCUCCCAAUAAAAUGAUUUUUAGGAUAUCUUUUUUGGUUUAGUUUCUCUCAAUUAUUCACACUCAUAAUAUUAAAUAAAACAAUAACAAAAAGGAAAAUUAAAUGUAUGUGACUGCACUACCGACAACUCCUCCCAAACCGGAACGACGUGUCGGAUGACGGUUGGGAAUUCAAUUUUUUUUUCUUUUUUCUUUUAUUUUUUAUUUACUUACUUUCCAGUUAAUUUUAUGAAUUGGAACGUUUCCAUAAAAGAAAUUACUUUUUUUUUCUUAUAUAUUUGGUAAGUUUGUUGACUUUUAGUUUGAAGGUUUUCAAGAGAAGUUAUAUAAAAAAACAAACUAUUUAUCUUACAACUACAAUAAAAUAAAAGGAAAAAAAUCUACUCAGAUUGAAUCAAUUUUUUUAUAAUUAUGAAAGAAAUUUGUGCAAUUACUGACGAACCUUUCUUAUGUUAAUAAUUAAUUUAUUUUCCUAUUUUUUCCGGUUAAUUUGAAGAAUCGGAAGGUUCGAUAAAAAGGGGAGAAAAAAAAAGAUGAUAUAUAUAUAUAUAUAUAUAUUUAAUUUUAAACUUGGAGGAAAAGGACUUGUGCCACGUGGAAGGGGUGAUAUGGCGUUUCUCUAAAUAUUAUAGACGUUAGAAUUACGGCAAAAAUAAAAUUCUGGGUAAGAGGGAACGAAACGGUGACGUGUUGUGGGUUUAAUAUUUUAGAAGUCGCCGCUCUUUCUUCUCUCUCUUUGUAACUUUCUAUACAGCUUUAGAUUUCGUUUCCUUUACUUAGAAACCAUAGCCAAAGGGCUUCAUUCCUACGUUUUUCUUCCUCCUCCUUCUCUUCUUCUUCUUCUUCCUCUUCUUCUUCUUCUUCUUCCCUUUUUUCUCUGCAUUUCAUCUCUUUCCAGAUCACCACAAACCGUAAGUCUUAGUUUUCGAAUCGAUUACAUAUUUCUACCUUUUCGUUUUCACCACUUCUUCUUUUUUCUUUUUAUUAUUAUUCUGAUGGUGAUGAUUAUGAUUAUGAUGUUUAUUGUUUGGUUGAGAUUGUUGAUCUUUUUGUGUGGAUUUGUUUAUUUGAGUUGUUUGUGAAAUUGAAUGUGGAUUCGAUUUUGUGUUUUGGUCGACAAGGAAGGCGCGGAAAUGAAUGUAAAGGAAGGUUGGAAUCUAUUGGUUUCGAUAAUUGGAUUAGAAGAAAUGGUGUUUCAGUGAUGGAGUGUGUUUGUAUUUGGAUUUUAUUUUUAAUCGUUUGAAGACUAGUGUGUGUGUGUGUGUGUGUAAUGGUGGAAAAUUUGGGAGUCAAACACCGUGUUUUAUUUGUAUGGUUCUUUGAAAUUUCUAGGUAAUUGUUAGGGCUGUGAUGAUAGAUUGAUUGAUUAGACUUCAAUUUACCAUAAUGUUUCUGUGGUGUUCAGUUUGUGGCUAUGUCUUAUCUCGUUGAGAUUGAAAAAUUAGAGUAACGAAUCUUUAUGGUUUUUGAUGCAGCAAAAUUGAGGAAUCGAUGUACAUAUGAUAAGUUUUCUCAAGGCUGUUGGAUUCAAUGCCGGAGGGAAUCAAGGAUGGGACAGUAUUUUCGAAAGUAGAGAUCGAAGAGGAUGGCCGUGUAAUUCUUUGUGAAGAUGAGAAACAUGGGAACAGUCAAUUCACGGAUGCAACCAUACUGAUAUUUAUUGAAUCAUAAAGCUUUAACUUCUAAUAAUAAGUUCGUGCCUAUUUAUGCGUUUUCAGUGACGGAUUGAAAGAUUAAAUUAAUAGUGUGUUGAAAAAUGGCUAUUGCUGGUCUACAUAAUGUUUCUGUUCUUGAUUCUUCAUUUAUUAGAGAGUCUCAGUCUCAAGCAUCAAGGCAGUUAGGGAAUGAAAGUAGUGUAAGCACCCGGGCAUCCUCUCUUCGACGUAUAUGGAGAGGACUUGAGGAUGAGCAAGUGGUGAGAGGCACGCAGGAGAGCAUUAGUGAAAGAUCUACUGAUCUCUCAAGAACUGAAGCAGCGGAAGGUCAAAGUACUGUACAGGGUGAUGAUUCAGAGAACAUGGGGAUGAAUAUUAGUGAGAAUGAUAUUGACACUUGGUCUGACGUACAGACUGCUUCACAAAAUGAUGAUGAGGAAUCUGGUGAAUUUGGGGUUGUUGAGAGGGAGAGGGUUAGGCAAAUUUUUAGAGAGUGGAUGAAUAGUGGUAUGGGGGAACAAACACCUAACGUUUCCCAAAUGAAUAAUGGUUCAAGGGCAGAGUGGCUUGGUGAAACAGAGCAGGAGAGGGUGCGAAUGAUAAGGGAGUGGGUGCAAAAGAAUAGCCAGCAGAGAGGCACUCAUGGUGUAAAUGGGGAAGUCCAAACUGCUGAGAUUGGUACUCAGGUUGCACAAAGGUCUGAUGGAUCAGUUGGAAGCCAGAAUGAAGGCCGGAUCCAGCAUGCUCGGAGGGGUAUUCGCAGGUUAUGUGGCAGACAAGCUCUCCUUGAUAUGGUCAAGAAGGCUGAGAGAGAAAGACAAAGGGAAAUUCAAGUAUUGUCAGAGCAACAAGCUGUAUCAGGCUUUGCUCAUCGCAACCGCAUUCAGGUUAGACAAGUUCUAUUCCUUUUUUCCCUUUUCACUAUUCCAAUUAGUUUUUCGUCCUUUGCAUGCAUUGGAUAGUUUUGUUCUUCCCUUGCUUGUUGAAGGUGACAAAACACCAUUUUUUUAUGCCGUACAUAGUCUAAAUUUUUUUUCACUCUAGAAGGAAAUUCUUAAUUAUUUACAAACUUGGCAUGUUUAUUAGAGUUGAUCUUUUUUUUCCUGUUGUUUCUCUGGGUGCCCGUAAGUAUCAACACUGACUAUUCAAUCCUGGGAUAUUACUUUGCAGUCAUUACUCAAAAGUAGAUUUUUGCGAAACAGUAGAUUGACUGUGAAUGCAAGAUCUGUAUCUGUUGCAGAAUCUGAGUUGGGCCUUUUAAGGCGAAGGCAUACAGUCUCUGGCUUGAGGUACUUCUGACACUUUUUAUGCCUCGUUAUUGGGCCUCAUGAUGAUACUUUUUCUACUUUAAAAUUACCGAAGUUCUGUAGUAUUAUUUUUGGACGUUGUACUUGUACCCUUCAGGGAAAUUUUGCUACCUUGCAACAGAGGAACACCCAAACUAUUUUGUUUAGUGUUAUUGGUGUUAACGUUUCCUAGAAUGAUUUUCCUAAUCUCUUAACUGGAUUAUAGAUUUUUCUCAUUCUAAAGUUGGUAUUAUACACUCCCCAGUCUCUUUCCUAAACAGCUCGCUUGAAGAUCUUACCCUGCUAAAGCCUAUUUUUCCAAUCCUUUAUUGCUGGAUAUUUAAGAGAAAUUUUGAGAACGGAAAUCUAGUGACAACUUACUGCCAAGUAAAUUGCUAUCAGUAUUAUCUGCCAUCAAUGCCACCACAAUCAUCAUUGCCAUGUAAGAUGAAACUAUUUAAUGUCUAGUGACUUUCUUAAUGUUUACUACAGUGUUAGGAGGUUAGUUUACGUAUAACCAAGGCCUGAAAUAGUGCUCAAUUUCAUAUGGGAUCAUAUCUUCCCACUCCAGAAGUUACAAGGUUCACUACCUAGAGCUUAUAAGCCUUUGUUAUGUUGCUAAACUCUUUUUUUGCAUUAGUGUUAACACUGAUGGACAUUUCUUGUUUUCCUCAUUGGCAUUGCCGCAUUGACUUCAUUACAAGUCAGGAAACUCAAAUCUAAGCACUGGGCAUUGGGAUUAAGCGUUAUUAUAUUCAACCAAGAAAUCUUAAGUCCAAAGUUCUCUACCUGCUUAGAAGACUAACAUUCAAUCACUGCUGCUGAAUGUUGUGAAGUUGAGGAACAGUUAGCUAUUCUGAAUAUUCCGAAAAGUCAACUAAGCAAAAAAAAUCUAAUUCACUCUAUUCAGAACAAAGUCACGUUGUGUUUCCUUCGGUGUCAACCUUUAAUCAUUCCUGAUUGUAUUUCACUUAAGUUCACUGGCGACCUGACCUUUUUUGUUUAUCGUUCUAUAAUGUUGUAAAACAUGUUCCACUUUUACAAUAAUAAUGAUAUUGUGACUUUCUUUCAAGUAGGGAAGGAUUCUUCUCCAGAUUGGACAGUUCUGUCCAAAGUCAAGCUAGUAGCCGGCAUUCCGACACCACCUCUAACAGUGAUGAUGGUGAUUCUCUAACUGACCUGAAUCGUACUGGGAGUUUUGAGGUGCUAGAUGAUCUUCGUGAACAUUCUGGGAUUGUUAACGUGGAAAGUCACGAAGGCUCUCACAGCACUGGUCUAACUGAAGUUAGGCCUGAUCCAGAAGGAAGUACCUCUGAAGCUAGGGAAGAACCUGUUCCUGUGGUAGAAAGUUCUGAAAAACAGGUUGCUGAGAGUGGUUUAGCCAGCCAAACACCAGAUACCAACUCUACGGAGAUGAGAGAUGAUUCAGGUCAAGGUAUGAGAAGCAUUUUACAAGAAACUGCCUCAAAUCUUUUAUACCGUGAAAUUCCACAAAUCGAUGCUGAGGAUCAUACUAGUGUACUGGACACUGAACCUUCCAUUCAACAAGAUAAUACUCAUGAUGAAAAUGUUCAUGAUGGAUCAGUAUUUGAUCAUUCGGAAAGAUUUCAAGACAAUGACCUUGAAAGUGUAGAUCCACAAGAAUCUAACACCCACGAUGAGCUGAAUGAAGACCUAGGUACAGUAGUUGAGCCAAAUGAUCGGCAAGCAUCUGGUUUUCAACAGGAUGAAUGGGAAAAUAGCAUCGAAGAAGAUAUAAACGAAACUCAUAUGGAAAGUAUUGGUACUAAUUGGUCGGAAGAAUUCUUGAGUACGACAUAUAGAGAUAUUCAUCUUCAAAAUGCCCCUGAAGCUUCCCAUGAAAAUGCUAUCUUUGUGGAGGAUGUGCCGAAUUGGUUUGAGGGCCUUCCCAAUCGAGAAGCUACAUCAAGCCGAAGGUUGGAGACCUUUUAUUUUCCUGAAGAUGAUAAUGCGCAUAAUGGGGAAAUCAGAGAACUUUUAAGCAGGUAUUAUAAAAUUUAUUCACUGACAACACAUGUGCGUGCUAUAUUCAGACCUUUCUAAAUGAUGAAUUUACAUUUGACCCGUUUAUUAAUUAUGCAGGAGAAGUGUUUCUACUCUUCUUAGCAGUGGUUUCCGAGAAAGUCUUGACCAGUUAAUACAAUCUUACGUAGAGAGGCAAGGUCAUGGUUCCGGUAACAGGGAUAUGGACGAGAUGAUGCCUCCUUACACAUCUGCCGAGCAAGAGCAAGAGCACGAUAGGCAGAGUGAAGGUCAAGCGGGUUCCGUUGAGAGCCAUUCACUUGCUUUGCCUCUGCCACCUACAUUGCCCUCUCGGCCACUUUGGGAUAAUGAGUUGAGCAAUGGUAGUUGGUCACGACGUGAUUUCCGUCAGCAAUUUGGAGCUGUAUGUCUCAUCAUUGUUCUCUUGUCUUUUUAGGUGAAGUCAGUAGGGUGCAAAGAAAAUAAAAAGAGUAAAAAUGCAAAUACCAAUGCUAAACCAUUUAUGAGAGUGCUCUUUAAGUCUCUAUGUAGCGAAAUUAGAAUCAGCGCGAUUGACUUUUUAACUUAAUCGCUGUUAUCACUUUUUUUCUUUUUUAACUUAUCUCUUUGCUGAAUUUUCAGGAUUGGGAAAUCAUUAACGAUUUGAGGAUUGACAUGUCGAGGCUGCAACAGAGGAUGAGCAACCUACAGAGAAUGUUGGAGACAUGCAUGGAUAUGCAACUCGAGCUGCAGCGCUCAAUAAAGCAAGAAGUUUCUUCUGCAUUAAACCGAGCAGCUGGUUCAGAAGGUUUGUUUUCAUUCUUAAUGCAACUGAGUUCUUUAGUUUUUAUCAUUUAGGCUUCGUCAAUUAAUGGCCUAUGUGGACCCCAACCAAAAAAGAAAAAAGGAAAAAGAAAUAGUACUUUUUUUUGUAACCUCCACAUACCUUAGUCGUACGAGGUGUUGGGCAGGCCCUGGGUGGAGCCGGUGGUGCCCACCUUAUGUUUGGGGCUCUAAUUAUAAUAGUUAGUAAAAUGACAUGAUACAGUUUUUAAUGUCAUCAACUGAUUGCAUAUCUAUCACCUCCACAGAGAUGUUUGAAGACAGUUUGCCUGAUGACGAACCCAAAUGGGAUCGAGUAAGAAAGGGAAUUUGUUGUAUAUGCUGCGAUAACCAUAUUGAUGCUUUGUUGUACAGGUAAGUCCAGCAAACUUUCUGUCUCUUUUGGUGUGUUUAUCUAUGGUCCCAAGUUUCACUCUUUAACUUUAUAUAUUCUCUCUCAUUUACAACUUGUAGAUGUGGGCACAUGUGCACAUGUUCAAAAUGUGCUAAUGAGUUGGUCGAUGCUAGGGGAAAGUGUCCGAUGUGUCAUGCGCCCAUUCUAGAAGUGAUUCGUGCUUACUCUCUAUGAUGACUUAGAUGACAAUAAUGGAAAAUGAUAUUACUUACUAGUGAUUCAUUCAUCUUCAUCCUCUUGUCGUUCCGUCCCGGUUGCCCCUACUGAUUCUUCUCGUCCUGAUUUCUAUACAUAUAUAAAGUUUAUUUGUACGGUGAUGGACGAUUGAAAUAAUAUAUAUGUGAGCUUUGUAAUUGAUUAAAAUCUGGCCAGAAUAAAUGUGUUGAGUGCAUUUAGAAACCUUAUUUAGGGGGGAAUUUUGAGGAUUUGCUAAUUGUGGUCAGUGUUGAAUCUUGAUGAAACUUACUUUUCUAACUUAACUCCCUACACAAGUCUUGAAAUCUCUUCACCUUUUUCUUUUACCUCGAAGAUAUGCUUUUAUAUUGAAUACUUUCAUUUUGUAGAAAGAAAUUGAGUGCGACCCAUGAAUUAUGUCAAUUCGAACAAUUCAUCAGGGUGCACUUCAUUUUGUUUGUUUAUUUAUUUAGGGUGAAGCGUAUAAACUACUUUUUUUUUUUAAAUGUCGGUUACAAUUAUAUUUUCAAGCUUUUUAAAUGUAAAACUUAAGUUCUUAGAUUUAAUGCAAGUACUAAAAAUGGAGUCUCAAAUUUAUCUCAUUAUAUAAUUGUAACAAUUGUAUAUGUUUUAGGUAUUAUUAUGACUCAUUUGGAUUACAAAUAUUGUUCUACAAAUUAUUAAAUCUAGUUUUGAAUGUAAAAAUAUGUAAGAUAAUUAGUGUUUGAAGAAAGUUCAAUAUAUGUGUUUAAAUUUAUCAAAUUUGUAUAUAGGAAUCGAAAACAAAUAAUUAUUUAGCUUUAUACAUUUUGUAUAUAGAAAUCAAAAUUAAAUAGUUACUUAAAAAAACCAAUUCACAAUUUCAUAUUUUCCAAGGUCUCCAAAGAUUUGGCAUGCAAUAGGUUGGUACCAUAUCACAUGGAUCUUGAAUCCAAUUCACAUUUUCUCAUUUAAAGUUUUGCUAAGAAAGCUACCCUCCAUUAUUUGAAAAGAAGCACAAAGUGUGGCAAAUCCAAGAUGAUAGGUCCUUGCAAAGUUUGCCAAAUCCAAUAUACUUGAAUGAAAUAUUAUGCUGUACUUUUAAUCUAUUCCGUCAUGAAAAAACUGAUUCAAACACCACACUAACACUGUUUUUUCCUCUCUUCAGACAUACUUAUCGUCGUUGAUACCAAUAUACCGAUCACAAACGUCUGCUUUAGAAAAAUGAUUAUUCCUCACCCUUCCAUAAUUCAUAUCAAUUAAGAGCAUUAGUGUAAUGUAAUGAGAAAAUUGAAGUAAUUCCAUGAAGAAAAAGACAACAAUACCCCUUUUCUACCCAUCUAAUUUUAGAAACAAAGUAUCAACAAUCUUUGCCAAUUUCAGAUUUCCUUUGGUAACUUUACAUGUACACGUGUGUUAGAAAGUCAGCGUUUCUUUCCAAGGAACCUUUCCCAGCAAAGUUUAUCCUCCUUUAGCCACGUGUCCCCACCUCCACCCAUCUUCCUCCUGACGCCGUCCCGUUCAAUUCCGUCGACCGGCAAACGGGGCAGGACACGUGUAAGAACAGCCACCUAUCGAUGCAAUCAGGAUGAAACACGUGUUGACAAAACGGUAUCGUUUUAACCUUCUCCUCCGCCUCAAACUCGCUCAGACAAAUCGGACAAUCCACUUGAAGCUUAUCGUCGCAACGGUAAGCAAAAACCGGAAGCGACCUCACAACCGCCCGGUCCACACCGUUGGCGGAUGAACUCGACGCCGUAUGCGGCGGCCGGAGGAGGGGCGGCGGUGGAAAAGGGUAGCGGCGUUCGGCGAAGCGGCGGAUGUAGAUGGAGAAAAUGGUGAAGAGAAAGAAAAGGAGGAGGAGGAUGAGGAGGAUGAAGGCGGUUUUCAGGUUGAAGGGUGGGAAUAAUUGGGAAAAUUUGAAGGAAUGAGAAGAAGAUGAAUUUUGGGUUGUGGUUUCAACUUCAAGAGGACGGUCGGGGGAUGGGAGAUUCAUGUAGUCGGAAGCUUCUAGAAGGAGCUUGCGGUGGCAAAAUUGGGGUUUCAUGGUGAAAGUACGGCGGCGGAAGAUGGAGAAUGAGAGGUUGAGAGGAGAGAGACCGACGGCGGGGGAUUAGAAGAGAAGGGGAAUUGGAUAAGAGCCGUUGGAGAGAUGUAUGACGUGGACUUUUGGGGGUAAUUUCUAAAUUCAGGUUCACUCAAGACUUGAUAAGUCCAUUUGGUGUUUAGGUUUCAAGAUCCCACGAUAUUACAUUAUUAAAAUUGAUUGAAAUUAUACAACUUAACUAAAAUUAUUGAGAUGUGUAUGUCGAGUUGAGGGAGUCAAAAUAUUAAAGAAAGUAGUCAUGCAAGAAUCGUUAAGUUUAGUAUUACAAAAUCAUGUUGAAAACAUAUUAUUCAAACAUAAACUUUGGAUUAAGUUACACUCCAAAAUCAUUUCAUUCAACCUAAUAAAUUAAACUUUAUAUGUUAUUUUCAUUCCUUACACUACAAAAUCAUUUCAUUCAAUCUAAUAAAUUAAACUUUAUAUGCUAUUUUCAUUCGUUAUAGACAGGUUAGUUGUCAGGUUAGUAUGAUUAAGAAUAACAUGGACUUAAAAAAUAGAUUAUCAUAUUAAAAAGUUAAUGAUUUAUUACACAAUGAUUAUCCCUAUCUCUAUCAUAUUAUCAUAUUAAAAGCAGAGAAGAAAAAUGGAGAAUCUUUGUAUUCCCAUUUUAUCCCUACAUUUUCUUAUAAUACCUAUUUUACCCUCAUAUAAGCGUUCCAAUUUUUAGCAAUAAUACAACGUUCAUUUUCAUUUUCUUUUUUCUUUUUCUCAUGUGGUAAAAAAGAACUAAAACCACCCCACGUACUUACUAACUCCUGAGUAUACACUUUUGUAAUAAAAAAAACAUGUAGAAGAAUAGCCAAAUUCUAAACACUUCAAAAACAUAAUAAAUUCAAUAUAUAUAACUUCAAAAAGAUCACAUUUAAUCACUUAUUAGAUAUGCUGUAAAGAAACCUGAUCAACCUCCCACAUAAAUUCCAAUAAAUAUUAAUGAAAAAAUUAGAGAAAAAAGUAUACAAUUACUUGAUUAUUAAUUCCCACGAAAAAAUAAAUAACCAUUUUAAUCUAAAUAAUCACAAUAAAUAUUAAUGGAAAAUCAUACCUUAAAAACUAAGCUUUCUGUGGAAUAAAUAUGGUCUAAAACAAAUCCAAUGAAUAGUUACAUAUGGAAAAAAAAAAAAAAAAAACUAAGCUAUUAGACACAUCCACUAACCCAAUCCCAAUAAAGCAUAAUAUCUUCAAUUAAACCAUAAAUAUGGGGAUUCAUCGUCCCCAUGCAUCCCUAUGAAAUAAAUUGAAAUUAAAUGUAAUUACCUAAUUAAGAUUAGUAAUCCUAAAACCCCAAUUAAAAAAGAAAGAAAAGCAUAAGUUAGAAAAUCCAACGUAAAUCCGUUGUCAUUCUGUGUCCUUAAACGAAGCCUUAGGUAACAUUCUCUGUUUCCAUUGUUUCUUAUUUUGUCUUAAUUUGCGUUUGCCGUCCCCUUCGUUUUUUCUUCUCUCAUUUUCCAAUGCUCAUAUUCUAUUUUAAUUAUAAAUACAAUUGCUUUCAUUUAAUUAUAUAUAAAAAAAAAUCUGAAUUUCUCUCUAAUGGGUCAGAAACUCUUUCUUCUUCUUCUUCUGAUUGUUGUUUCUUCUUCUUCUUCUCUGUUUCAAUUUGGAAUUUCCAGUAGUAUUUCUCACAAAUCUGGAGAUGGAAAUGAAGAAUGGGGUUAUGUUCAAGUUAGACCCAGUAAGCCAAUUUUUCUUUUUCUAUUUUUAAAUCACUAAUUUGAAUUUAAUUAAAUAGAUUGUUGAUUAGUCGUGAUGUAAAUUUUGGUGUGGUGUACUUCAGAAGCACAUAUGUUCUGGUGGCUUUACCGAAGCCCUUUCAGAGUGAAGGAUGCUUCUAAGCCAUGGCCGACCAUUCUUUGGUUGCAGGGCGGCCCGGUGAGCCCUUUUUUCUACUUUUCCAAUUAUAUAAUUUAGUUACUAAUUUGAAUAACGUUUUUCAUUUGAAUGAUCUUUUUUCUUCUUUUUUAGAAAAUCAUGUUAAUCAAUUUGUAUUUUCUAUCUUUUUGUUGAGUCAUAUAUUUUAUAUUAUAUUAAGUUUACAACAAUUAAAGAUGUCAAUAAGUUUCUUUUCAAUUUGAAAUGAUAACUAAUAUUAGGUAUAAGAAUGAUAGAUCAAUAGAAUCAAGGAGGGUCAAUAAGUAUGUUAGAAAAAUUAUUUUAAAGAAUAAAAUUGAUUAGCCGACUUUGACUAAUCGGUAAUCAAAAUCGUUUCAAACAUGCAUUUACUUGUUCAUAAUUAAUUAAAUUGUAGCUUAUUUAGAAAAACGGUUUAGGAUGUGCACCACUAAUUGAUAUAGUUAGCAAAAUUUAUGUAUAUAUGUGUAUGUAAAAUGUGAUCUUAUUCUUAACAAAUGAUUUUGGAACUAUAUGAAAACAGGGUGGGUCAGGAACUGGGUUUGGGAACUUCCUAGAAAUAGGGCCACUCGACUCCAACUUAAAGCCAAGAAACUCAACAUGGUUACGAAAAGCAGACCUCUUAUUUGUGGUAAUUAGUUCACUUCUUUUUUCCUUUUAAUUUAAUCAAUCAAAUUAUUGCAUUAUUGUUUUUGGUUUUCUUUCCUUCUCAAAACAAAUAUUAUUCUUGUUUUCAUAUUCAAAUAGGAUAAUCCUGUUGGGACCGGAUAUAGCUUUGUCGAUAAUUUAGGACAAUUUGCAAAAGGCGAUUGGGAUGCGGCCAACGACAUGACGACUUUGCUAACUAAGGUUUCUAACAAUACCAUCGGCCUACACAACACUCCCUUUUACAUCUUCGCGGAGUCUUACGGUGGAAAAUUUGCUGUCACUCUUGCUUUGUCCCUCCUCCGCUCCAUCCAAGCUGGCCAUUUGAAGCUUAACCUUCGAGGUACAUUUUAUUUAAAUAUAUACUUAUGGUGUCACGUUAGGCUAAUUUAAAUCUUCCAAUUUUUUUAAAAAAAUGGUGUCGACCUCUCUUUAUCUCUAACCAACCAUGUUUUUUUAUAGCUUGAUUUUUCGGUUUAUCAUACUUACUCAUAAUAUCUGUAUAUCAAUAAAUUUAGAAUAUAGCUAAAUCAAAUAUGUCAUCUCUAUCUGUAUGAUUGUUAAAUUUAGAAGGAGAACAAAAAGAGAGCUUGUAUAAUGGAGAAUUAAGAAAAUAAAAUGCAAGCAUGUGGUUUUAUUCUUGGGUUAGAAUCGUAUAAAUAUAUUGUCUUAAAUAUUAUAUUGCUUUGGUAGGUGUCACAUAAAAACUACUAUCCUUUUUAUAUCUUACCUUAUACAUAAAAAUAAAAUAAAACUUUUUUUAAAAAAAUUUAAAUUAUGCUCUUGAGGUUUAAUAAGAGUAAUUUAUAUUUAUCCUUGGAACUUAAUUAUUAAUUUAGAAGCAUGUGGGAUUUUGAUUUGAAGGGGUGGCCUUAGGAGACAGUUGGAUAUCACCGGAAGAUUUCACCGUUCGUUUUCCCAAUCUCUCAAUCUCAACCGUCAAUUUAAUCAAUUAAAAUGAAUAUAUUAAUCUUUGUAUCUAAAAAUCAUCAUACAGUCUUCCUGGGGCCCUCUUCUCCACGACCUCUCACGGAUCGGCAGCGUGGCACAUCAGAUAUCUAAUGAGUCAAUCUAAAUUCACCUUUUCUUUUCUUUCUAUACCUAUUUAAUCAAUCAUACAAAAAAAUUUAGUGUAAUAAAUGGUAUGUUGGAAACAUUUUUUUUAAAUAGCAAACUAAAUUAAAAUAUUUAUAAGUUAUAACGAUAUUUUAGAUUUUAUGAAUAAUAGACAAUCUGAUUGCUACGUCUAUUAUUAAUAGAAUUUGAAAAUGUAAAUAUUUUAUAAAAUUUGUUAUUUUUUAUAAUUUUUUUUAUUUUUUAUUUAGUUUUUCAUUUUUCAUUUUUUCUACUUUUGAAAAAAAAAUCCUAAAAACGAUUUAUUCAUAAUUUUUUUUCACACAUAAAUAGAAAGUGUUGAUUAUUGUUUUGAUAUUUGUGUUUGGUUUUUAAAUUAAUUUUUUCUCUUAUUUUAACUGUGGAUUUUUCAUUAGUUUUUUAAAUAUUUUCUCUUAGUUUCUCUUAUAUAUAUUUUUUUUAAAUACAAGAUAUAAUUCUUAAUUAAAUUUAAAAAAUAACAAAUGUUUCCCAAAUUACGUUUUCAUUAGUUUUCAAAUUUUAACUUGAUUUUUUUUUAAAUAUUGAUAAAAAUAGAUAAUCAAGUAGAAUAAUUUGAAAAAACAAACAAAUAGUUAUUACAUGUAAAUUUAAUUAUGUACAAAAAUAUGUUUUUAAAAAACAGGAUAGCAUUAGAGAUCAGUGAUCAAAUUAAGAAAGGAAUGUACGACAAUGCAACAGUUUCAUGGAAUAAUCUCGAGGAUUUCAUUGUAACAAGAAGCAACGGAGUGGUAUGUUUUUCCUUUUCCAUAUUAUAAAACAUUCAAUUCAAUUGAUAAUAUUUGAGACUAACGGUUAUAUUUGGUAUGCACGUUAACGUUAACAGGAUUUUUAUAACUUCAUGUUGGAUGAUGAUAUGGAUCCAGUAGUCUCAACAACAAUAAACAUAGAAUCAAAUAGCAUUGAUUCCAUGAAAUUAAAAGGACGAAAACCUUCAUUCUUUAGUUACAAAAAUUACAAGCCAGGUGGUGAGGGAAACUUAGAUGCUUUGAUGAAUGGCCCAAUUAAGCAAAAACUCAAAAUUAUACCACCAGAUGUCACGUAUGUAACUAAACUAUAUACCAUUUUAUUAUAUUCAUACAUACACCUCUUUUAAAUUAAUGUAUACACAUGUAUAUUUCAUUACAAAUAUAAUUGAAUUGGUGAGUAAAUGGUGAAUUUUUUGCAUGCAUAGAUGGGGAGGUCAAUCAGACAAAGUCUUUGAAUUUUUUACGGCAGACUUCAUGAAACCAAGGAUUAAUGAGGUAUUAACCAACCUAAUUUCAAUAUUAUUAAUUAAUUACUCGUUGAUUAUUAAAUCAUUUCAAUAUAAUUUUUACUUAUCGUUCUUUGUGAUGAUCAGGUUGAUGAGUUGCUUGCCAAAGGUGUCAAUGUCACUAUUUAUAACGGUCAAGUAAGUAUUUUAUUUUUUUUGCAAUAUAUGAAGUUGAUAGCAAUUGAACUUGACUCAUUUUGACAAUAACACGACUUGUUAAUAGUAUUUUCUAAUCGUUAUUAGUCUAUGGAUUUAAGCUAAUUUUUUUUGUUAAGUGAGAUUUAAUGAGCAUUAAUUUGAUUGUUUUUUAGGUUGAUCUUAUUUGUUGUACCAAGGGAGUAGAGGCAUGGAUCAAUAAACUCAAGUAAUUUCUCUUUUUAAGUGAUAUAUCUCUAUACGUUUUGAACAAUGAUUAAGUAUAGUUUAAACAUGUAUCUUGAUAGGACCUCACGUUCGUCACAUGGCAAAAUAACAACCGUUUUUUUAAUCCAAAAUUUCUUACCACAUAAUAAGUUUUUAUUGAACUAUUGAAUGACUAUGCAAAGAUAAGUAUAGUCUAUAUGUCGUAAUAUUUUUUAAACUGUUACUUAUUGUUGUUUUUUUCUAUUAAGGUGGAAUGAGCUAAAGUCAUUCUUAAACACAGAAAGAAUUCCUCUAUUUUGUGGGAAAGAGAAAGGAACCAAAGGCUUCAUUAGGUCACACAAAAAUUUGAAUUUCUAUUGGAUCCUUGGAGCAGGCCAUUUUGUAAGUUAUAUACUCAUACUCAUACACAUGUAUAUUAUUUUAUUUUAAUCUUUCAAAUUCAUAUACCUUUAUUUUGACUCUUAUUACUUACUUAUGAUUUAUAAAUAAUUUUAUAUGCAGGUUCCGGUUGAUCAACCGUGUGUGACAUUAAACAUGGUGAGCGCAAUCACAGAGUCACCAGCUUCUUGAUCUAGCUAUUUUUUAACGACGAGAAAUAAAAUGAAAAACAAAAACACAUAUUUUCUAUUUAGAAUAUAAUAAAAGACGUAUAGAAAAUAAUGAAAUGUAUUUAAUAAAUGAACCUUUUUUUCAAGUGUAUUAGUACUUUUAAAUAACAAAAAUCUUUUGUGUAUUAUUAUUUGUGUAUUAAAGUUGUUGUAUGAUGUAAAUAACCAAAAAGAAAAGUCUAUACCUAAUUUGUACACUUUUUAUAUAUUUUUUUUCUAAUAGUAAAUUGAUCAUGAGAAAAAAAUAUACCCGUAUUUCAUUUUAACUAAACUCUUUGAUCAUUUAUAAACUAAAACAAAAGUAACGAUGCAUUUCGAUAAAUACUGAAGUGUCUCUAGUAUAAUAAUUAAUAAUACGUCUUGUUAUAUAUGUAACUAAAAUAAGUGUCUAACAUAGGUAUUCGGAUGAUGUUGGAUUAUCGAUCUAACAAAUGUUGAACAUGAACAUGUUAACUAUCAAACUAAAUAAGCUAAGUAUUGAACCAACUCAAUCCAAAUUACCAACACCCAAUGCAAAUUUGUAAAAAUGGUGAUCAAAUCGUUAGGAUAUUUUGUUCAGAACUUUAAUCAAACAUAAACAGAGCAUUCAAUUCAUUCAAAACAAUAAUCGAAUUGAUCAGUAAAAGAUAAAAACUUCAACAAAAGGAUUGAACCAUCUUAGGCUAAACUUGGGUGGAUUGAUCGAAUCAUUAGUUUCUUCUUCGUUUAUGAGAAUCAAAUAACAAGUCUGACAAAUAUUGAACUCAUCCGCUAAAUUUUUCGAUCAUUUCUCAUCCCUUUCUCCCUCUAAUAAAAAACAAGUACUGUUGGAUUUUUCUUGAACCUCGAGUUAGUGAAUGCAUCCAUAUGUUUGGAAUCAUUUACAAAAAUAAAAAUGAAUUCGAAUAUAUACUUCUCAAAAUUUCUAAAUUAGAAUCGAAGGUAAGAUAGGCAAAAGAGAUUAGGUUAAAGUAGAAUACCAUGAAAUACUUCACUGGUUUCUUAGCCAAUGUUGAAAAACAAAGACAAGAACUGUGAGAGUCGCCGUUUCUGCCAAUUGAAGAAGAAAAAGGGUCGACUUCCUCCAUUGCGUCUAAAAUGUGUCUACCAUUGAGCUUGAUGUCUAUUACACACUUACCUUCCUCCUAGAUAGCACACCACUCGUCCAUUAAGUAGAAUAUGCUAUUAAUAUCGACAAUAUACAAUCCUUUAAAAUGAGACAUGAUUAUUAAGUGUAUGUAUUUGUCAAGAUCGACAAGCACAACUAAUUUCAUUCAUAACCGAUCAUAUAUGGUUGAGAAAGAAAACAUUGGUAUAUAUCACCAUAUCAUAUCAUGUAUUCAUAUUUAAUUUUUUUUCUCCUUUAAAUUGUUAAAUACUAUUUUAAAACAUUAAAUUUAAAUUUUUAACAUUUUCAACUUUGCACGACUUCGUUACAAGUAGUUCUAAAAAGUUCAAAUUAUACAAUAUGUACUAUUGUUUAGUGAAAGAAAUAACACGUGUAUAAAAUUAUAUUGUUUUCUAGGUUUAGAUUAUAAUUAAAAUUAACAAAAUAAAGAUGUUAAUUUUUGAAUUAUUAUUUUAGGAAAUACUUAUAUCCAUAUCGAUUUGAGUAGGUACAAAAAUAGUCCAUAAUCUUAUUUACUUAAUGUAACUAUUUUCAAAAUGUGGAAUAGAGAUUUGAAUUACAUAUUUGAUCCGAGUUGAUUUGUGCUUAUUUUGAGUCUUAAGUUUCUUAAAACCUGGGAUUAAACUGUAUCUUAUGUUAAAAGGGUAGCCUAAAUUUCAUUUUUCCAAAACAAAGAUUACGAAAACCGGUGUGAUUUUAAAUACAAGUUCGCGCGCUAGCCCUAGCCGCAUCCCCGCUAUUUUCCCCCAUCUCUCUCAAUUCUUCUUUGUCUCUCAACUAUUUGCGAUUCUUUCUCCUUAAUUUCCAGGUUACUGAAGGAUUCGAAGCGGUUUGCCAUCACUUUUUGGGCAUUUUUAAGCUGCCAUUCCAUGGGUACAUUCUCUCUACUUUUGAGCUUGUUUUUUAGUAUUUUGGUUAUUUUGGAGUAGAAUAAAUCUGGGUAGGAAUGCUUUUUUGUGGAUUUUUUUGUUAGACAUUUCGAAUUUGAAUUGUGAGGUAGAUUGGCGUGACAUUUCUUGAGUUCAUAUGCGAUUUGGGGCUGUUUCCUUUGUUUUUUGGGUUGUGCUUGUAUGAUGAGUUCCAAAACUAAAAGAGCUCGAUCCGCACUUUCCUCGGAAGGGGCUUUCAAUCGCCAUAAAUUUAUUAGUAAGGAUGCUGCCGAUCGGUAUAGGAAACUUGUUGUUAAGAGUAGUGUUAUACCGGAAAGGGGAUUGGCUCCGUGCGAAGUUCAUCAACCCCAACUAUUUCAGAAUAUUAUGCAACGGGGUUGGUCUGAUUUUGUGAAACAGCCUGAGCCGGCAGUGCUUUCCAUUGUUCGUGAAUUUUAUGCUAAUAUGGUUGAGGGCAGUUCUCGAUCGUUUGUACGUGGUCGUCAGGUUUCCUUCGACUAUGGCACAAUCAAUCGGUACUAUCACUUACCUAACUUUGAGCGUGAUGAAUAUGAUAUCUACGCUAGUGAACAUGUGGAUGUUCACCAGAUCAUUCGUGAGCUCUGCCAACCUGGAGCUGAAUGGGUUAUUAAUCCAGGCGAGCCAAUUAGAUUUAAAUCUUCAAACUUGACUGUUUCUAACCAAGUGUGGCACAAAUUUAUCUGUGCUAAGUUACUUCCUGUGGCUCAUACGAGUAGUGUCACGAAAGAGAGGGCGAUUCUUCUUUACGCUAUUGCCACUAAGAGGUCUGUGGAUGUUGGUAAAGUCAUUCAGAAGUCCUUAUGCAACAUCCGUAAGAGUGGCAUGACUGGAGGACUUGGUCAUUCAUCUCUAAUUACAGCCUUGUGUAGGAAUGAAGGCGUCGUGUGGAACGAAAAGGAGGAGUUGGUUGACCCUAAGCCCAUCAUGGAUAAGAGUUUUAUUAUGGAAAUUCCUGGUUGGAGUUUUGAGCCCAUGGGUGCAGGCCACUGUGAUGAGACUGCUGGCACAAGCCACUGCAAUAAGACGACCGAUGCAGGCCACAAUGAUGAGCCAAGUGACCAGGAUGAGGCAGAACCCAUUCGAGAGGUACGGCAAACCCUGACCAUAGAUCUUCCUAGGCAGACACAAAGGCCUCUAUCCCUUGACGAGCAAAUUCGACGAUUGGAACGUCGUGUUCGCAGCUACCAUAGACGCUCAGAGGAAAGAUUCGAUCAUCUCUACAAGUGUUUGUUUGCUCUGCAUGAUCGUGGAGUCAUGCAUGUGUUUCCCCCUCGCAUGCAACCAUAUGUAUCUUCAGAUGAUGAUUCCUGAGACUUCAUUUCUUACGGAGCAGUGUUGUUUACCCCUAGUCAUGUUGUUUGUACUCUUUAUUUUGUAAUUACUUUGAUCUAUUCUUACUCCAUUAAAGGUAGUGUAAAGUUUGAGGAGUGGUUAGCUCUAUUGUGCAUGGAAUUUAGUUAUCACUAAUACAGAUUCGUUGAAUGCAAUUUUUGAUAUCUUGGGUUUUUUGAUAUUGAUGCUGCAUUAUUUUUCUGAUUAUGGCAGAAUUUAUUAUUGAUUCAGGUUGGAUUUAAAUUUUUCCUUGGACUCCCUUGCCAUAUUGUGGAUGGUCUUGCCUACUUUUGGUUUAGAAAGCUUAGAACUAGGUUAUAUAGUCCAACUUUUGUUAUGACUUUGAAAUGAUUUAGAAACUGAUUAGAAGGUUAAUUGAAACGAUAGUGAUGUUACACUUCAGAGAAGUUGCUUUAUUAAUUCUCUAUAUCUCUUUGUGUUGUUGUGCCAUUUGCGAGUGAAGUGUCAUAUAGAUAAUUCUAUGUAUCUCCAUAGUCAGUGAGGUAUGUGUUGUUUCUCUCCUUUCAUCUCUUUGUUUCUAUCAAUCAUUUGCAAAACAGAAGUUGGAAAGAUCAAUUUUGUUAAAGUACAUCAAGAGAGUCUGUAACUUUCCUCUGCCAACAUAUUUUCAUUUCAGCCAUUAUAUAUGACCUACUUUUUCUCACUAAUAUACCUUACCUUUGAUUUUCAUUAGAAAAACAUUAAUAUACUUUUGAUUUUCAUUAGAAAAACAUUAAUAUACAUUGAUUUAAAAAGAAUGAUUGAUGCAAUUUUGCCUCAAUUAUAUUAGGUUCUAUGUUUCAUUGAAUAUUUUGAUGAUUUUUGUUUGAAAUAUUUAAACAUAUGCAACUAAGGUGAACAUGAUAGAUCGAAAAACUGAGUUUACUGAACCAAAAGUGAUCAGUUGGAGAUAAGGAGAGGUUCAGUCGAUGUUAGUUAAAAAAUUCCAAACUGAAACAUUUUAAAAAAAAUUCAAAGAUUUAAAAUGGUCAAUUUGUACUUCUUCAUGGUAGAAGUUGAUUUGAUAAAAAAACUAACUCCGACUUAUUGAAGUAGAUGAAAUUGAGUGAGGAGAUUAUAGAAAUUCAAGCUCAAGUUUGAGGGAGUGGCAUUGUGAUGUCAUACGCAAAACCAAGCAGCCCUGGUAGGUAACACUGUAACGUAACACUUAGGAUAUGUUUGGCCAUGGAGUAUGUGCAUCAUACAGUCUAUUGCAAUGGCAAUGAUUGAUGAUGCUUUGAAUGUCAAAAGGGUAUGGUGGAAACAUAUCAUCUCUAUGUUUUGAAAGCUUUUUAUUGCCAUUUAUCAUCUCUAGGUCCAAAUGGUAUGGAGGAACACCAUACAAUCCACAAUCCAGAUAUAUAGCUUGUGUCUUGGAGGAUUUUCAUUUAUCAGAAUGACAUUACUUUUUAGUUUGUUUGACACCAUAAAGAAAAAAAAAUCUAAAAGGAAAUUAAUGGUCGAGUUUUUUACUCUCACUGAUACAUUGAUUUCUGUAGGAUCUCAUUGCUAGGACAUCUUAAAGGCACAUGAAACUGAUCCUGAAUGGUUAGUGACACAGAGAAAGACUGAGGUUGGCAUCGUAAAGGUUGGAUCAGCAAGUAUUAUGCAGAUUUGGAAAAGUACAAACAAUAGAAAUCACACUCAAAGGUGAUUGAAGACAUUCUUUUUCCAUUACAGUGUCUAUACAAAAGGAAAUAAAAAGCAUUGUGAACUUGCAAUAUGAGCUAUCGUUAGAGAAUUUGAAUUUGUAACCACCCAUGGUAGAAUGAGAAAUAAUAGAUCCUCUUCUUGUAUCUUAUACCCACACCGAAAGUUUCAAUUAAUAAAGUCGACGCUUUCGUACUACUACUGUUAUGCCUUUUCAUUUUCUUUAAACGUCUGAUGACACUAUUCUAGUGAUGAUUGAACUUUAAGGAAUUCAAUCUUUACUAAAGAAUGAAACUUCGCAGGUAAAGACUCCUUGGUCGAAGAGAGAGAAAGAAAGGAGGAGAAAAGAUGAAACAUUUCUCACCUUCCAUGGAAAGGUGCUAACACUUGGUGUAACGGACAUACUUGUCCAAGGUGUGUUUACCUAUGGCCGUAUGCUCCGAGUAGCCCCAAUUUAUAUUGUCUUUAUGUCUUAUACAUAGUUUAGUUAGUUACUUUCAAUUUCAAGUCGAUAUGCUUGGGUGUGACAUUUCGGCAUUUUCAUAUGCAAGCCUACCAGAACUGAAAAUCUUCAAAAUGUACUAGGCAUACCUGUUGAAUCACUGUUCAAGUCUUGUCGUACUUUUUGCAAUCUAUGCUUUCUUAUUGCAAUUGACAGUCUUCAAAGCUUGUUUUAACAACGUUUUCAAUCAAUUUAAUUCUCUUUCACGUUUUCUAAAAUAUUUUUCCAAAGACGUGAGGGGAGGUUGAACCGUGUGUUAAAUUUGUCCGUGACUUGCAGAUUUUGAUCGACUGACUUGUUCGUCGAGUUAGAAAAAGUGCCGCACAAUCGCUUGCAUCGUGUUUAAAGGGUUGUGAUUGUGACACUUGACAGUCUAACUUACGAAGAAUGCAACUAUACCAAUUUGUUUGAUCAUUAUUGGUUACGUAGCAUAUUCACCUUCCUUUUCUUAAACAUUUUAAUUCUUCUUGUUUGUGUGCAAUAAAAAGUGAGAUUUAGAGAUGAAUACAUCUCAUUAUCCUUCUCUUAAUGGAAAACGUCAAAAAAAAAUAAUGCUUGUAGACCUUUUACACUAUUUAAAUAUUUCAAUAUAGGUUGUCAACUAUAAGACAAACAUAUACAUUUUAACAUUAGUUUAUAAUUAAAUCAUACAAUUAGAUGAUUUCACAGCCACCCACAAAUGUCAUAAUUAAACAAGUCUUUACACAUACUCUUUAAAUAAAUUUGUAAUAUGAACCGGGCGGUCGUCUCAAAGUACUCAACUAUAUCAAAAUAUGUAACGCAGUCAAGGUUCUUACAACAAAUGGCCAUGUGUGAAGACCUUCUUAACGUUAUCUCUCUUAAUGACUAUUUACUAUCGUGGAGUUAGGCUGCUCGGAAGUUUGUUAACCUUUUGUUCGACAGUUCUAAACCUCUUACCGAAAUCUCAUUUUUCAUCGAUCAAGUUACAUUUUAUGUCUAAUAGUUGGACAAUUUUCUUUUUUAUUGAUAUUCAUAGUUUGAACCGACAUUCAAAUGAAAGAUAAUUUUCCUACUUUAUGUUCUCCUUAUUCUAAGUUGUUUAGUUCUCUUAUUUCUGUUGUUGAUGUUAUUUGUUUCUUAAACUUAAAUAUAAUUAAAUUACAAGGAUAAUCAUAAUUUAAGCGAACGUUUCAAAAUAAAAAUCGACGAAGAAUAGUAUUCAAUUUUUUUUUUUGUUAGUUAGAACUUGAAUUUAAAUUAUUAUAUUAACUUUAAUAAGUUGGGAAUAUGUUAGCAAUAACAUAAAAUAAUUAAUAAGAAAGUUCCAUGCAUUUUAAAAUUCCAAAUCUCUUCAAUUUCUUUUAUUAACUAUUCAAUUAAAAGAGAUUUAAUGUGAAGAGAUUAGAGAACUUGUCUGGAAGAUUUAAAAAACACAUUUGGUAAUAAUACCUUUGAGUUUUUCUUUUAUGUAUUUAUUAUUAAUAAUUAAUAAAUUAAUUAUUUAUAGACGAUAUUAAUUCAAUUAUUAGUUUUACAAUUUAAAAUUAAUUGUCAAUGGUAUAUUUUGUUAAUAUAUAUGAAUUAAAGAAGGAACCUGAUUGUUCAAAAUAUUUUUCGUGAAUUCUACCAAAUAUUAAUAUAAAACAAUAAGAUAUAGACAUAUGUUGACAAAUUAUUGUGAAGAGAAAUUUCAUAUAGAUUUUGUUAUUAAUUAUAACGAUAAAUUUAUAUUGUAUUAUUGUUCACUUUCUACUUAUUUUUUUUUAAAAAAAAUGUCAAAGUCUUAAAAUAGUUUUCAAAUUUUUUGUUUUAGAAUUGAAAAUUAUUGUAAAUUUUGGUUUGAAAAUAUAUUGGUUUAUUUUAGUCUGUUUAAAAAUAACUUAAAAUUGAAAAUUAUUAUAAAUAUUUUUAAAAUUGAAAAUUAUUGUAAAUUAUGAAAGUGUUUGAAAAUAUUAAUAUUUAUAAAAUAUAACAAGAUUUGACGUAAAAUUGAGUAAUGUAAAAUUUUGUAUAUCAAUAUAAAACAAAGGCAUUAUUAAAGACCGUUUUCUUAGACUAUUUAUGAAAUCGUAAUUUCGGUUGGAGUUGAUGAAAGAGAAGUUCGACGCAAAUCCAAUGGGCAGAGUGUCAACGGCAUUCACCAUAUGUAUUUAUUUCCCAUUUUUAAUUUCAAAUACAAACAAAAGUAAACAAACGAUUGCUGAAUUUGAAGAAACUUCAGCUUCCUUCCCUUUUGGUUUCUGUUUGUUUCUUCCGAAAAGCAUAUAUUCAACCUUUUCAUUUUCUUCAUUUUUAAAUAUCCACACUCUUGCUUCUUCUUCUUCUUGUUCAUAUUCGUUGAAGGGGAGAUAAUAUCAAGGUCUAAUUUCUGUCUCUUCUCAAUUCUUAUUCUUUUUGUCCAUUUCAUAUAUUCCAUCCAAUUACUUUUAUCAAAUGAUUAAAUUUAUCCAAACUCAUAAACUUAAGCUUUUAGCUUGAAUGACUGAUUUAAGAUUAUAUCAAAAUGGGUUUAUCUUCGAACUCUACUUGCCUUCAUGGGUGAAGUUAAGUUUUUAGGUCUAUUGGGAUUAAGAUUAAGGAGUUGAAUUCAACCAAUUUAUAAAUAUAUAUAUAAAAAUCCAAUCCAUAUUACAUCAUUCUCCAUUGGGUUUGGUUUAUAUGUGGAAUGAUUUCCGAAGUCUCCAUUUAUAAUUGGUCAGAUUAUCCUUGGGUUGCAUUGAUUUGGUCAUACAUAUAUUUCUCCCAAUACACUUGAAUAAUUGGAAUGCUAUUACUUUUUCCAACGCAUUUCGCUUUCUUUAACAACAGACGUUUCUUUAAUGCCAAAAAAAUUGUCUCCUCAAUUUAUUAUAUUUCUAUCUAGUAACUAUCUGUUUAUGUUGUGUAAUCAUAUACUCCAAUUUUUUUUAGAAAUUGAAAUUAAUUUUUUGUUAUAUAAGGCUUUCUUUGCAACAAAUGACAAAGCAUGAAACAUUUUUCAUAAAUAGUCAAUCAGCCAUGAGGUUUCCUAUGUUUUCUUCCCCAUGGAUUCCUUUAUUACUUUUUGUUUUUUCAACCUCUGUUGUUACUUCUUUGCAGCAUAAUAGAUUCCCAAGGCUUAGUCCUGUUGGUGAAAAGUUUCUGCAUCAUUCUCGAGUUUUGAAUUCGCUUCCUUUGGAUGAUUUCAAGACUUAUUAUUACAAUCAAACACUUGAUCAUUUCAAUUAUAGACCUGAAAGCUACACAACAUUCCCUCAAAGAUAUAUAAUCAACUUCAAGUAUUGGGGUGGCCCGAAUUCGAGUGCACCAAUUUUUGCUUACUUGGGUGCUGAAGCACCAAUAGAUGAUGAUUUAGAUUUUAUUGGGUUUAUGACUGAUAAUGCCAUUCAGUUUAAUGCUCUUUUAAUUUAUAUUGAGGUGAAGUUUAACUCAAACAAGUUUUCUAGUUUAUAUUUUAGAGUUACUAAAGUCUAAAGACCGUUUGUCAUCUUAACAGCAUCGGUACUAUGGAAAAUCAAUUCCAUUUAGAUCAAGAGACGAAGCAUUGGGAAAUGCAAGCACUCUUGGAUACUUUAAUUCAGCACAAGCAAUAGCUGAUUAUGCUGCCAUUCUUAUACAUGUGAAAAAGGAAUUUCAUGCUAAUUAUUCUCCUGUAAUUGUUAUUGGUGGAUCAUAUGGAGGAAGUAAGUGGUUUAGCAGUAAAAAGACACAAAUUCUUUAACUUACAUCCAAUAUUUAACAUGUCAUGUAUGUACUAUCUAUUUUUCAGUGUUGGCUUCAUGGUUCCGUCUUAAAUACCCUCAUGUAGCACUAGGAGCUCUUGCAUCUUCAGCUCCAAUUCUUUAUUUCGACGAUAUCACACCACAGGAUGGAUACUAUUCUGUGGUCACCAAGGAUUUUAGAGUAAGAUUUUGAAAGUUUUACAACCCUUUCUUUUUAAAUCAGUUCUUUAUGUUUUAAAAUAAAAAUAUGUGGAUUGUAGGGUCUCAGUGAAACUUGCUAUGAAACUAUUAAGAAAUCGUGGUCUGAGAUUGAAACAGUUGCUUAUCAGCCGAAUGGUCUCUCCAUUCUCGACCAAGAGUUCAAAACAUGCCGGUAACAAAUUGUGUCUCUUCUCCAAAAUUCAAGUUAUACAUUGUUGUACUUACAAUCUGUUUGUUUCGUUUUGUCUGCUUUGUUUUUGCCUUCUUCUAUUCAUCUUUUCUAGUCCUUUAAGAGGAUACUUUGAGUUGGAAGACUACUUGUGGUCCAUGUAUGCCAGUGCAGCCCAAUAUAACCAUCCGCCUAAAUAUCCAGUCACGAGGAUAUGUGAUGCCAUCGAUGGAACUUAUUCUGUGAAUGGAACACUUAGCAAAAUAGCUGCAGGUGUAUUUGCUUUCAGAGGGAGUGUAUCCUGUUAUAUUAACGAGCCCAGAAAUGAAACAGAAACUGAUGUAGGAUGGAGAUGGCAGGUACUUUUUACUUAUAUUUUUUCUGAUAGUAAAUUGAUCACCGGAAAAUUUAACUCACAUUUUUAGCCUUCCUUUAGUCAAAAUUCUAAGUUUUAGCCUCAAGACUUGUGUCUUCGUUGAAUCAUAUAUAGGAGGCUUACACCUCUCAUAAAGAAGCUUACCCCUUUGUGGAAAAACGUUGAGGCUUAAAAUCUACAUGCCUCGUCUAAUGAUUAGAAAAAUAAUAAUGACUUGCCUAGCUUCUCAAGAAAAAUAUUAAGGUUUGAGAUGUGACAGUUUGAAUUAGGACUACUUUUACUGUUGUGAAGGCAAGAAUUUAUAUUAUAAAUCAAUCCUAGUAAUGAUAAUAGUAGUGGUAGUGAUAAAUAUUUCUUUUAUAAUUUUUUAUUUUGUGUAAUUUGUGGGGGUGCAUUUUCUCAUUUUCUGUUCACUUUUAUAUUGACAAUCAUGUUUACCAGUAAUUGGUAGUGCCAAUUUAGAAGUUUUAGAAUAUUUUUUAUUACGCCUCAUACCGCCUUGGCUCUUCAAAAGGUAAAGCCUCAAGGCUACCUUUAGGAGUUUAACAUUGGGAUUCUCUUUUGUAAUACUUUGUGCGAUCAAUGAAAUAUUAUUUUUUUUCCUACACUGAAGAGCUUGAUCUUGUACUUAGUCAUGCAGUGAGAUGGUGAUGCCAAUAGGUUCAGAUGAUGAUAUGUUUCCACCAUCCCCUUUUGACCUUCAAAGCGUCAUCAAUUAUUGCAAUAGACUUUAUGGUGUUCCUCCCAGGCCCCAUUGGGCUACCACCUACUAUGGAGGCCAUGUAUGCAUUUCAAUCUCUCCCCUCUCUUUUUUAAUAGGAAACUCUACUAGUUUGUUUGAACAAAAGUUUUUCCUUAUCUACAUACAAUGAAGUUUGCUGUCUUUCUAAAUUUUUAAACUGUAGGAUAUACGACUCGUCCUUCAGAGAUUCGGUAGCAAUAUAAUUUUUUCCAAUGGACUCAAAGACCCUUACAGUAUUGCCGGGUAAACAAAGCAGAAACCCUCAUUUAUAAACAGAUGAAGAUGAUUGGUUUGGCUUGGCCUUAAGUAUUUGUCUUUCUCUGACUCCAGGGUAUUGCACAACAUAUCAGACAGUCUCCUUGCGGUGUAUACAACAAAUGGUAAUACAUUCGUCUCUAUGUUUUGAAAGCUUUUCAUUCUCAUUUAUGCCAAUUGAGAUAUAUAGCUUUUGUGUUUUGGAGGGUUAUAGUUGAUUGGUUUUACCAUCUGCCUUUGUUUUUUCUUUCCCAUUGAUUCACAAUUAAAACAUCAUUGCCAUACUGUAACAGUAUAACACUAGCAAUAAUUGUUAAUAGUUAUAUUACAAUGACAUUACUUUUGAGUUUGUUUGGCACCAAAAAAAAAAAACCACAGGAAGUUUUCAUAUAAAGAAAAAUGAGUCAACUUAUAUAUAAAUAUAGCAAAAUGUCUCUGUCUAUUAGUAUCUAUCAUUGUCUAUCAUUGGUAGACUAAAACUUUUUGCUAUAUUUAAAAAUAUUUCCAAACAUAUUUUCGAUUAAAAACAAUUCUAGAGGGAAAUCGAUGGAGGAGUUUUAUUAUUCUCACUGAUACAUUUUAAUUUCUGUAGGAUCUCACUGCUUGGACAUUUUAAAGGCACAUGAAACUGAUCCUGAAUGGUUAGUGAGACAGAGAAAGACUGAGGUUGGUAUCAUUAAAGGAUGGAUCAGCGAGUAUUAUGCAGAUUUGAAGAAGUACAAACAAUAGAAAUCACACUCAAAGGUGAUUGAAGACAUUCUAGUUUGUAAAGAAUACCUUUUCUGCUCCUUAGCACUAUUAUACAAUAUCCACACGACACAAAAGGGAAUGAAAAAGUAUGAUGAACUUGUAAUAUGAGCUAUCCGUUUGACAAUAUGAACUUGUAACGACCCAUCGUAGAAUGAGAAAUAAAAGAUUCUUGCUAUAUUUUCUAUCCUCUUUGUAAGCUUCUUGCUUCUGAUUAAUAAAGUUGACGCUCUCGUGCUCUGCUUUUACAUUUUCUUUAUAUGUCUGAAGGCACUGUUCUAGAGCUUAUUAGAUCAUACAUGAAGAGAUUGUGAUUUUAGAACAAAGGCAACAUUUGAUGAGCUUUGACAUACUCAAAAGAAAAAAUAAAAUUGAUUAACAAAAAAGAAAAAUGAAUGGAAACUGUAGUAGUAAGUUGUCGUCAUCACAUAUGCCUUUUUCUUCUUGGUGUCCAAAUUUCAAGGGUCAGCUUCACUUCUGGUUUCUAGUUAACAAUACAAGUUUUUCAUUUUCUGUAUUAUUCAUUAAACAGGCACAACAUCUUUUUUUUUGGUUCAACGAAACCAACCAUCAACUUUUAAGAUGCUAACUAGUGCAACUAAGCUAUGCUUGGAUCGACAAACACGUGCACUGUUGCUUCAUGAUAUCUAAUUGUCUUAUGAAUGCAGCAUAAUCAUGGAGGAGAAGGAAUCAAGGUUGAAUUUCUCUCUUUUAAGUCUUUUUCUUACAUUGAAUUCAUUUAGUGUUCAUACAAACUAUUUAUGAAGCCAUCCAAUUGUUUUCCUGUUAAAAUAAUAACAACAACAACAACUAUAGCAUUUUGAUUAGUCAUAAUGUUGAACCAUUUAUAAAAGACUAUUCUAAUUUCUAUUCAUAUUGCAUCAUUGUCCAUUUGUUUGUAUGAAUAAUAGUAUAGUUUGUGAAGUUUCCAAUUGCAAUGGUCAAUUUUAUAUUGAUUUACAUGGAUUUGGUAUACAUAUUUCUCCAAUUUCUCAAACUUAUAUGAGAAGAUUAGUCUCUUUAAGUAUGCUAAUAUCACUUCCACACAUUUCACUUUCAUCUGGGCUGCCAAUGGCCAAUCUUUAAUAAGAAGAGGACCACAUAAAUUUUUGCCAAGACUUUCUAUUGCACAAACUUGGUCUCACCUACUAACUAUAUUAAUAUCUGAUCACAAUUAAUUGUAAGUUGAAGCCUGUUUCUCAACCGUUUGAUAAUUAUCAUUUUUUGGUUAGAUUAAGAUUAAGCUUUCUUUGCAAUAAGUGACAAAGCUUGAAAAAUUAUCAUAACAGCCAUUCUGGCAUAAGGUUUCCAAUGUUUUCUUCCCCAUGGCUUCCAUUUCUACUUUUAUUUCUUUCAAACUCUGUCACUGCUUUCCAGUUUAGAAUCCCAAGGCUUAGUCCUAUUGGUGAAAAGUUUCUGCAUCAUUCUAAAGCUUUGGAAUUACCUCCUUCUGAUGAUUUUAAGACAUUUUAUUUCAAUCAAACUCUUGAUCAUUUCAACUAUAGGCCUGAAAGCUACACAACAUUUCCUCAAAGAUAUAUAAUCAACUUCAAGUACUGGGGCGGUGCAAAUUCAAGUGCUCCAAUUCUUGCUUACUUGGGUCCUGAAGCACCAAUAGAUUCUGCUAUGAAUGUUAUUGGGUUUAUGACAGAUAACGCUGUCAAGUUCAAUGCUCUUCUAGUAUAUAUUGAGGUAUAUUCCAACUCACACCAGCCUGCGGUCUUUAAUCCAUUUUCGUUGUUAUAGAGUCUUGAUAAGUAGUUAUGCUCUCAAAUCUAUGCCAUCUUGCCAGCAUAGGUACUAUGGAAAAUCAAUACCAUUUGGAUCAAGGAAAGAAGCACUAAGAAAUGCAAGCACUCUUGGAUAUUUUAACUCAGCACAAGCAUUAGCGGAUUAUGCAGCUAUUCUUAUUCAUGUAAAAAAGGAGUUUAGUGCUAAGUAUUCUCCUGUGAUCGUUAUCGGUGGAUCAUAUGGAGGAAGUGAGUAGUUUAUCCUUCAAAGUCCUCGUACUUCUUAAUAUCGAUUACCUAACAAGACAUUAUCAUUCAAAGUUCCCAUACUUCUUAAUAUCGAUUACGUAACAAGACAUGUAUAUACCUUUUGUUUACAGUGUUGGCUACAUGGUUUCGUCUUAAAUAUCCUCAUGUGGCACUAGGAGCUCUUGCUUCUUCAGCUCCAAUUCUUUACUUCAACGAUAUCACACCAGAAAAUGGAUACUAUGUUAUUGUCACCAAGGAUUUUAGAGUCAGAUGCUAAAUCCUUCAUCCCUUCCUUGUUUCAUGGUUAGCUUUUUUGUUUUGGAACUAAUAUGCAAACUGAAUUGGCAGGAAGUCAGCCAGACUUGCUAUGAAAGUAUAAGGGAGUCGUGGUCUGAAAUAGAAACAGUUGCCUCUCAAUCCAAUGGCCUUUCUGUUCUCGACAAAGUGUUCAAAACAUGCAGGUAGUGAAAUCGCGACUCUUGUUUAAAUUCAAUGAAGUACAUUGACUUAACAUGUUUUGUUUUGUUUCUAUUUUUCAUUUCUCCUCUGUUCAUUUUCUAGUCCUUUAAGAAGUUCCACACAGCUGGAAAACUACUUGUGGUUCAUGUAUGCAAGUGCUGCCCAAUACAACCACCCCUCCAGAUAUCCAGUCAACAGGAUCUGUGAUGCCAUUGAUCAAACUUAUUCCAAUGGAACACUCGGCAAAAUAGCUGCAGGUGUAUUUGCUUAUAGAGGAGAACUCUCUUGUUAUAUUAAUGAGCCCAUAAAUACAACUGAAACUACCGUUGGCUGGCAAUGGCAGGUAAGGUUUCUUAACAUGUGAGCCCUCUGGUUCACAUGUCUACUUUUUUUACACUGAAUUGAUCGACUAGAUAACUCACUAUUACUACUAAUUUGAUUACAUGGAGAAGGAAAGGAAACUUUGUCCUGUAGGUUUGAUGGGUAGAAAACCAGCAUAUAUGGAGAGUUGUAUUGGACCUCCUUCACCUUCUACAUUGACUUGUCUUGUUAGAGAAGUGCUAGGAUACCUCCUAACAAGGAAACGCCCAAGAACACACAGGAAACUCAAAAGCACUCAAUUAUGGAAAUAUAUAGAAAUGUGUUGUAAUAUUAAGAAAAGUAACAAGAUAACCUAGCCUUUUGAGAGGGUUAGUCUUUCCCAAAUUUCCUAAAGAAAAUCUCAUAAAGUUCCCCCCCGCUCUCAACCCACCCUCUCUCUACUUACUAUCUAAUUACCAAUAUAUCCCUUCUAAUAACCAUAGUAAUGAUCCUAAUAUUUUUUCUAAGGGGGUCUUACAAGAAGAUGCAAAAUAGGAAAUAGGUUUUCCUAAUCUCUAUUUCCAUCUUCUUUAUGGAAGGAAAAAAAAACAUUGACAUUAUUUUGAAAAUUAGUUUUUAUGUUCUAUUGCACAUCAGUUUUGAAGAUGAAAAAAACAAUUCUAAAACAAAAUCUCAGCUCAUUCUUAAUCUGGAUAUGAUUGAUAACACAAGAAUGGCUUGUUUUUUCUUUUGACAAAGCCAAUCAAAUUACAUAUGGAUCUCAAAGUAUACAGUACUGAAGAUCAUGAUUUGUUUAUAUACUGAAAAAGCUUCUUCUUAUACUCAGCGAUGCAGUGAGAUGGUGAUGCCAAUAAGCACAGGCAAUGAUACCAUGUUUCCAUCAGAAACGUUUGAUCACGAAAGCUUCAGCAUUUACUGCAAUCAAUUAUACGGUGUUACCCCUAGGCCUCACUGGGUUACCACUUAUUAUGGAGGCCAUGUAUGCAUUUUAACUAUUUUCUUUUCAACACAACGAUCCACUUUUUUGUUGGAAAAAAAAUGAUUUCCUUAUCUGUAAGAAUUACUUACUUAAUUCUGUUUUGUUUUCUUUCUAAAUUCAAAACGCAGGAUAUACAUCUCAUUCUUCACAGAUUUGCAAGCAACAUUAUUUUUUCCAAUGGACUCAAAGAUCCUUACAGUAUUGGCGGGUAAACACGAUAGGAAUCCAUAUUUAUAACAAAUAAAAGGAUUACUUUUAACUUGGCCUUGACUGUAUCUCUCUUUUUGACUUUAGAGUAUUACACAAUAUUUCAGACAGUCUCCUAGCAGUGUAUACAGCUAAUGGUAAUGCCUUGACCUCAAUUUGUUAUGCAAGUUUAUCAUAUUCAUACUAUUCCUGUUUUAUAACUUUUUGUGUCUAGGAUUUUAAUCCAUUGGCUUUACUUAUUGACUUUUUAGUUUGUUUGCCACAAAAAAGAACAGUAGAAAAAAUGUAGCAGGAAAUUUAGGCGGGCAUCGGAUUUUGUUCUAACUAAUACAUUUUGAAUUAUGCAGGAUCUCAUUGCUUAGACAUCCUAACUGCAAAUAGAAUGGAUCCGGAAUGGCUGGUUACACAAAGGAAGACUGAGGUUGGUAUCAUUAAAGAAUGGAUCGAUGAGUAUUAUGCAGAUUUGGCAAACUACAAAAAAUAGAAAACAUCGAUGGCAAACGAAAGGAGUUCUAGUUUUAAACAAUAAUUUUCUUGCUCUUUUUCAUUGUACAGUACUUACACAAAAGAGAAUGAAAAGCAUGAUAUGUUGUGAUUCUAUCAAAGAAUAAGAAAUAAAAUAUUCUUACUGUCCGUUGUGCUGUGUUUUCUGUCUUCUCUUUAAGCUUCUAGCACAUUUGAUGCUAUCAAGAUCUUAAGAUUUUCUUUAAGGAUCUUAAGGUUACAAUUUUUUCUUUUACUUUAUUUGUCUGAAGACACUUUCUAAAACUAAAUGGAACCAACAAACUGAGAAUCUUGAACUGGUUUUAGAACAAGAUAAGUAAAAGUUUGACGAGGGACCACAAUUGUAUUGCACAUUUGGAAAUGAUGCUGUUGAGAGUGUCUUUUUCUGGCACUUGAAGCAUGUUAUGCUGAUGAAAGCUCUAUUUCUCUACUGCAAUCAAAUCAAGUCAACAAUUUCACCGUGGUGCUGGCGGUCAGUGGAUGAUUCGUGCAUCCAAAUUUUAAUGGACACCAAGGAGAGAUAAAAUGGUUAUUUGUUUUUUAACCUUCUAACUUCCUAAUCCCUUAAAAUAAGAGGUAAUACUUCAAUGGAAAAUUUUGAUUGUACUCCCCAGUUACUAUUAGUGACAAGUUGUGACUAUUUGAUCAAAAGUAAGUUAGAAAAUCAGAACAAACUUGAGGGGAACUUUUUGUUAUAUAAAGGAGCUCUUUGUUUGAGAAAACUAAGGCCAAGCAUUACCAAAGUAAACAUCCUACCAUGAGUUUUCCCAUGUUUUCAUCAUCCCCAUGGCUUCCUUUUAUACUUUUCAUCCUUUCAAACUGUGUUACUGCUACACAGUAUAGAAUCCCAAGGCUGAGUCCAAUUGGCAGAACGUUUCUGCAUAAUGCUGAAGCUAUACCUUCAUCUAUUUCAGAUGAUUUCAAGACAUUUUAUUAUAAUCAAACAUUGGAUCACUUCAACUAUAGGCCUGAGAGCUACACAUGCUUCCCUCAUAGAUAUAUAAUCAAUUUUAAGUAUUGGGGUGGAGCAAAUUCUAGCGCUCCGAUUCUUGCCUACUUGGGCGCUGAAGGUCCACUAGAAGGAGAUUUGAACGCUAUAGGGUUCAUGACUGAUAAUGCUGCUCGAUUUGAUGCUCUUCUUGUUUAUAUCGAGGUAACGACUUCCAUGAAUUCAUUUAGUCCAUAUGCUUUAGAAUUUUAACAUAAUAUUUUUUUGAUCUAACACUUAUUGUUUUCUUGUUAGCAUCGAUAUUAUGGGAAAUCGAUGCCUUUUGGAUCAAGAGAAGAGGCACUUAAGAACGCAAGCACUCUAGGCUAUUUCAGCUCAGCUCAAGCAAUAGCAGAUUAUGCAGCUGUUCUUAUACAUUUAAAACAGAAGUAUCAUGCUAAAGAUUCUCCUGUAAUUGUUCUUGGUGGAUCAUAUGGAGGAAGUAAGUAACUUAUCAUUCAAAAUCUCCAAACUCUAUUGCAUCCUUUUAUGUAUAUAAUUGCAUAACACAUAUAUAUUAUGUAUACAGUGUUGGCUGCAUGGUUCCGUCUUAAAUAUCCUCAUGUGGCACUAGGAGCUCUUGCAUCUUCGGCUCCAAUUCUUUACUUCGAAGAUAUCACACCACAUAAUGGAUACUAUUCUAUCGCCACCAAAGAUUUUAGAGUAAGAUCCUAGAAUCAUGCAUCAUCUAUUUCAUCUUGUAAUGUUUUGAAAAACAAAAAUGUGACUGCGUUUGCAGGAAGUUAGCGAGACUUGCUAUGAAACUAUUCGAGAUUCAUGGUCCAAAAUUGAAAUAAUUGGUUCUAAGCCUAAUGGACUUUCCAUUCUUAGCAAAGAGUUCAAAACAUGCAGGUAUUUGAAUGAUUUCCCCUAUCCAAAUUUAGUGAAGUUAAGAAAAUCUGUACUUUUCAUAUCAUUUGUUUUGUUCUCUUUCCUUGUUUUUAGUCCUUUGAAUAGUUCCUCUCAACUGGAAGACUAUUUGUGGUCUAUGUAUGCUGGUGCAGCCCAAUACAACCACCCACCAAGAUAUCCAGUCACUAGAAUCUGUGGUGGCAUUGAUGGAGCUUCUCCUGGAAGUGGAAUUAUUAGCAAAGUAGCUGCAGGUGUAUUUGCUUAUAAAGGAAAUCUAUCCUGCUACAACAUUGGGCCGAGAAGCGAAACUGAAACGGACGUAGGGUGGAGAUGGCAGGUAAAUCUUUCUUCAAAAUAUCGAUAUAUGAGUAAUAAACCGGGAAAUCCUAUUCAAUUUAUGGAAGUUGUUAUUAGUGAGAUUACAUGAAAGGAAAUUAAUGGAGCUUUGUAGUACAGAUUUAGCAAGAGAAAAGCAUGUUAAAAUUUGUCUCAGACCUCCUUUGCAACAGAGAUCUACUUGUCUUAUCAUAGGAGAUGUAAAAUAGGAUUCAUUAAUCAUUAUAUGCCCUUCUUUUUAUUCAUUCUCUUAGUACUUUUUACUUUUGAUUUCUACAUCUAUGAAUGCUGGUGAAUCAAAAUAUUUCGGUUGAGUUUGAAACUUAGUAGUGAAGAUUAUGAUUGUUUCUGCACUGAAGAAGCUUCUGUGUGUUCCAGAGAUGCAGUGAGAUGGUGAUGCCAUUGAGCACAACCAAUGAUACUAUGUUUCCUCCAAUCACUUUUGACCUUAAAAGCUUUGUAGAUUACUGCUAUCAGUUAUACGGCGUUUCUUCGCGGCCUCACUGGGUCACCACCUAUUAUGGAGGCAAUGUAUGCACUUCGACCAUCUCUCUUUUUUUUCUGUGGAUAUAGGUCCCCUUUGAUAACUAUUUUAUCUUUUGUUUUCUGCUUUUGAAAAUUAUAAUUGUUUCUUACAAGUUUCUCGUUAGUUUCACUUUUGAAAACACAUUGUUUGAAUUCCAAGCCAAAUUUAAAAAACAAUUCAAAAUUUUUUAAAACUACAAAUUUUAGUUUUCAAAUUUUGGCUUGGUUAUUGGAGACAUUUUACAAAGUAGGCAAUGAAGCGAGGAAGCUAUAAGUAAACGGUAGAAUUAGGGCUUAUAAGUUUCAUUUUAAAGAAAGAAAACAAUAAACAAAAUGGCUAUCAAAUGCAUUGAAAACAAAUUUAUUGCAAAAAUGGCUUUAAUUUCUCCCCUCUUUCUUAUCUCCAUUCAAAUUGCAGGACAUAAAACUCAUCCUUCAGAGAUUUGGCAGCAAUAUCAUUUUCUCUAAUGGACUCAGAGAUCCUUAUAGCAGUGGCGGGUAAAUAAAAUCAAGAGCAUGGUGGAAAUGAUUUUAAAAUAGUUAAAGUCAUUUUUUUCAUCUUCAAAAUCAUUCACAAACAUAUCUUUAAUAAUUCAAAACCAAGUACUAUUAAAGAUUAAAGAUCAAUUUAGUACUUGGUUUACACUUAGCUUAACGUUCAUACAAUCAAAUUUGAGUUUUGAACGAUUAAAAAACAUAUUUAGAAACAAUCUUAAACAUAGAAAAAGUGAUUUUAACUAUUUCAAAAUUACUCUCGAUCAUGUCAUGACACAUGAAGAAGAACCAAUUUUACAUGCUUAAUCUCUCAUUUCUCUCCUUAUGUAUGACUACAGAGUAUUGCAAAACUUAUCUGACAGUCUUCUUGCAGUUCAUACACCCAAAGGUAACAAUCUUCUUCUGUUUUGUUUUCAGUUUCGUUUUUGUCUUUCCCCAUUGAUUCAUAGUCAUAAAUUCUUUCUUCUUUUUAAGAUGAUUUGUUUUGGAUAUUUCAGGAUCCCAUUGUUUGGACAUUUUACGAGCAAACGAAACCGAUCCUCAAUGGCUAGUGAAACAAAGAGAGACAGAGGUUAGAAUCAUUGAAGGAUGGAUCAGCAAGUACUAUGCUGAUCUUGAAAAAUCCAAAAAAAUAAAUUAAAAUAUAUAUAUACAAAAUGGUGAUGAAGGGACAGAUUUUACUUUUGAAAGAAGGUUAUUUUUGCUUAUCUUCAUCACCAUCAAACAAAUCCAAUAAAAAUGAUAUGAAAAUCCUGACAUGUAUGCCACUAGAGAUAAAUUUAUGAACUUGUAUUGUAUUGGCUUCAUCAAAGAUUGUGAAAAAUCCCUUUAAUUCUUAAUAAUUGGUCCUGUCUUAAUUUAUUCCCUAUUUAGAACAACAUAAGAAAAUGAUGGUGUUGAAAGCAUCCUUCGCUUAACACUUGAAAAAAAUGAACCACAAGCAAGUCAACCAUUCCACUGGUUUUAAUGGGUGCCUCUACUCAGUGGAUGACUCAUAAAUCCAAAUUGGGUGCCGGCUUACUAUUUGUUAAAUCACUUAUUGAACACCAAAAAAGAGAUGUGAUUUCCUUUUUUUAGUGAUCAUAUGAAAUGAAGAACAAAGCAAUUAAUUAAUAUUGGUAGAGGAAAGUGUUGAACUACAGCUACUCCCAUAAACACAACUAUCAGUGGAUCAACACUCACUUUGCCUAGAAGCUGCUUUCUCUUAUGUAUAGAUAGUCCUUUUUUUCCCAAGUGUAAUUUAUUUUCCUUCCAAACAACUUUGCAUCUCAAAUAUUCUCAGUAAUGUUAAAAAAAAAAAAAAGGUUCCCAAAGGAAAUGUUUUUGAAGUUGAUUAUAUCCUCACAUAGUGCUCUUCCAACAGCAUGCAAGAGAUCAUUAUUGCAGUGCUCCACUGGAGAGCAGAAGUUAAAGUUUUAUUUUUUCUUAUAAUGUUGUAGUUCAACCCACUUCAUUCUGUCCUAGAGUUGGCUUACACACUAGGUACCUUCUAAGAACCCAUAAACCAUCAUCUCAAAGAAUAUUGUGUAUAUUGUCAGUCUGAAUGUAGCCCAUUCUUUAUCAUUUCAAAUCAUCAACAUGCCUCUACGAGUGAAAGAUAACUUGGGGAGGGGUAUGGAAGUUUUGUCGUUUGUUUUAAAAAUACUUUUAGUUUUUCAAAAGAAACAUAUUGCCCUUUGAUUUUUUUAAAAAACGUUUUGAAAUUAUGCUUAAGUUUAAAUUUGUUAGAAACUUAGAUUGAAAUUUGAAAUUUGAAAUUAGAACUUGAAUGUGUUAGUUAUUCGAAACAGUGUAUUAGUGUAUUAGUAUUCAAGUCUCAAAUUAUGUUACAGGUCACCACCACAAUGUAAAGUCUUGGUUUUUGUUCAACAUUCUAACCGUUUUCAAAUUUUAUUCAAAGGGCUAGGGUAAUAUUGUGACUUUGAAAGAGUAGCAAUAUCUUUUAAAUAAAUGACAAAGUUCAAGAGUAUUUUAUGUAGCUUAGAUGUAAUAUUAUACACACAUUUGUAUGAGAACGAGUGUAUCAUUUCAUGUCACGAACAUGUGGCAAGCUUUCUAUUUGUAAAUGGGUUGUUAAUGGUUUGUUCCAUAUAAUGAUUUCGACAGACUUCAUCAAAUAAUACGUUCAAAAAAUUCUUAAUAACAUUCCAUAAUAAUAACAAUUUGAUUGGGUAAACAACUCAAGAGAGAAAUGAUUCAAAGAUUUAUAUAAAAAAAGGUAUCCCUUCAUGACUUUGUUAUUUGAAACAUAUCAAACCAACAAACUUUCUCCACGCAACUAUUUAAAGCGACAAUUGGCUUUCAGCAUUAAUUAAAUCACUUUUUUAAACACUUAGACAUGACAAGCAAAAGUGUGUCAAGAAAGUGAUUUGGGCACAUGCUUUCUUUGGAAAAUAAGAGGAUGAGAGAAUGUUAUUAAUGAUUUGACAAAGUUUGAGAAGUUGGAAGGCAGAAAUAUACUAACAAACUCUCAUUUGUUGGGACCAAAAACUUGUUGUAUUGUUAAAGGCAAUGAUGGCUUUCACAUACCACGCUUCCCAUUCACUCAAAUUUUGGCCCAACCCUUUUGCUGCCCCCACAAACUAAGGUUCAUAAUGUUUGAUCAAUAUCUCUCCAUUUGCUUUUAUUCAUCUUCUUUUCCUUUUUCUAAAUGAAUUUUUUGACUACUUGAAUUGUGUUCUCGUUAGAUUCUUCACUUAAAAUGUUAUUACCUCGAAUUUUAAUUAUUUGACCCAAAAAGAAGAUAGGCUAAAUUACAAAGAAAAAAAAAUCUAUUAAUUUUGAUGUGUCGAAAAUACUCAUAAACUUUCAAAAGUUUCAAAAUGUUCUUAAAACUUUCGAAAAUGGUUAAAAAAUACUCUUAUAGUUAGUUUUGGAUGGACACCAUUAAAGUUUUAUUUCAAAAUACCCAUGAACUAUGGAAACGUUUCAAAAAUACCUUUGAGCUUAAAAAAAUACAAUGAUUCAUAUAAUUUUCACCCACACCCAAAUUAAUCACCCUUCGUUUUUCAAUUAAGUUAUGCAUUUUAAUCCCAAGAUCCUACGAUUCAUUGUGAUUGCAGAACGAAUGUAAACAACAACAAACGUAAUCAACUAAAACCCAUUUUUCAAAUUAACAUUUAUAGAUUAUGAUUCAUGUGGCGUAAACGUCCCUACUUAAAAUGGAAUUGGUAACCUAUCGAAAUGGUUUUAUAGGUAAAUAAAACUCACUUUCAAAUUAACAGGAAUGAAAUACCCUAAAAGAAAAUAAGGAUGACCUUAAUUAUUAGCGUAAAGGUGCAACCUACUAAUUUUUUCUUUUUAUAUAAGAUGUAUAGCUUAGUUCACAAUACAUAUUUCACAAAUGUUCCAAUGGACAUAUAUUUCACUACUAGAUUAUCUCUUAAUUUUAGAACAAAAUUAACCUUAUGCUCAUUCUCUUUUAAUAAAGUUUCUAAUUUUUUACCAUUUAAUUAUAUUAAAAAAUCAACUGAAAAUUAUAUAUAUUGUAACUAUUAUUAGUUUAUGCAUAUCAUAUUAUUCAAUUUAUAUGGUAUUUAUAUCCUUCAUUUAAGAGAUUUUGCUGAUUAAAUAUAUUUUUCAUUUUAUUUUUGUUAUUAAUUAUACACCUUCCUUUUCUACGUUUCUCAACUAGGCAUUCUUCUUUGGUUUCAAGAUAUAUUUGCGUUUGUGAAAAGAUCACCAAUAUAACAUAGUAUAUAUUGAAAAAAGUUACAAUUAUAAUAAAUUAGAUUUAAUUAAAAAAGUUAUCAAGAAUAUAACACAUUAUAUAUUUGAGAAAUGUACUAUAACAAAAUAAUUAAAUACCCAUUGCAUAGCAUAAUACAUUACCGAACACAUUAAAAUUAUGUAAUUAAAAAAGUGCAAAAAGUAUCGUCACUUAAAAAAAGGAAUAGUUGCAAAUUUAGCAAUUAGAUUCAAAAUAAUUAAGUAUAUAAAAACAUUUUAAAAAAUUUGCAAAUAUAACAAAAUUUGUCAAAUUUUAUCGAUGAUACAAGUUUAUCAUUAAUAGACCACAUUGUAACAAGUCUAUCAACGAUAUAAGUUUAUUGGCGAUAGUUUUACUAUAUUUACAAUUUAAAAAAAAAGGUGGUACAUCCUAAUUAUUAUUCUUAAUUAACGUGAGAAGACCAAGAGAGAAAAAAUUGUUAUUGGGCUAGCUCAAAGUGUCAGAACUUCUGUACUUGGCCCAAUAUGAAUCCAUAAGUGGGCCAACAGUCGUUACUGUUGGGCUUAGUUGGACAAGGCCCAUAGUUAACAAUUCGGGAUUACGCGACGAAUCAACAUCCAGCCACCGGUAGUAACUCAGAAGCAUCAACGUUCCAUUCCAUUUCCAGCGGAGUUCGGAGAUGACCGUACAGUUCUCCGAUUAGGGUUCAUUUGUCUGUUUUGCAUUUGAAGGGGAAAAAACUAAUUGAGAAGCCGAUUGAUCAGAGACAUGUUUGGAUUGAAGCGAUUAGUGCCUCAUGCUUGCUCGAUACGAGCUUCUUUAACAAUGCAGCUCUCUGUUUACGAGGAUAAAUUCCUUGUUUUUCCUUCGCAGCAUUUAGCUCAGCUAACUUCCAAUCGAUUCCUCGACAUUUAUCAGGUACCUUGAUUGCUUUUAGACCACUAUUAGGGUUUUCUUCUUCUUUGGUUGAUUUUGGGACGGAGAAUUUUACUUUUGCUGGUUGAAAGAUACCCAAUUAUGUAUAGCCCACAAAUCCGACAUGAAUUUAUUAAAAUGAUUGUGUUCGGGUACACAGGGGUGGUGUUUUAGAUUAAGAUUGAUUUUUUCGGGUGUUUGCAGCUUGGAAAUAAAACAGCCAUUGAGAAAGAGCGCGCUCGGCUGUAAGUUUCAGUACUAUGUUAGCGGCAAAUUUUUAUUGAGCCCGAUAAUUAUCAGCAAGCUUUGUUGAUUUAAAUUGUGACCCAGUGCAGAUGAAAUUAAUAGAGGAUACUUUGCCGAUAUGUCAGAGCUAAAGCAACAUGGUGGAAAGGUAAGACGAGAUCGUUUUAAAUGUAGUAUAAUCUGUUUUAUUGGAUUUUUAACUUAACGUUGAUUUUGAAGAUUGCAGCUGCUAACAAGAUUCUAAUUCCGGCUAUGGCUGCUGUAAAAUUUCCGGAGUUUGAAGUGAGUUAUUCUGAUGGUAAAACGUUGAAGCUACCGAUUAAAUCUGAUGUGAAUGUGAUUGAAGGCAAUAGUUCGCCAUCGGGCUUGCCAAUGGCCACGUUACUUUGUCUUUCUUUCAGAGCUAACUCCCAGGUGAGUUUUGGUUUUAUUAUAGUUGGUUGUGUUGGUUUUGAUAGAUAGAACAUGGAGGAGUCUAUAAUAAUCUAUAAUGUACUAGCAAACAUUGACAUUGAUGUACUCUGAGCAUUACUAUUUUUUCAUUUCAUUGAUGAAAAGUUUACUAGCAAACAUGAACUUUAUCAUAUCAAUAAUUGGGAUUUAAGAUUAAUGUCAUUUUCCAUUCCCAGUUCUUAUUCCUAUCAGAGAAAUUUGAAUAUUCGGUAACCUUGAAAUUGGAUAAAAUACAAUUGUACGCACACUAGUAGCCUAGUGGCUGCCAAGUUGCCAACAUUUGAAUCGAUGGCCUAAAAGCUAUUCCUUUUGAAUUAAAUCUUAGUGAUUGGGUGCUACGAAUUUACCAAGUUAAUGAAGAGCAGGAGAGUUCAUUGUUUUCCUUCUCUUCACUUUUUCAUGAAAAAUAUUUUCUCUGUUAAAAAAUGAUCUUGUUCCAUUUUCUUUGUCUACUUGCAUAGUUGCAAGCACUAAAAUAAGAUUGCCUACUUCAUAUUCAAAUUUUGAUGCUGUUUGGGUAUGGAAUUAAAAAGUUCCCACACUUUUUUAAACUACAGUUUGUUCUUUAAAAUAGAAAACUUAUUUAUACAGUUGAAUAAUCUAUAACAGUGAAAGAUUCUUUACUUAGCCCAAUACAAACUGUUCCUUAGAAAAUAGCGCCUUUAUUUCCAUAUUUUACUUCCUUUUAAUGAAAAAUUGGAACGGAAAACUUUCAUCAGACUUAGUCAGGUGGGCUUGCAUAUCAUUUGUUUGAUCAAAGAAAAGGUGCACUUUGGUGCUAUCAAUAAUCAUCAUAUCUUCCUUUUACCUUUACAGGCCAUGAUUGAUUCUUGGAGUGCCUCUUUUCUCAAUGCCUUUUCUAGUUCAAACAAUGUCCAGUUAUAUGAGGUAAAGUAACUGCAUAUUAUAAUUGGUCCAUUGGUUGCUAAUUUUCUAUUGGAAUUUAAUACUUAAGCCUCCUUAUUAGGUUGCAGUUCCUUUUCCAUGUAUUUUGAUGAUACUUCAGACCUGUUGCUUUACUAAUCACUUAUAAGAUUGGGACUGAUCAGCCUUUCUAGAACUGAGUCGAGUCCAUAAUGCAAUGAUUUUGUUUGCCAGCUGAACGCUAAUGGUGUAAUGCAUACAUGAAUUCCAACCCAGCUCUAACUAGAACUUUCAUUUGUAAGGUUUCAUUUAUAGAUUCGUGGUUCUUAUGUCGAAAUCCAAUUAAGAAACUGCUUCUUCGGCUAAUGAGGAAAUCUAGUGGCAAUGCACAAAAUGAUUCACUUCAGAGGCAGAUUGUAUACUCAUUUGGCGACCAUUAUUACUUCAGAAAGGAGCUAAAAAUACUAAAUCUUCUCACUGGGUAUAAGUUACUUCAUCUUUUUGUAUUUUCUCGUUUGCCAUCUAGAUUAACCAAUGAACUUAAAAGUCCGUACAAUUGUUCUUUGUGAAAAUCUUUACUUGCUUAGGUAUGUAUUCCUGGUUGAUAAACUUGGUAGAAUAAGAUGGCAAGGCUUUGGAUUGGCAACUCAAGAGGAGGUGUCAUCUCUUCUUUCAUGUGCAUCACUUCUUUUGGAAGAGAAAUGAGGUAACUGACAAUUUAUCUUUUCCUAACCCAUUUCAUUUUUAGCAAACAUGGAAAAUUCUCUCUGUUUCUUAAUAUCCACAUCAGUAUGGUUAAAAUAAAAAAGAAUUAAUUUUAUCUUUUCAAUGCAUUUUCAGCAAUUAUCCUCCAUAAAAUGAUUCCCCUCCAGAAGUUCUGUUCUAGGGCGAUGCAGGAAAAGUUACCAAGCAAUAGUAUCAAUGAAUAAAGAUAUGAGUUUGAAAUGCUGUGAAUUAAAACCAAGAUUUUGUGGGAGCUUAGUUUCUUGAAAAUGAGCAAUAUCAGUUGACGAGAUGACUGUUUUGUUUUGUUUUUUCCCCAACAAUUGUGGCUAGCUAGAAGUUGAAUUAUCAAUUUUUGUAAUGGUAGUUGACCUCUUAUUGAGGUCUUUUUUGUUACAUAAAUUUAUGCUCUUUUUUGUAUUUGUUGGUGUAUGGGGUAAAGAGAGUUAUUAUAAGUCUUACGUUAUUAUAGUUGAAUUAUAAUAGUUUGUGUUUGGGUGUAUAUUAUUUUAGUCCGAGAAGGAAAUAGAAAAUAUUGUUGCAAAUUAUAAAAAAAUGAUGAAUGUUAAAUAGUAGCAAAUAGCUAUAGUAAGAGGAUUUUGAAAUAGUAUUUAUUCUAGCUAAUUAGGAUUUCUUAAAUAGUAUUUAUUGUAGUUAGAUGUGGUUAUUAUAGUAUGACAUAAUCAUUAUCCUAACCGGCCUCGUUAUUUUCAAGGUUUUCUUUAGAAAGCCAUUCAAGAUUUACAAUUUAAAAGUCAAACUUCAAAUGCUAAUGUUAGGUUCACCAACAUGAGUUUGGUAGAGUUAUAAAACUAACUCAAAACUCAACCAACUCCUCUUCCAAUGUUUUUAAUGAAUAUAUAUGUACAUGUCAAUGACGGUAAGUGGCCACUCUUGUCUAUAGUGGUGAGCUUUGCGAUGACCUCAAGCAUCCAACUCUAACAACAUAUCGGACCAAUCAUACACAAGGAUUUGAGAGAGAGAGAAAAAAACCCGGCUAGUCACAUCACAUACUAGAAAGAGGUAUUGUAUGCAUCAAUUUUCUAUGUUUCACUAACGUACUAUUGUCAAAGUAGGCUUAUUCUUCCCUAUGUUUGAAGGUUUGUUAUACUAAAAAAUUAAAAUUAGAAGAGAUUAGUUUAACUUAUCUUUCUAAACAGACUAUUGUUUUGUAUACAUGAAAACAAUCAAUUGUUGGUUAUGUUUUUUUAAACAUGUAAAUAAAUUAUUGAUGACAAUUUUUGUAAAAAUGUUCAAUUCAUAUGCUUCACAACCAAUUUAAAUCUGUUGUAGGGUAGUUUGUUAUACAACUGAUAGUAUUUUCAUUUAUUUGAAUCUAACUCAAUAAGAUGUAACUUUUAACUCAAAUUAUAAAGUAAGUUGUAACUUUUAACUCAAAUUAUAAAGUAAGUUGUAACUUUUAACACAAAAUGGGUUGAGUUGAUCAAAACCUUCGGGGUUGAUUUUAACCUCCUUAGUUUCAAAGUUCAAAUUUGCUUACAAAACAAGAGAGCCUAACACAUUGGGUUAGCAACAGUGUUUAAACACACGUGAAGAUUCAGAUCGAUGAGUGUGAGGACUUAUAAGUUAAAACUUGUAUAGAACCGACUAAGUUCAUCUGAAAGAAUUUACAAUGCAGCUAUGGCAAAUUCUAGUGGAAGAAUAUAAUAUUGAUGCAAGAAACCAAUGGAAAAAAGGAAAGAAAAAUAAAAAUAAGAAAGGAGACAACGUGCGAUAUGCGCACAGCAGCCGCACAAACGAAACUUCGGCGGCUCAAUGGCUAUGACUAUACAGUGAAAGAAUGACAAAUCUAAUCUUCUAAACAAUACGCUAUGAGUGGAAGAAGCUGGUGAAGAUGUAUAAUUGAACAAACAAUACAAAAAUGCUUAAAUUUAGAAUAAAUCUAUCAGGUUGAUUCUGCAUAGAGCCACUAUCACUGAACUGCCCUGCAUUCACAAAUUCACUCUUUCCAGUCUUGGUUGCUGUAGAAACAUUUACUGACAUUGAACCUAAUGUGGAGAAAAGAAAACAUAAUUUGUUAUAGUUAAAUAUUGAGAUUUAAAAUCAGGGAGAAGAAUAGAGGUAUUGUUGCGGAUUGAGAAAACAACUUGUUUGAAUCGACAUUCAAAGUGGAGUUUCUAAGGAGAGUGUUUUCAAGCACUUCGAAAGCCAGUCCAAACAGACUCAAAGACAACUGCCAGUGAAACCAUGAUCUAAGUAAUGAGUUGAAGGAAACUCGAAAUAUAAUUUGGAGUGGUUGAAUUAUAUUUCAUGGUACAAAAACCUAGUCAAACAUCGAAGUAGUAUAAUAAACCAGGGGCCUAUCUUUUGGGUGUGGUUGGGUACUUAAGAGUUGAAAAACUUGGUAAAAGAAUCUUGUGGCCAAAGAUUUAUCGUUAUAUCUUAGAAAGAUGAUUUAGAGAGGGUUGUGGAAACUCACAGUCAUAGUUUGUCCAUCCAAUUCGUUGAUUAGCCAAAUCGUAAAUGAAGAUUUUGUCUUUCAGAACAAGGUCUGCCCCCAAAAAGGAAAAAAAAGACAAAAGAAGAAAGUGAGAGGGAGUGUUAGUAUUUCACGUUAAAUUAUUGAAAUUUUAAAUAUGUAUAUAUAUAAACAUAUAUACUAUAUAUAAAAGAAUUCUGAACUCACCUCCUAAAAUUGUGAUCCCUUGACCUGGAAUUUUCUGGAAACCGAUGCACCAAACGGUAGUACCACCCUGUAAUGAAAUUUUUGUCAAACCCAAUUCCAAACCAGGAUAGAAGAUUGAGCAACAAAAUUAUAUUUGUCUAGAAUUGUUCUCUUAAAGUCUUUAACGAUCCUUAACUCUGAGUCGAGAAAGGGGUCUAAGUCAGGCAGGUUGAGGAAAAAUUGUCUACAACCGUUCAACUGCUGUGAAACUAUAAAUGUCCAGACAGUGAAGUGAAAGCUAUAAACUUACAACGGAGUUUUGUUGUAUGAGGUAGUCUUGGGCUCCUAAUACCAAUGAUGCACCACCGGCAAAGUUUAAGCUAACUUGUGGAAAUAUAUCAGAGACACUGAGAUUGAAAAUAACGAGUCAGACUCCUCACAGUAAACUUAAACUUGAUAACAGAAAUGUAGAUUGUAAAUUAAAUCAACCUGGAGGAGGUAACAUAACAUCGAUUUCCCUUGAGGACAACUGACUGUGUCGAUUGUGAAACUAUGUUCGUAACCUGCGUUUGGAGAAGAAUGAGAGAAAUAAAUCUAUAAUCAAAAUCCAUUAAAAAUGCAAACCCUAUUCCAAGAUUAAGUCUACUUCAGCUAUCCUAUAAUGGAAGAAAAGAUGUGUAACAGUGAACUAUGCUGAUAAAUAAUGAAACAUCAUAAUGGGAUUUGGUCACUUGAACAAUAAGAAACAUCUGACAGUGAAACUCACAGCAACAACAAAAGCGUUAUAAGCUUCCUCAGCAAGGUAUGCCAAAGUAGUGCCAGAGUCAAUUAUGGUUCCUUGGCUACUUGAUGUCGCAAAGACAGCCGGACUGAUAGGCAAUACUUGACCAUUGACGGAGAUGCUUUGAAGAUUCAAGUUAUAGUGGGGCCUGAAGUCAACAACAAUUUGAAACCACGUGCUUUCAGAUUCUAUUUUAUCCAAACCUCCAAAUACUCAAAUAAGCUUACAGUGCUUCAAGUUAUAACUUUUUUAAUUAUAAGUUAACUAAGGUAUUCAUAGACACCCUAGAUAAAGGUAGUGAAAAUGGAUCAGAUACGGAUGUGAAAUGAAGGGAAGCAAAGAACUUACUGUGAUGGGACUAGAGGAGUAUAAACAACAUUUGGCUCCACAAUCUCACCAAGGACCAAUAUUCCCCCACCACUAUCAUCUCCUUUCAAGCAGUGAGAGAACACUUUCGGUGCAAUUCCUCGUGAAGACAGUUGCGAAAUUACAGACAGGUCCUGUUGCCCAAACCCAAAGAUUCCAUCAACUGCCCUGUCUGACUUGGUCAAGUCUCCAGUCUGUGAUGUGCUACACCUGUUUAACAAUUGAUGAUCCACCAAUCAAAAGAGUUGGUCACACGACUCACAACUCACAACUCAAGAGUACAAAAAAAUAUAAUUAGGACAGUUAGUUUUGGAAUGAAGCAUAAACUCACCCAAACACAACUGAAGCUGAAGAAUUUGAGGUCACAGAACUAUCAAUUACUACAUCAAGAUGAAUCAUGUCCAUAACAUAAUAUCCUGAUGUUCCACUACCAUCUCCGUAUUGGAAGACAUAAGCACACUGAUUGCUCUGGCCAAAACAGGCAGAAUCGGAGGACUGAACACCAAGCGCACAUAUUUGGUCCGAACAAGAUACCAAAGAAGCUGUUGUUGAGCUACCAGGAUCAAAGAAAUUGAGCGGAAUCUGCGAGGUAAAAACAAUUGAAUUUAAAACAAAUUACAGAAAAAGGGCUAGGGUUUAGGUGACAAUGCCACCAGUUUAAAACGGACUAAAAACUUAAGGUAACACGAAAUAACCUGGAGCCCACUAGUUGCUGGACAGCCAUUGCAAGAGUUGCAGCUAACCCACAAAACAUCACUUCCAGUAUCGAUCUGCACAUAGAAAUCCUUUGGAGGAUUACCUAGUUGCACUCUAGUGUAAUAAAGCCUGUAUAAGAACCACAAAUUUCGGCCAACUCAGAAUAAUGAGAUAAAGAAAGGUAAUUAAUGCAAUAAGAAAGAGAAGAACUCGAUCUUUUCAAUUGAAGUAUCAAAUCACGAUUAAUGACCAUGAUGAUACAUAAAUAUAUCCAGAAAAAAUAAAACCAAACUCAUCAAAUUCUUCUAAGCUGAAAUUGGGGAAAAAGAGAAUACACAAAAUAAUAGGCCAGAGGUUCAUUCAUUUGGAAAAAAAAAUCAACAACAGAGCAUAAAUUAAGAAGGACUUGUCAAAAUAAGAAAGGCAAACAAACAUUCCAAAUAGCAACUAAUAUCACAAACUGAAAAAUAACAAGUGGAAAAGAAAAGAAAAAAAAAGAUCCGUUCCCUUUCCUUACCCAACGAGAAAUGGGUCGUACGUUCCAGAAACAGAAAAAUCAAUAACACCACCAGAAGACUGCAACAUUCUACCAUGUCUCACCCGGUCCCGACUACGGAGAUGAGCAAUUUCCACGCCGUGAUUAGUCGGAAAAGCCCUCUCUAGUGUCAGUUUCGCCGGAAAACCACACAAAACCAUUGCAGCCUGAAGCAACACCACGAGAACACCCACCGACACUCCAGCAUAAACAAUCCGAGCCAUUGCUGAAUCCCUCCCUCGUCUUGAAAUUUGAGUACCACCCACCAAAGAAAGCGAUUAAAUACAGAGGAAAGAAGACAAAAAUCAGAAGACAAGGACGAAGAGAACAAGGGAGAAAGAACCAAGGAGCACAAAUUUGCCGAUGUUCAUCCUAGAGAGAGGGAGAGAGAGAAGGAAUGUCGUGUAAUGUAGAGAGAGAAAGGAAAGGUGGGAGGAAGAAGCUAAAACAGAAGUUUCGGUGAACAAAUUAGGAUUACGCUAUAGAAUACUCUGUCACAAAAUCAUCAAAUUUUUCAUUCUAUUUCUACCCUAUCAUUUGAUAUCUAUAUAAAAUAUAUUUAUAAUUUCUCUCUCUAUAUAUAUAUAUAUAAUUUUUUGUAGUUAAUAAACUUAAAAGAAAAAAAGAAUCAUUUUAAAUUGUUAGUUACUAUUAUGCUAUGUUGCUUUAUGCAGUCGUCGGACUUUUCUUCAUCCUCAUUUUCUGUUGGGUAAACGUAAAACAAACAUAAUAUCUAUUUUGAUUCUUCCAUCUCCUCCUUCAAAACGCUGUCGUUUUCUUUACCUUUAUUUUUUCUAUCACCUGAUUCUUAUAUUCCCUCUAUUUGAUUUCAAUUUUGCUUUUAUAUCAACAAAAAAUUACAAUUUAAAUUUUUUAUUUUAGAUGAUAAAACUUUUACAAAUAUAUAGUAAAAUACUGCGAACAAUCUGUCGAAGUCUAUUUGGACUACCGUCAUAUUUUUGUUCAUUUUAUCUUCUAUUUUAAAAUAACUCAAAUAAAUAUUUCUAUUAAAUUUAAUUUUAAUUUAACAUUAUUUUUAGAAAAACAUAAAUUCUAAUUAAAUAGAUAAGAGAUUAGUGUAAAAUUUUAGGAAUUGAUGGAACAACAUAAAUUAUUUACAAAAUAUAACAAAUAUUUUAAAUCAAUUUUAGAAAGUUGGAUAGAUUUUAUAAUAUUUUAUAAAUAAUUUCAAUAUUCUAUUAUUUUAAAUAUUUUCUUCGUUUAUUCUAUGCAAUAAGUUCAAAAGCUAUAUCUAAUCAACAUCAAUAUUGUUAAUCAAUGUAUAUACUUCUUAGGUUUUAUUGUUUUCUAAAGUGUAUAAAUCUUACACCACCUACCAAUUUAUUUGUUUUGUAUUCAAAUUUUAACAAUAUGCUAAAGUUUUACCAACUAAAUAAUUUGCUUUUUUUAGAAAUGAAAAAUAUUUUCCUACAACUUCAUUUAUUAUUUUAUUUUCGUUUUAUUUUCUUUUCAUUUUAUUAUAUUUUUAAAAUAGUAAAAUAUUAAAAUUAUUUAAAAAAUAAAGCAAAAUUCAUCCAACUUCAUAAAAUUUCUAUUCAUAACAAUUUUUCUAAUAAGAUUGAAAACAAUAAACAAAUACAAGUUUUAGAAUACAACUAAAAAUUACAGCAGAUGAAUUAAAUGAGACUUAAAUGUUUAAUUUUAGUUAAUUUUAUCUUUUACACUUAUUUUUUCAAAUGCUUAAUCUUGCCACAGAGAGGGAUGUGCACUUUGAAAUAAAUGUUUGAAUAUUUUUAUUUGAAACUUUACAAUAAAGUGACAAAAAAUAAAUUGAAGAUACUAAUCAUUGUUUUACAUGAAAUUUGAGAAAUAUCUCUAUAGAGAGAAAUUUAUGAUCUAAAAGCUUGCCUUUAAUUUACCCACUUUUAUUUGUAAGUAAUUAAAUACAAUCAUAUAAAAAAAAGUGUUUCACAUUGUUUAUUAUUUUGAAAGUUGCAAAUCAACCCCUUUUUUCUUACACAACUAUGGAAGCAAGAAUUAAAUAUCCAGUUAUCGUAAAAGAUUAUAAAUAUCAAUUUUGAUCAAUCGAGUUAUUUGUACUUUACGUCUCAAUCCAAUCCAAAUUUCAAAGUAGUUGUUGACUCGCUUCUUUUAUUAAUUUAAAAGUUUUGUCAUAUUACUUUCGUCGUCAUCGAUCAAAAUUACAAAUAUCAUUAUUAAUUUUAUUUUUAUUAUUUAUUCUUGAUUUGAUUUUCUUUCAUCGUGCUUGGUCAUGCUCUAUCUUUUCAUUCUCUCCAUUUAUCAUUAAACAUCAAAACCUUGCAAAAGCGUCAUCGUUGGUCAUCAAAACGUUACUUCAAAUGUCAUGUAAAACAUGAGAUAGAGAGAAAAAACCAAAAGAUUAAACGAAAAAGAUCCAAAAGAUAUAGGAGGUCGAGAGAAAGAGGAUAAUGAAAAAGCCAAUUCACAACACACAAAGUUCCAUUUUGAUAGUUCAGCUUGAAUUAUUUGACGUAAGAAAAGGGUAUAUACACACACUCAUAUAUAUUUAAAAGUAUAUAGUAUAAUAAUAUUAAUCUAAUUUAAUUCACAUCGACUGUGUUUGGCCUAAUUUUAUGUACGGACUGUGGCUUGAGAGUUAACCAUCAGCGUCAUCAUGGGGAUGGAUCAAAUUCCCAUGGUCCCUACGGGCGUGGGAAUGGGAAUGUGAAUCCCUCCUCUGCCUAAAAAGGAAUUCCAAAAAUUUCUCACAAGGUACACCUUUUUCUUCUACCUUCUUAUCUUUUUUUAAGUUCAAACAACAUUUUAAAAAAAAAAUACCCUCAACUUAUUAAAUCUAGAUUUCUUUUGUUCUAUUAUAUAAUAUUAAAUAAACAUAUAUUUAUUAAUUAAAAAACAUAAUCACCUUUUCUUUUUCUAUAAAAUAUAUAUCAAAAUUUUAGAUUCUAUCACCAAUCAAUAUUAAUAAAAUCCAUCUUUUAUAAAUAUUUCUAACAGUAAUUUUGUCCUAUUCUUUAAGUAUAAAUUUGAAAUUAUCUUUGUUAUUGUUUAUAAUAUUGUGUUUGACUGAGUAUAGACGUAGUUUCCAAAGUUAGUCUCUUCUUCUCAUUCAUGUGUUAUGCUAUUCUCCUUAUUUUAAGAAAGAAACUGAAUAAUUGACAAUUGGAACGUUGUUUUAUCAUUAAAAGAAGAUUGAAUUUGACUAUUUCUUUUUAAAAAUUGUUUAAGUUUGCAAGGUCAUUUUCUUCCUUUCCACGGUUGAAACUCUUUGCAUUUAGAAGUAUAGACAAUCAGAUUUGAUAUCUAGAAACAAUGGUUUAAAAUAUAGUGUAUAUAUUUGGUAUACAAUUAAUUUUCCAAAUAAUGGAGGCAGUACUGGGGAAGAGCAUGAAGACCAAUUCUCCCAAGAAAAAGAAAAAACUAAUUCAACGUUGGAACAGUAUAUUCAAAACCUCUUUUAUUAAAAACAAGUACAAAAAUAUAAAAAAAUAAUCGUUAUGAAAUAGUAAAGUUGAUAUGAUCGAAGUUACGAAAUGAGAUAAAUGUUCUAAUUUUUUUAGACUUGAAAUUGUAUUACAUAGUUUAUAUAUUUAUAAAUAGACCAAAGAAGAUAUAUAUUUCGAAGUUGAAUUCACUUGAUAUAAUUAUCACUAGUUUUGUAGUACGAUUUACUAUUUUAGUUUAGGAUUUUUAUUUUAUUUAAAGCCUAUUUUUCGUUAAUUUAUGUGUUUAUAAUUUUGUUGUUUUGUUAUUACAUUCAAAUACACAUUUGAAUUUGUUGUGAACUGUGUUUGUAUUUUGUAUUUUGUAUUUUUUGUAUAUUUUUGUUAAAGGAAAAAAGAAAGGUAGGGCUUGGGUAAGGUGCGUUCUUUAAGGAGUAGGUCCAAGUCGUUGUUUCUUAAUUGCUAAGUUUUCACUAAGAAUUGGCCUUUCUUCUCUUUAUAAUUAAAAAAAUAAAAAAGAACUUCUUUUUCCUUCUAAAUAAAAGAGUUUAUUAAACAUUUGGUAAAGUUUGAAAGGAUUAAUUGUACUUGUAUUAUUUACAUCAUCAUAUAAUUCAACUAACAUAAAUUGAUAUUACAUUUUAUAAGAGAAGAGUAGUUUAAAUAUUAUGUCCUUUUUAACGAUUCUAAUAGUUUGAAAUAGAAUAUUUUGACAGAACUUUGGAAGUCGUUAUUUGAUAUUGAUAUCAAUUUACAUCACGAAUUUAAGAAUUGCAACAGUUUAAACUUUGAAUUAUUAAUUGUAUCAGUUUAAAUUUUAUAUUUUUAUAAGUGUAUCAAAAGAAAACAUUGUGAACGUUUAAAUUGAUGCAUUCACUUGCGAAAAUUUCAAGUUCAAAUUGGUACAUUUAUGAAGGUUUAAAGGAUUAAAGUUCAAAUUGAUACAAUUAUUAGUUUAUGGUUUAAAAGAUACAAUAUUUAAAAUUCAAGUUUUAAAUUGAUACGUUAGUUUAAAAUUUAGAUUGAUACAGUAUCUAAAGUUUAUAAGUAUAAAUUGGUGUUAAAAAGAUUGAUUAUGCAAAAUAAUCAAUUCAGGAUCUGUUUCACAACCUUCUCAUUUCUUGUUUUCUGUUUCUGUCUUUCACUUUUGACAAACGAACUUAUUUGACAAUUUGUUCCAUUUUUCUAAGAUUUAAAAAACGUGUGUUUUGCUUUUAAUGUAGAGAUAGUUGUAAAUUUAACAAUUAGAUUCAAAAUAAUUAAGCAUAUAACAACAUUUUAAAAAAUUUGUAAAUAUAGCAAAAUUUGUCAAAUUCUAUCGACGAUAUAAAUCUAUUAUCGAUAGAUUAAAUAUGUUAAAUCAUACGAAGUCUAUCAGUGAUAGUUUUGCUAUAUUUGCAAUUUUUUAAAAUAUUAUUAUAUCCUUAAAUUAUUAUUCAUAAAAUGGCUAACAAUUGUAAUUUUUGUUUAAUGUAUUUAUGCUUCUUUUGUUUUCAAUAUGUCCUUUUGGCAAAUUGGUAGAAGGGGUUGAUUCAUCACACGUGUGUCUUUAUUUAUAUAUUAGUUUAUUUUGAAUUUUAAAAAAUCCCUUAGUAUAUCAAUUUAUAUUUCAGUUUUCAAAUUUUUAAUAUGUAAAUUAUUUGUUUUUUAAAUUAAAAUUUAAAUUUAGCAAUAAUAUGUUUAAUAGCGGACGUGCAGUAAAUCAUACAUAAACUUUGCGACUGUUUUUUCUUUUAAUUCAUGAGAGCAUGUUUAAAAAUAGCAAAAUACUACAAAAUCUAUCCAAAUGAAUUUAAGUAAAUUAUGUAAAUAGAUUAAUAAUUUUUUCUUUGUUUUUUAUUUAUUAAGAAAACAGAAAAGUGUUAUCAAACAUAUUUGUAUUCUUUUUUAUCAAGAACAUAAAACAAUAGUGAUUAUCUUAGUAAAAAAUGGAAAAUAAAAACAAUAAACAAAUAUUUAAAAAAGAAAAGAAGUAUAAAAAAUGCAUUCUAAAAAACUGGUUAUUUAAAAAUCCUUCGAGAUAAGUUUAUUUUGUUUAAAAAUUAUUUCUUAAGAAAUAUUGAGAUUAUUAAAUCCACAAUUAUGUGCAUAUAGAUAUAGUACUUCCAUAUUUGUUUUAUCUAUAAAAUAUUAAAUGAGAAAAAAAUGAAACCCAAGGUUUGAACUUUCUACGUCGUUUAGGGUACGUAAUCUCAACAAAAUAUCUUGUAAGUUAUUAGUACAGUUAAAAUGUUAGUUAAACUAAGUUAUUGUUUAAAAAAUUAUGAUUUGUAAUUGAAUAUAUAAAUAAACAUUAAAAAUGACUAAAAUAUCUUAUGUGAUUUACUUUAUAAACUUCAACACAAUUACAAUUUCAUUUUUAGGUAUGGAUUUUACUUCAAAUUUGAUCUAUACAUUUUAAAAUCUACCAUUUUAAUAUCAUUUCUUUAACCAUUGUGGAUUGGUCUUGUGGUAAAAAGGAAGACACGGUCUCAAUAUCUAACGAAGAGGUCAUGAGUUUAAUCGAU
rnacentral:lncRNA from 1 species